AUCCUGCACGUGCUAGGUGUGCCCUAUGUAGAUAGUAGCCCCUGAGACUCUGGUUGUCGUCGGAAACGACGAUGAACAGAGGAUCAUAUUCCCAGGUAAUAACCAUACUGCCUCUAUGUGCAGGUGAUGGAAGCUCCGGUGGCUAGCCGGACUAACGAGUUUGGCAAUUUAAAACGGCAGUUAAAUGCGGCAGACGCCGACAUCGAGCUUGUUAACAAAAGGCUUGACGAGGCACAGGGUAAGUGUCAUUAUCUGGUAAAUGCCACAUAGUAAGAGCAGCAUGAUGCCGGUAUCUUUAAUACGUUGUGACUGUAGAUGGAGCUGCCACUGUUGAAGCCUUGCGGGCGGAACUUGCCCGAGCCAAGGAACAAGCGAGGUUUGGUAAUGCGGCUGCUUUGAAGGCGGCCAAAGAGUUUAAAGCCGAGAAGGCCGCGCAUGGUGAGAGCCGGGAUAAGAUGGCCAAGAUGGCCAUAGAAUUAAAAGCCGCCGCCGACCGUUGCCGGGUUCUUGAAAAGGAAAACCUAGCGAAGGCAUCGGACCUUGAGAAGGCUGCUGCGAUGAGGAAAGGCAUCCGCUCUGCUAUGAGGGCGAAGAAGGAGGAGCUGCAGGAAGCCGGGGAUAUUCUAGCUGGGAAAUCCUUUAUGUUGCGGAGGAAGUUCGGAGAUCCAUGGUAUGCCACUCUAGAUCGGCUGUGGAGUUCAGAGAAUGUGUAUAUGGAUUUGGCGACGAGCGUUGGGCCAAGUACUUCCAGGGUCAGACGGACCAUGAAGAAGACCAACUGUUUUGGAGACAAUUCCAUUCUCCCGAACGUCUGCUUUCAUUGACUGGCCAAUUAACUGAAUGGGCCGAACUGAAUAGGUUAUCCAGACUCGCCAUCAGGUCUGUUGUGGAUCAACUAUGGCCGGAAAGGCCAAAGCCGAACAGCUAUUUCAGCUUGGUGCAGCAGUUCCUUGACGUGGUGCCGCGCAUUAAUGCGAUGAAGAGGUCGGCGUGCAUAGAGGGCUCAUGGAUGGCCUUUGCCAGUGUUAAAGCAUACUGGGCGGAGAUGGAUGCUACCACUGUUGCAGCGUGGGAUUCGGCCAUAGGCCGAAUGGCUGCUGAGCACUACUUUGAAGAAGUUCUUGAGGGUGCUCGUUUGAUAGAGACCCAGUGCUCAAAAAAUAUUAUGUUUGAGUGAAAUGUAAUCUCAUUGUAAGCGAAAUGCUUUUAUAAAUUUUUAUAAGGCUAUUUUUAUACUUUUUCCUGAAAGUAAUAUGAUGCCUCCUGGGCGGCCGUUUAUGUAUACAUGUGUAUAACCUCAAAGAUUGCAGCCGUCGGCUUCGACCCCCACGCAUAUAAUGCGGAGGUGCUCGCAAAAAACACGCGCUCACACUUAACCCAACGUCUUGGUCCUAUUAAGAUGGUGAUAGCGGAGCGAGCGAGGCAAUCGGACUAUAAUGCUUUAACACUUUCACUUAGCCUUAGGAGUUUGACAUGUUGGAAAUAUGCCCUAGAGGCAAUAAUAAAAGCAUUAUUAUUAUAUUUCCUUGUUCAUGAUAAUCGCCUUUAUUCAUGAUGUAAUUGUGUUAUCCGGAAAUUGUAAUACAUGUGUGAAUAAUAGACACCAACAUGUCCCUAGUAAGCCUCUAGUUGAAUAGCUCGUUGAUCAACAGAUAGUCAUGGUUUCCUGACUAUGGACAUUGGAUGUCAUUGAUAACGAGAUCACAUCAUUAGGAGAAUGAUGUGAUGGACAAGACCCAAUCCUAAACAUAGCACAAGAUCGUAUAGUUCAUUUGCUAGAGUUUUUCCAAUGUCAAGUAUCCUUUCCUUAGACCAUGAGAUCGUGUAACUCCCGGAUACCGUAGGAGUGCUUUGGGUGUACCAAACGUCACAACGUAACUGGGUGACAAUAAAGGUAUACUAUGGGUGUCUCCGAAAGUGUCUGUUGGGUUGACAUGGAUCAAGACUGGGAUUUGUCACUCCGUAUGAUGGAGAGGUAUCACUGGGCCCACUCGGUAAUGCAUCAUCAUUAUGAGCUCAAAGUGACCUAGUGUCUGGUCACGGGAUCAUGCAUUACGGUACGAGUAAAGUGACUUGCCGGUAACGAGAUUGAACAAGGUAUUGGGAUACCGACGAUCGAAUCUCGGGCAAGUAACAUACCGAUUGACAAAGGGAAUUGAAUACGGGGUUGCUUGAAUCCUCGACAUCGUGAUUCAUCUGAUGAGAUCAUCGAGGAGCAUGUGGGAGCCAACAUGGGUAUCCAGAUCCCGCUGUUGGUUAUUGACCGGAGAGUCGUCUCGGUCAUGUCUACAUGUCUCCCGAACCCGUAGGGUCUACACACUUAAGGUUCGGUGACGCUAGGGUUGUAAAGAUAUGUAUAUGCAGUAACCCGAAUGUUGUUCGGAGUCCCGGAUGAGAUCCCGGACGUCACGAGGAGUUUCGGAAUGGUCCGGAGGUAAAGAAUUAUAUAUAGGAAGUGUUGUUUCGGCCAUCGAGACAAGUUUCGGGAUCACCGGUAUUGUACCGGGACCACCGGAAGGGUCCCGGGGGUCCACCGGGUGGGGCCACCCAUCCCGGAGGGCCCCAUGGGCCAAAGUGGGGAGGGGAACCAGCCCAUGGUGGGCUGGUGCGCCCCCCUAGGCCCACCCCAUGCGCCUAGGGUUGGAACCCUAGGGGUGGGGGGCGCCCCACCUUGCCUUGGGGGCUACUCCAGCCCUGGCCGCCGCCCCCCCUAGGAGAUCUCAUCUCCUAGGGCCGGUGCCCCCCCCCCUAGGGGAGCCUAUAUAUAAAGGGGGGAGGGAGGGGGUCAGCCUAACUUUGAGUCUUGGCGCCUCCCUCUCCCCUGCUACACCUCUCUCUCGUAGUAUACGGCGAAGCCCUGCUACUGUGACGCCCUGCAUCCAGCACCACGCCGUCGUGCUGCUGGAUCUUCAUCAACCUCUCCUUCCCCCUUGCUGGAUCAAGAAGGAGGAGACGUUACGCUGACCGUACGUGUGUUGAACGCGGAGGUGCCGUCCGUUCGGCGCUAGGAUCUCCGGUGAUUUGGAUCACGUUGAGUACGACUUCCUCAUCCCCGUUCUUUGAACGCUUCCGCGCGUGAUCUACAAAGGUAUGUAGAUGCAAUCCAAUCACUCGUUUCUAGAUGAACUCAUAGAUGGAUCUUGGUGAAACCAUAGGAAAAUUUUUGUUUUCUGCAACGUUCCCCAAUAAUGGCAUCAUGAGCUAGGUCUAUGCGUAGUUCUUCUUGCGCGAGUAGAACACAAUUUGUUGUGGGCGUAGAUGUUGUCAACUUUCUUGCCGAUACUAGUCUUAUCUUGCUUCAACGGUAUUGUGGGAUGAAGCGGCCCGGACCAACCUUACACGUACGCUUACGUGAGACCGGUUCCACCGACUAACAUGCACUAGUUGCAUAAGGUGGCUGGCGGGUGUCUGUCUCUCCUACUUUAGUUGGAGCGGAUUCGAUGAACAGGGUCAUUAUGAAGGGUAAAUAGAAGUUGACAAAUCACGGUGUGGCUUUAACGUAGGUAAGAAAACGUUCUUGCUAGAACCCUAUUGCAGCCACGUAAAACUUGCAACAACAAUUAGAGAACGUCUAACUUGUUUUUGCAGCAAGUGCUUUGUGAUAUGAUAUGGCCAAAGUUGUGAUGAAUGAUGAAUGAUAUAUAUGUGAUGUAUGAGAUGUUCAUGCUAUUGUAAUAGGAAUCACGACUUGCAUGUCGAUGAGUAUGACAACCGGCAGGAGCCAUAGGAGUUGUCUUUAUUUUUUGUAUGACCUGCGUGUCAUUGAGAAACGCCAUGUAAAUUACUUUACUUUAUUGCUAAAUGUGUUAGCCGUAGUAGUAGAAGUAAUAGUUGGCGAGCAACUUCAUGGAGACACGAUGAUGGAGAUCAUGAUGAUGGAGAUCAUGGUGUCAUGCCGGUGACAAGAUGAUCAUGGAGCCCCAAGAUGGAGAUCAAAGGAGCUAUGUGAUAUUGGCCAUAUCAUGUCACUUUUAUUAUUUGAUUGCAUGUGAUGUUUAUCAUGUUUUUGCAUCUUGUUUACUUAGAACGACGGUAGUAAAUAAGAUGAUCCCUCAUAAUAAUUUCAAGAAAGUGUUCCCCCUAACUGUGCACCGUUGCGACAGUUCGUUGUUUCGAAGCACCAUGUGAUGAUCGGGUGUGAUAGAUUCUAACGUUCACAUACAACGGGUGUAAGACAGAUUUACACAUGCAAACACUUAGGUCGACUUGACGAGCCUAGCAUGUACAGACAUGGCCUCGGAACACAGAAGACCGAAAGGUUGAGCAUGAGUCAUAUAGAAGAUACGAUCAACAUGAAGAUGUUCACCGAUGUUGACUAGUCCGUCUCACGUGAUGAUCGUACACGGCCUAGUUAACUCGGAUCACGUUAUACUUAGAUGACAGGAGGGAUGUCUAUCUAAGUGGGAGUUCAUUGAAUAAUUUGAUUAGAUGAACUUAAUUAUCAUGAACUUAGUCUAAAAUAUUUACAAUAUGUCUUGUAGAUCAAAUGGCCAACGUAGUCCUCAACUUCAACGCGUUCCUAGAGAAAACCAAGCUGAAAGACGAUGGCAGCAACUAUACGGACUGGGUCCGAAACCUGAGGAUCAUCCUCAUAGCUGCCAAGAAAGAUUAUGUCCUACAAGCACCGCUGGGUGACGCACCUGUUCUCCCUGCAGAACAAGACGUUAUGAAUGCUUGGCAGGCACGUACCGAUGACUACUCCCUCGUUCAGUGCGGCAUGCUUUACAGCUUAGAGCCGGGGCUCCAAAAGCGUUUUGAGAGACAUGGAGCAUAUGAGAUGUUCAAAGAGCUGAAAAUGGUUUUUCAAGCUCAUGCCCGGGUCGAGAGAUAUGAAGUCUCCGACAAAUUCUUCAGUUGUAAGAUGGAGGAAAAUAGUUCUGUCAGUGAGCACAUACUCACUAUGUUUGGGUUACAUAACCGCUUGACUCAGCUGGGAGUUAAUCUCCCGGAUGACGCGGUCAUUGACAGAAUCCUUCAGUCGCUUCCAUCGAGCUACAAGAGCUUUGUGAUGAACUUCAAUAUGCAGGGGAUGGAAAAGACCAUUCCUAAAGUAUUUGCUAUGCUAAAAUCACCAGAGGUAGAAGUCAAGAAGGAACAUCAAGUGUUGAUGGUCAAUAAAACCACUAAGUUCAAGAAGGGCAAGGGUAAAAAGAACUUCAAGAAGGACGGCAAGGGAGUUGCCGCGCCCGGCAAGCAAGCUGCCGGGAAGAAGCCAAAGAAUGGACCCAAGCCCGAGACUGAGUGCUUUUAUUGCAAGGAAAGUGGUCACUGGAAGCGGAACUGCCCCAAAUACUUAGCGGACAAGAAGGCCGGAAAAACGAAAGGUAUAUGUGAUAUACAUGUAAUUGAUGUGUACCGUACCAGUACUCGUAGUAGCUCCUGGGUAUUUGAUACCGGUGCAGUUGCUCACAUUUGUAACUCAAAGCAGGAGCUUUGGAAUAAGCGGAGACUGGCGAAGGACAAGGUGACGAUGCAAGUCGGGAAUGGUUCCAAGGUCGAUGUGAUCGCCGUCGGCACGCUACCUCUACAUUUACCUACGGGAUUAGUUUUAAACCUCAAUAAUUGUUAUUUAGUGCCAGCUUUGAGCAUGAACAUUGUAUCGGGAUCUCGUUUAAUUCGAGAUGGCUACUCAUUUAAAUCCGAGAAUAAUGGUUUUUCUAUUUAUAUGAGAGAUAUGUUUUAUGGUCAUGCUCCGAUUGUGAAUGGUUUAUUCUUAAUGAAUCUCAAGCGUAUUGCUACACAUAUUCAUAGUGUGAGUACCAAAAGAUGUAAGGUUGAUAAUGAUAGUCCCACAUACUUGUGGCACUGCCGCCUUGGUCACAUAGGUGUCAAACGCAUGAAGAAGCUCCAUACAGAUGGACUUUUAGAGUCUCUUGAUUACGAAUCAUUUGACACGUGCGAACCAUGCCUCAUGGGUAAAAUGACCAAGACUCCGUUCUCAGGAACAAUGGAGCGAGAAACCAACUUAUUGGAAAUCAUACAUACUGAUGUGUGCGGUCCAAUGAGUGUUGAGGCUCGCGGUGGCUAUCGUUAUGUUCUCACCCUCACUGAUGACUUGAGUGGAUAUGGGUAUAUCUAUUUGAUGAAACACAAGUCUGAGACCUUUGAAAAGUUCAAGGAAUUUCAGAGUGAGGUUGAAAAUCAACGUGACAGAAAAAUCAAGUUUCUACGAUCAGAUCGUGGAGGAGAAUACUUGAGUCAUGAAUUUGGCACACACUUAAGAAAAUGUGGAAUAGUUUCACAACUCACGCCGCCUGGAACACCUCAGCGUAAUGGUGUGUCCGAACGUCGUAAUCGCACUCUAUUAGAUAUGGUGCGAUCUAUGAUGUCUCUUACCGAUUUACCGCUAUCUUUUUGGGGCUAUGCUUUAGAGACUGCCGCAUUCACUUUAAAUAGGGCUCCGUCGAAAUCAGUUGAGACGACACCGUAUGAAUUAUGGUUUGGGAAGAAACCUAAGCUGUCGUUUCUAAAAGUUUGGGGAUGCGAUGCUUAUGUCAAGAAACUUCAACCUGAAAAGCUCGAACCCAAGUCGGAAAAAUGCACCUUCAUAGGAUACCCUAAAGAAACUAUUGGGUAUACCUUCUACCUCAGAUCCGAAGGCAAGAUCUUUGUUGCCAAGAAUGGAUCCUUUCUAGAGAAAGAGUUUCUCUCGAAAGAAGUAAGUGGGAGGAAAGUAGAACUUGAUCAAGUAUUACCUCUUGAACCGGAAAAGGGCGCAACUCAAGAAAAUGUUCCUGAGGUGCCUGCACCGAAUAGAGAGGAAGUUUAUGAUAAUGAUCAAGAUACUUCUGAUCAAGCUCCUACUGAAAUUCGUAGGUCCACAAGGACACGCUCCGCACCAGAGUGGUACGGCAACCCUGUCUUGGAAAUCAUGUUGUUAGACAACGGUGAACCUUCAAACUAUGAAGAAGCGAUGGCGGGCCCAGAUUCCGACAAAUGGCUGGAAGCCAUGAAAUCCGAGAUAGGAUCCAUGUAUGAAAACGAAGUAUGGACUUUGACUGACUUGCCCGUUGAGCGGCGAGCCAUAGAAAAUAAAUGGAUCUUUAAGAAGAAGACAGACGCGGAUGGUAAUGUGACCAUCUAUAAAGCUCGGCUUGUCGCUAAGGGUUAUCGACAAGUUCAAGGGGUUGACUACGAUGAGACUUUCUCACCGGUAGCGAAGCUGAAGUCCGUCCGAAUUAUGUUAGCAAUUGCCGCAUACUAUGAUUAUGAGAUAUGGCAAAUGGACGUCAAAACGGCAUUCCUUAAUGGUUUCCUUAAGGAAGAAUUGUAUAUGAUGCAGCCGGAAGGUUUUGUCGAUCCUAAGAAUGCUGACAAGGUGUGCAAGCUCCAACACUCGAUUUAUGGGCUGGUGCAAGCAUCUCGGAGUUGGAACAUUCACUUUGAUGAGAUGAUCAAAGCGUUUGGGUUUACACAGACUUAUGGAGAAGCCUGCGUUUACAAGAAAGUGAGUGGGAGCUCUGUAGCAUUUCUCAUAUUAUAUGUAGAUGACAUACUUUUGAUGGGAAAUGAUAUAGAACUCUUGGACAGCAUUAAGGCCUACUUGAAUAAGAGUUUUUCAAUGAAGGACCUUGGAGAAGCUGCUUAUAUAUUAGGCAUCAAGAUCUAUAGAGAUAGAUCAAGACGCCUCAUAGGUCUUUCACAAAGCACAUACCUUGAUAAGAUAUUGAAGAAGUUCAAUAUGGAUCAGUCUAAGAAGGGGUUCUUGCCUGUGUUGCAAGGUGUGAGAUUGAUCUCAGCUCAAUGUCCGACCACGGCAGAAGAUAUAGAAGAGAUGAGUGUCAUCCCCCAUGCCUCAGCCAUAGGUUCUAUUAUGUAUGCCAUGCUGUGUACCAGACCUGAUGUAAACCUUGCCGUAAGUUUGGUAGGAAGGUACCAAAGUAAUCCCGGCAAGGAACACUGGACAGCGGUCAAGAAUAUCCUGAAGUACCUGAAAAGGACAAAGGAAAUGUUUCUCGUUUAUGGAGGUGACGAAGAGCUCGUCGUAAAGGGUUACGUCGACGCUAGCUUCGACACAGAUCUGGAUGACUCUAAGUCACAACCCGGAUACGUGUAUAUUUUGAAUGGUGGGGCAGUAAGCUGGUGCAGUUGCAAGCAGAGCGUCGUGGCGGGAUCUACAUGUUAAGUGGAGUACAUGGCAGCCUCGGAGGCAGCACAUGAAGCAAUUUGGGUGAAGGAGUUCAUCACCGACCUAGGAGUCAUACCCAAUGCGUCGGGGCCGAUCAAGCUCUUCUGUGACAACACUGGAGCUAUUGCACUUGCCAAGGAGCCCAGGUUUCACAAGAAGACAAGGCACAUCAAGCGUCGCUUCAACUCCAUUCGUGAAAAUGUUCAAGAUGGAUACAUAGAUAUUUGUAAAGUACAUACGGACCUGAAUGUAGCAGAUCCGUUGACUAAACCUCUCCCUAGAGCAAAACAUGAUCAACACCAGAAUUCCAUGGGUGUUUGAUUCAUCACAAUGUAACUAGAUUAUUGACUCUAGUGCAAGUGGGAGACUGUUGGAAAUAUGCCCUAGAGGCAAUAAUAAAAGCAUUAUUAUUAUAUUUCCUUGUUCAUGAUAAUCGUCUUUAUUCAUGCUAUAAUUGUGUUAUCCAGAAAUCGUAAUACAUGUGUGAAUAAUAGACACCAACAUGUCCCUAGUAAGCCUCUAGUUGACUAGCUCGUUGAUCAACAGAUAGUCAUGGUUUCCUGACUACGGACAUUGGAUGUCAUUGAUAACGAGAUCACAUCAUUAGGAGAAUGAUGUGAUGGACAAGACCCAAUCCUAAACAUAGCACAAGAUCGUAUAGUUCGUUUGCUAGAGUUUUUCCAAUAUCAAGUAUCCUUUCCUUAGACCAUGAGAUCGUGUAACUCCCGGAUACCGUAGGAGUGCUUUGGGUGUACCAAACGUCACAACAUAACUGGGUGACAAUAAAGGUAUACUACGGGUAUCUCCAAAAGUGUCUGUUGGGUUGACACGGAUCAAGACUGGGAUUUGUCACUCCGUAUGAUGGAGAGGUAUCACUGGGCCCACUCGGUAAUGCAUCAUCAUUAUGAGCUCAAAGUGACCUAGUGUCUGGUCACGGGAUCAUGCAUUACGGUACGAGUAAAGUGACUUGCCGGUAACGAGAUUGAACAAGGUAUUGGGAUACCGACGAUCGAAUCUCGGGCAAGUAACAUACCGAUUGACAAAGGGAAUUGAAUACGGGGUUGCUUGAAUCCUCGACAUCGUGGUUCAUCCGAUGAGAUCAUCGAGGAGCAUGUGGGAGCCAACAUGGGUAUCCAGAUCCCGCUGUUGGUUAUUGACCGGAGAGUCGUCUCGGUCAUGUCUACAUGUCUCCCGAACCCGUAGGGUCUACACACUUAAGGUUCGGUGACGCUAGGGUUGUAAAGAUAUGUAUAUGCAGUAACCCGAAUGUUGUUCGGAGUCCCGGAUGAGAUCCCGGACGUCACGAGGAGUUUCGGAAUGGUCCGGAGGUAAAGAAUUAUAUAUAGGAAGUGCUGUUUUGGCCAUCGGGACAAGUUUCGGGAUCAUCGGUAUUGUACCGAGACCACCGGAAGGGUCCCGGGGGUCCACCGGGUGGGGCCACCCAUCCCGGAGGGCCCCAUGGGCCAAAGUGGGGAGGGGAACCAGCCCAUAGUGGGCUGGUGUGCCCCCCUAGGCCCACCCCAUGCGCCUAGGGUUGGAACCCUAGGGGUGGGGGCGCCCCACCUUGCCUUGGGGGCUACUCCAGCCCUGGCCGCCGCCCCCCCCCCCCUAGGAGAUCUCAUCUCCUAGGGCCGGCGCCCCCCUAGGGGAGCCUAUAUAUAAAGGGGGGGAGGGGGGCAGCCUAAGUUUGAGUCUUGGCGCCUCCCUCUCCCCUGCUACACCUCUCUCUCGUAGUAUACGGCGAAGCCCUGCUACUGUGACGCCCUGCAUCCAGCACCACGCUGUUGUGCUGCUGGAUCUUCAUCAACCUCUUCUUCCCCCUUGCUGGAUCAAGAAGGAGGAGACGUUACGCUGACCAUACGUGUGUUGAACGCGGAGGUGUCAUCCGUUCGGCGCUAGGAUCUCCGGUGAUUUGGAUCACGUCGAGUAUGACUUCCUCAUCCCCGUUCUUUGAACGCUUCCGCGCGUGAUCUACAAAGGUAUGUAGAUGCAAUCCAAUCACUCGUUGCUAGAUGAACUCAUAGAUGGAUCUUGGUGAAACUGUAGGAAAAUUUUUGUUUUCUGCAACGUUCCCCAACAUGACAGUGGGGCUACUAGAUAGCCCCUGGUGGCUCCGCACUCUCCCAAUCCUGGGGUGCGUACAUGCCUGGCCGGAAAACGGCCCUUCGUUAAGGCGGAGGAAUUCUAACAUUCCAACAGGUCUGGAGCACAGUCAGUUUUCGGCUUUCUCUACUGAGGUGCUUGUCCGGAUGAACCAGGGCACAAUCGCAGUAGUUCUCCUGGUGCUACCUUAGCCGGUAAAGCGGAACAUAAGGCACCAAAACACAGGAGCCGGGCAAACCCAACAUUUGACCAAAGACAAUGAUUCGGAGCUGAUGCAUAUAGGGCCAAACUCGCGAUGCCGAACACUCCCUAAGGUAUUCGGUCUUUGUGGUAUAAACCAGGCCUAAAUAAUGGCCUUUGUAAGAAGCCCCUUCUGUCCAGGUACGUGCAUUGUUCUGGCAUGGCCACAUGCCAAGACGUCAGCAUCCUUCUCAACGGUGGAUAUGUAUCAACAAGAGACAUUAAAAAAGGUUUACGCAGGGUCUUAAUCUAAAAAGAAUCCUUCGAGCGGGUCCCUGCUGCACGUAUGCGCAUGUGUCUCCGUGUGCCGUAUCCUGGACGGGUGUAGCACGAUGAUCGUCUGUAAAAGAGAGGAAUUUAGGUGAAAAUGUUGUCGAGCAAAAAGAUAGUUUUUAAAGAAACCAUGUAUAAUUGAUGAAAAAAAAAUUGCCACUUGUCUACGCGUGUUGAGCCCCUUGUAUUGACAAAUAGGGGUGUGACCAUUUAUUCGGUAUGAAUAGUAGCGCCGGACUUGAUUAGUUGUGUCUCAGGUCUUGACGACCUAUUGGAUGCUUUCGCUGGUCCGGGCGCCUUUAGUGUGUGGCUGCCAAGGCAACCGCACUCUCUUCGGCGCGCAGAGAUCGCUUGAUAUUUCCUUUCACUAAAAUGAUGCCACGUGGACCGGGCAUCUUGAGUGUGAGGGAGGUGUAGUGUGGUAUUGCAUUAAAGCGGGCGAAAGCUUCGCGUCCGAGCAGUGCUUGAUAGCCGCUUUGGAACGGAGCAAUGUGGAAGAUUAAAUGCUCGCGACGGAAGUUAUCGGGGGAGCCGAAUAUAACUUGUAGUAGGUGGGAGCCCGUACAACGAGCCCCUGGGCCUGGCGUUACUCCUUUAAAGGUAGUACUGUUAUGGUGAAUUUUUGUUGGGUCUAACCCCAUCCUGCGGAUUGUAUCCUGAUAUAUUAGGUUUAGACUGCUGCCACCGUCCAUCAAGACUCGUGUGAGGUGAUAUCCGCCAAUUACUGGGUCUAAUACCAGGGCAGCCCAUCCUGCGCGUCGGAUACUUGCUGAGUAAUCGCGAUGGUCGAAAGUGAUCGGUUGAGACGACUAGUGGCAGGACUUCGCGGUGACAGGCACUUGGGUAUAUUUUCCUGGGAGUGCCACGUCGUUUUUUCCCUUGAUUACGUGUAACACGUUCCCUGUUUUGACUUCUGGUGGAAAUUUCUUUUGUUCCCCAGUGUCUUGCUUGGGAGGCUCGUCCUUGUCUUCACUUGGUGUAUCCUCCCCCUUGUGUAUGGCAUUGAGCUUGCCGGACUGCUUGAAGACCCAACAUUCUCUGUGGGUAUGAUUAGUAGGUUUACCAGGGGUACUAUGGAUCUGACAUACUUGGUCCAGAAUUUUGUUGAGGUUGGACAGUUCAUCCCUGGUGCCUUUAGAGGGCGGCUUUUGCUGACCUGGCCGAGAGCUUUUGAAUCCGGCGUUUACUGCCAUGUCCUUCGUGCUGUCUUCUUUAUUCCGGCGUUUGUUAUUGUUGUUGCGCCAUGAUUUCCCGUUUCCAUCUCUAACUUCAGAUGUACUUGGGUCGCUGCUGCUGCAUCUGGCUAGCCAGCUGUCCUCACCCGUGCAAAAGUGGGUCAUGAGGUUUGUUAAUGCAGCCAUCGUUCUUGGCUUAUUUUGGCCGAGGUGUCUGGCGAGCCAUUUAUCACGGACGCUAUGCUUAAAAGCUGCCAAGGCUUCGGCGUCCGGACAGUCGACAAUCUGGUUCUUUUUAGUAAGAAACCUGUUCCAAAGUUUCGGGCUGACUCUCCGGGCUGUUGAGUUAUAUGACUCAAAUCGUCCGCAUUCGGAGGUCGGACAUAAGUCCCUUGAAAAUUUGCCCAAAAGGCGUCUUCGAGCUCUUCCCAACUUCCAAUGGAGCUUUCGGGGAGGCCUUUAAGCCAGUGACGAGCUGGCCCUUUGAGCUUGAGGGGUAAGUACUUGAUGGCGUGGAGAUCAUCUCCUCGAGCCAUCUGGAUAUGAAGGAUGUAGUCCUCAAUCCAGACCCCAGGGUCUGCUGUUCCGUCUUAUGUCUCUAUGUUUACGGGUUUGAAUCCCUUUGGAAAUUCAUGGUCCAGCACCUCAUCGGUGAAACAUAGGGGGUGUGCGGCACCCCUGUAGCUGGGUGUACCGCGUUGUUUGGAUGUUUGUUGUGUUGCAUUGUAUGCUGGGGCGCGCUUUCCAUAGAUGGAUCUUGUUGCGCCGUCCUUUGGGUGUGAGCCCUCGCAUGGGUCGCGUGUUGUAUUGUGAGUGGCAUUGUAUGCCGCUCUGUGUUGGUAGAGGGGUCGUCUAUCCGGCCAGGUGGCUGCUUUGAUAUUUGGUUGUGGGGGGUCUGAGGCCUCCUCAUCGAAUUCAGGUAGCAGCUUCUGCUUUGGGUAGCUCUUGGAGGGGCGAUUGUCGUCGUACCUCACUGCUGUGUUGAGUAUUUUACUCCAUCUGAUUUGGAGUGUGUCUUGCGCAGCCUUGAGCCUUUGCUUCUGCUUUUUAAGACUCCUCGCGGUGGCAACAAGCCUUUUACGGGCAUUCUGCUCCUCCGGGUGCCUGUCCGGCGUUAUGUUGUCCGGACCAUUAUCCUUGAUAGAAUUUGUUUGUUCGGUUUGAUUAUCCGGAUUGCCGUUGUCCAGCAGUGGUUCGCCCUGCUCCAGCGCUGGGUCUGUGUGAUCGUUAUUUCUGUCGAGGCGCGAUUUGGGGCGGCGCUUGUGUCACCGCUUUGACUGCUUCUCGAGGGAACAAGCCUUCCGUGCGUCCUUCCGCUCCUCGUCGUCAUCUUUUGGUGCGUCCACCAUGUAUACGUCAUACGACGAGGUGGCUUUCCCGGGCCCAAUAGGCGCUAGUUCUUCAUUGUAUCUUUCACCGGUGUCCAUACCAUCGAUGUCUUCGGAGUCGAAGUCGAGCAUGUCGGUUAAAUCGUCGACAGUGGCUACAAAGUGGGUGGUGGGUGGGCUUUGAAUUUCUUCAUCGUCCGUAUUCCAACCUUGCUGACCGUAGUCCGGCCAGGGCUCUCCUGAUAAAGAGAGAGACUUUAGUGUCUUCAGAAUAUCGCUGAAAGGCGAGUGCUGAAAGAUGUCCGCGGUAGUAAACUCCAUGAUCGGCGCCCAAUCGGAUUCGAUCGGCAGGGACGCGGAGGGUUUGGAGUCCGGAGACGAGUCCGGCUCCUUGGAGUCACGAGUAUCGCGGAGUGCAGGGCUGGUGUUCGGCUCGAUCGCCGUUGGGAUCGCAGCCCCCGAGGCGGCGUCCAACCACCCAUCCUCGAUCGGCGCAGUUGGCUCCGAAUUAAGGGUCGAAGCCGAUGCGGGUGCGGCCUCCAGGGCACUGUUCGGCGGCGGAGCUAGAUCACGCUCGUCGUGACAGUGCGGCGCGCUCGGUAGUGGCUCGAAUCCGUCGAGGAACAAGUCCCCGCGGAUGUCAGCCGUGUAGUUUAAACUUCCAAAUCUGACCUGGCGGCCAGGGGCAUAGCUUUCGAUCUGCUCCAGAUGGCCAAGUGAAUUGGCCCGCAGUGCAAAGCCGCCGAAGACGAAGAUCUGUCCGGGGAGGAAGGUCUCACCCUGGACUGCAUCGCUAUUGAUGAUCGUAGGAGCCAUCAAGCCUAACGGCAACGACACAGAGGAACUCUCAAUGAAAGCACCAAUGUCGGUGUCAAAAUCGGCGCAUCUCGGGUAGGGGGUCCCGAACUGUGCAUCUAGGCCGGAUGGUAACGGGAGGCAAGGGACACGAAGUUUUACCCAGGUUUGGGCCCUCUUGAUGGAGGUAAAACCCUACGUCCUGCUUGAUUAAUAUUGAUGAUAUGGGUAGUACAAGAGUAGAUCUACCACGAGAUCGGAGAGGCUAAACCCUAGAAGCUAGCCUAUGGUAUGAUUGUUGUUCUGUAUGUUGUCCUACGGACUAAAACCCUCCUGUUUAUAUAGACACCGGAGAGGGUUAGGGUUACACAAAGUCGGUUACAAUGGUAGGAGAUCUACAUAUCCGUAUCGCCAAGCUUGCCUUCCACGCCAAGGAAAGUCCCUUCCGGACACGGGACGAAGUCUUCAAUCUUGUAUCCUCAUAGUCUAGGAGUCUGGUCGAAGGUAUAGUCCGGUCAUCCGGACACACCCUAAUCCAGGACUCCCUCACAUGGCGCUUCGCACUGAGUCUGUGGUCCUCGGUAAGGGGAGGAGGUACUUCGGCGCCCUUGAAUAGCACCCUCCAGACGUCCUUGUGCGUCGUGUCGAAGAGCUCUCGCAGUGUCUGGUGCUUGGUCGUGUCAAACUCCCACAAGUUGAAUGCCCGUCAUUGACACGGAAGAAUCCGGCGGAAGAGCAUGACCUAGACCACGUUGACGAGCUUGAUUUUCUUGCUCAUCAUGUUCUUGAUGCAGGUCUGGAGUCCGGUCAGCUCUACCGGGGAACCCCAGGACAGGCCCUUCUCUUUCCAGGAGGUGAGCCGUGUGGGGAUUCCGGAUCGAAAUUCAGGGGCUGCCACCCAGUUGGUGUCACGCCGCUCGGUGAUGUAGAACCACCCCGAUUGCCACCCCUUUAUGGUCUCCACAUAGGAUCCUUUGAGCCAGGUGACGUUAGGCAUUUUUCCCACCAUGGCGCCUCCGCACUCUGCUUGUUGGCCUACCACCACCUUCGGUUUAACAUUGAAGGUCUUCAGCCACAGGCCGAAGUGGGGCUUGAUGCGGAGGAAGGCCUCGCACACGACGAUAAACGCUGAGAUGUUGAGGAUGAAAUUGGGGGCCAGAUCAUGAAAAUCCAGCCCGUAGUAGAACUUGAGCCUGCGGACAAAUGGAUGAAGUGGAAAUCCCAGUCCGCGGACGAAGUGGGUAAGGAAAACUACCCUCUCAUGGGGUUUGGGCGUAGGGAUGAUCUGCACCGCAUCUGGCAGCCGGUGUGCGAUGUCCGCGGCCAGAUAUCCGGCUUCCCGUAGCUUUGUGAUGUUCUCCUCUGUGACGGAGGAGACCAUCCACUUGCCUCCCGCUCCGGAUAUGCUUGGAGUGGUUUGAGGAGAAAAACACGAACUUGGGCGCUGGAUCUCGAGUGUGCGAGAAUGGAUAAGCAAGGAGGAAGAAGGCGUGGGUAAAAGGGGUGAAUCUUUGUCCCUUUAUAGGGCGGAAGAGGCGAUGCACCUCCCCACUUACCUGGUAAAAUCGUUUAAUUCCCCGAACGCCGUAAUUGAUGGCGCGGUUGGGUUACCCAUACCCGUAUUGAUGGGAAUCCCAUGAUAAGGGGACACGAUCUCCGCUUCGACAAGACGUGUCAAGAAAACCACCUCGCGAUAUGUGCAGUGCUGGUUGAGAAAAACGGUUCGAAUAAUGACCGGGCCAUGGUAUGAUGUCAUGUUGUCAAACGUGUCAGCGGAUUAGAUUUGUGGAAGUAUUAUUCUCUCUAUGGUGGUAUGUGGAACUUGUUUUGCGGAGCCAGACACUAUUCUUGUGUUCAAAAUCUUCUAUGGAGUAUUUGGAAGAAGAACCCGCCUUGCAAUGUCGAAGAAAAAUCUGCGCGCCGGACUCAUCGUCAUUGAAGCCUGGUUAAGGGGCUACUGAGGGAGUCCUGGAUUAGGGGGUCUCCGGACAGCCGGACUAUAUCCUUUGGCCGGACUGUUGGACUAUGAAGAUACAAGAUUGAAGACUUCGUCCCGUCUCCAGAUAGGACUCUCCUUGGCGUGUAAGGCAAGCUUCACAAUACGGAUAUGUAGAUUUCCUCCCUUGUAACCAACUCUGUGUAACCCUAGCCCCCUCCGGUGUCUAUAUAAACCGGGGGGUUUAGUCCGUAGGACAACAACAAUCAUAACAUAGGCUAGCUUCUAGGGUUUAGCCUCUAUGAUUUUGUGGUAGAUCAACUCUUGUAAUACUCAUAUCAUCAAGAUCAAUCAAGCAGGACGUAGGGUAUUACCUCCAUCGAGAGGGCCCAAACCUGGGUAAACGUCGUGUCCCCCGCCUCCUGUUACCAUCCGCCUUAGACGCACAGUUCAGGACACCCUACCCGAGAUAUGCCGGUUUUGACACCGACACCCUGGAGGAAAAUCGUUUGAAGACUUCCUGCACUUCAGUUUUGUAAGUGAUAAUAUGGACCCAUGUAUAUCAAGAGUAAUCAUCAACAAUGACAAAGCCAUAUAAGGAUGCAGCAUUGGUAAAUGUGGCAUAGUGAGUAGGGCCAAAGAGAUCCAUGUGAAGCAAUUCAAAUGGUCGAGUAGUAGUCAUGAUAGUCUUCGCUGGAUGCUUGGCCUUGGUCAUCUUUCCAGCUUCACAGGCUCCGCAUAAGUGAUCCUUGAGAAGUUUGACAUUUUCAAUGCCAAUGACAUGCUUCUUCUUCGCGAGCGUGUGCAGAUUCCUCAUGCCAGCAUGACCAAGUCGUCGAUGCCAUAACCAGCCUUCUGAAGCUUUUGCAAGUAGACAUGUAGCAGGUUGUGGUCCUGUAGAGAAAUCAACAAUAUACAAGUCUCCUCUCCUAAAGCCUUUGAAGACUUCGGAAUUGUCAGCUUCCAUGAUCACAGCACAAUGAUACUUGCCAAAGACAACCACCAUAUCAAGAUCACAAAGCAUUGAGACAGACAUGAGAUUGAACCCUAAGGACUCAACAAGCAUGACUUUGUCCAUGUGUCAAUCCUUUGAGAUUGCAACCUUACCUAGACCCAAUACCUUGCUUUUUCCUUUGUCAGCGUAGGUGAUGUGCUUAAGAUGUGAUGGAGAUAAAGCAGUGUCCAUCAAUAAGCUCCUAUCACCAGUCAUGUGAUUUGUACAUCCACUAUCGAGGACCCACUCAGUGGCUUUGGGUUGAUCAUCCUGCAGAUGAAUUAGUGCAACUUACGAACUCAUAUACUUCAUCAGUGAAGAAUAUGACAUCAAUUCCAUCAGACAAUAGAACAGAUAAAAUAGUAUGAGGACGUGAGAAAUGAAAAUUCAUUUCUUCACGAUUAUCUUGCGUCCUUUCAAGCAUAUUCAGGUCUCCAGCAAAUUCAUCAGACGUUCAAGUUCGUCUAGAGACCUGACCCUGCAUAAGAGGUUAGUUCUUUCUCUUCACCACCCACAUCUGAAGGGGUGGCAAAGAGUUCAUCAUUCUAUGAGCUACAUAAGAGAAAGGUGGCAUAGAUGCCAAUCCACUUCAUUUCACAUAAGAGUGGUUAGGGUAAGCAUAAGAGUAAGCAGAGAAAUUCUUCGAGGACUUAUGAACAUAAUGAUUUGAAGAAUAAUGCACAUAUCCAUAAUCCUUAGAUCUUCCCUGCGAAACAGAGUUGUUAGCACGAUGAUAAUCAUGUGAGGACUUUGAUCCUUUUGAGGAAUUUGAUCCUCAUUAGGAGUUUGGUCCAUCUGAGGACUUGGAUCCAUAUGAAGAAUUUGGUCCAUAUGAAGAAUUUGAUCUGGGGUUCCUAUUAUUCACAUGUGGCAUCAUGAUGACAUUCACCUGAAGAUUUUCAAGGCAUCUUUUGGGAACCCAGAUUUUCUUCAUAGGAGAACCGUUCCUGCAGUUAGUGCCAACAUAUCUAGCAGAUACUUCACCAUUCUGAUUUUUGAACAGUUUAUAGUUGGAGUCAAAUGACUCAUCAGAAGAAUAUGAAGAUUCACACGUAAAGCCAGAUAAGGUAGAUGGAUCCACUGAAGGUCCCUUUGCAGCAACUCAUGAGGUUUUGGGAUACUGCUCAGGUUUCUAGUAGGUCCCAUCAGCAUUGAUUUUCCUCUCAAAGGCAAUACCCUCUUUCUUAGGGUUUCUGUUGAGGAUCUACUUUUUAAGCACGUCACAAAGAGCCUAAUGCCCUUUGAGGCUUUUGUACAUGCCUGUCAUAUACAAUUCCUUCAGCCCUGCAUCAUCAGUAAUACUAGCAAUGUCCUUAGAUGAGGAAUUAGUGAUAGCAGAGACAGUUGAAGAAAUUGCAGUAAUGGAAGUAUUUGAGCAUUCAUGUGAAGAAUUAGUAGUUUCACGUUCAAUGCACUUCAAACAUGGAGGAACAAAUUCAUCCUGAGUAGCGCUGAUCUGUUGAGCGAGUAAUGAAUCACGCUCCUUCUGAAGAUCUUCAUAACUCACUCUUAACUGCUCAAGGUCUUGCUUUAUUUGAAGAAAUUCAUAAGAAAGCUUCUCAUGAUCAGAUAGGAGAGUGUUAUGAUGACCUUGAAGAUUGUCAAACUUGGACUGGAGUCUUUGAAGAUUUUCAGUCAAGAUUUUAGUGUGAUCCAUUUCCUCGCCCAACAUAUCAUCGCUUUUAUCUAGCAUAUUUUGAACCUUUUCAAGAGCCUUUUGCAGUUUCAUAGCAAUAUUAGCAAGUUUAGAGUAGCUGGGUUUGAGGUGUUCAUCAGAUUCAUCCUCACUAGAUUCAGAGGAGGGAUAUUUCAGUACCUUUGAGCCUUUUUCCAUGAAGCAAUAGGUGGGAGCAUAGUCCUCGUCGUCAUCAUCAGUAGUGUUGGGGAGGUCCAUUUCUUCAGAGUUGAAGAUAGACUUGCUGAUGAAAGCAGUUGCGAGGGCUAGGCUCGCCACACCAGAGUCUGACUCCUCAGAUUCCUCCUCUUCCUCAUUUUCUUCAGAUUCAGCCUCAGAGUCCAUUUCCUUGCCAAUGAAUGCUCGAGCCUUCUUGGAGCUGCUCUUCUUGUGAUAUGAGGACUUUGAGGGUCUUGAUGAUGAGGACUUUGAAGAUUUCUUCUUCUUCUUUGAAUCAUCAGAAUUGUAAUCCUUGUACUUCUUCUUCUUCGAUUCCUUUUCCCACUCAGGACAAUCUUGAAUGUAGUGUCCAGGUUUUUUGCAUUUAUGGCAGAGUCUCUUCUUGUAAUAAUGGGAUGAGGAAUCUGAUCUCAAGUCACCACCUCUUGAGGAUUUACGAAAACGACCACGUUUUGGGAACUUUUGGAACUUCCUCACGAGCAUUGCUAGCUCUUGGCUCAGUUCUUCAGGGUCACCAAGGUUGUUGUCAGAAUCUUCACCAUCAGAUUCGGAUACCGCCUUGGCCUUCAGAGCCCGUGAUCUACCAUAGCUUGGUCCAUAGAGAUCUCUCUUCUCAGCAAGCUGAAACUCAUGAGUGUUUAGUCUCUCGAGGAUAUCAGCGGGAUCAAGUGACUUAUAGUCUCCAUGUUCUUGUAUCAUCAAUGCCAAGGUAUCAAAUGAGGAAUCAAGCGAUCUUAGCAAUUUCUUCACCACCUCAUGGUCGGCGAUAUGAGCGGCACCAAGUGCUUCAAGCUCAUCUGAGAUGUUAGUGAGGUGAUCGAAGGUUUGUUGAACAUUUUCAUUAUCGAGUCUUUUGAAGCGGUUGAAGAGAUUUCGAAGAACGUUAACUCGAGAGUCACGCUGUGUUGAGACUCCCUCAUUGACCUUGGACAGCCUGUCCCAGAUAAGCUUGGCUGUCUCCAAAGCACUCACUCUGCCAUACUGUCCUUUGUUCAGAUGGCCACAUAUGAUAUUCUUCGCUUGAGAGUCGAGUUGCUUGAAUCUCUUCAUAUUAGCAGCAUUGAUGGUGGGAGUGACAGAGGGAACACCAUUCUCCACAACAUACCAGAGAUCAUUAUCAAUUGCCUCAAGAUGCAUUCGCAUCUUAUUCUUCCAGUAGUGGUAGUCCGUCCCAUCGAAGGUAGGACACCUAGCAGAAACCUUGAUCAUACUUGCGGUCGACAUAACUAAACCUCCAGGUGGUUAAACCAAAAUCACACAGAACAAGGGAGUACCUUGCUCUGAUACCAAUUGAAAGGGCGUUAUAUCGACUAGAGGGGGUGAAUCGGCGAUUUUUAUGAAUUCUUCACUGAGGAAUUUCAGGGUGAGGAAAUUCCUUAGCAGAGAACUACUUGCAGCGGAAUAAGUACUCAGAAGUAAACAUAACAGAACACAAGCAUGGUCAUCAUGAUGAAAUGAAGACAAGCACAGAGUACGGAAAGCGUAAACACAGGAUGAAGACAAACAGACUGAAGAAAUUAAGCUGAGGAAAUUGAGAAAGUCUUUAGUCAAAGUCUUCAAACAGAUAUGAACAAGCACUCAACACAUAAAUGAGGAAAUGGAAGGGUUGAGAAAAUGGAACCAGGUAGCUUGGUGAAGACAAUGAUUUGAUAGACCAGUUCCAACUGAUGUGACAGUUAUACGUCUGGUUAGGGCGGGUAGGUAUUUAAUCCCGAGGACACACAGUCUCGGACACCCAGUCCUGAACACGCAGUCACAACACUCAGUCCUCACCGUAUUCCCCUUGAGCUAAGGUCACACAGACCUCACCCAAUCACUCGUGGUAAGUCUUCAGGUGACUUCCGAACCUUCACAAACUCGGUCACUCGGUGAUCCACAAUUCCUCUUGGAUGCUUUAGACCAUCACGCCUAACCGUCUGGAAGAUGCACAGUCUUCAAAGGUAACAAGCGUCGGAUCCACGCAGGAUAAAUCUCUUCAGUGAUGCUCAAUCACUUGGGGUUUGUAGGUGUUUGGGUUUGGGUUUUCCUCACUUGAUGAUUUUCACUCAAAGUCCUCGGAGGAUGGGAUGCUCUCAAAUGACAAGUGUCAGUUUCUCUCAGAGCAGCCAACCAGCUAGUGGUUGUAGGGGGCGGCUAUUUAUAGCCUAGGGAGCAGCCCGACAUGAUAAGACAUAAAUGCCCUUCAAUGAUAUGACCGUUAGGUGGGUAGAUAUUUUAGGACAGCUGGUGCAUAGCACAGCAACGGUCGGAAAUUUGACUAUCAAAUUCCUCAGGGCUAUCAUGUUCCUCACUGUGUAGGCAAUACGCACUGGCGAAUUCUUGACUCAGUCAGAACAAAUUCCUCAGAGACCAGGAGAACUUCGUCACUGUCACUAAAGAAUAUGACUGAACUAUAUGAGAUUUCCAAUGGCUUCACUCGAAGGGAUUGGUAGGUGUAGGAUUUUGAGUUGAGCAUCACAUGGAAAUUUUUCCUUAGUAUUUCCUCGACCCCCUUUAACAGUACGGUGUUUCCUAUGACUCAAGAAAGAUAAAAUGAAACUACGAAAACAAAAGUCUUCACGCUUCAUGUUCCUCGAGUGAAUACCAAGUCUUUAAGGUCACACCAAUUUCUUCACUUUCAAAGUCUUCAGAAAGUCUUCAGAAAUCCAAAUUCUUCAGUCAAAGAACUUCAUUUUUAGGGGUCGACUUUCUCUGUAAAUAUCAAACUCCUCAUAGUCUCAUAGACAUGUGUACACUCACAAACGCAUUAGUCCCUUAACCUAUAAGUCUUAAAUACACCAAAAUCACUAAGGGGCACUAGAUGCACUUACAUCUAUGUACCCUCAUAGACCGUAAGCGGAAGUGUUUCACAACACGGUUGAUGUAGUCGAACUGCUUCUCAUGUCAACCGAACGCACGACACCUCCGCGUUCUACACACGUUCAGCUCGGUGAUGUCCAUCACCUUCUUGAUCCAGCAAGAUGUCGAGGUAGUAGAUGAGCUCUGUCAGCACAACGGCGUGGAGACGGUGAUGGUGAAGUGAUCUCCGCAGGGCUUCGCCUAAGCACUAUGAAAAUAUGACCGGGGGUGUAAACGGUAGAGAGGGGCGCCGCACACGGCUAACAAUUGAUCUGGUGUGUGCUAGGCGCCCCCUCCCACAUAUAUAUAGGUGGGAGGGGGAGGGGAGAGGCCAGGGCGCGCCCUAGGGAUGGCCGCUGGGCCCCUAGGGGCCCUGCCUUGCCCUGCGCCCCCUGCCAUGUUUCCCUAAGGGGGAAGGAAAGAGGGGGGAGGGAAGGAAGUGGGAAUCCUAAUCCACACUUUCCAUUCCCUUCUCCCCUUUCCUUCUCCUCCUUAGGCCGGCCCAUAUGGGGGGUGCACCAGCCCCUUGUGGCUGGUGUGUUUCCCCUCUUGGCCCAUAAGGCCCAUUAUCUUUUGNNNNNNNNNNNNNNNNNNNNNNNNNNNNNNNNNNNNNNNNNNNNNNNNNNNNNNNNNNNNNNNNNNNNNNNNNNNNNNNNNNNNNNNNNNNNNNNNNNNNNNNNNNNNNNNNNNNNNNNNNNNNNNNNNNNNNNNNNNNNNNNNNNNNNNNNNNNNNNNNNNNNNNNNNNNNNNNNNNNNNNNNNNNNNNNNNNNNNNNNNNNNNNNNNNNNNNNNNNNNNNNNNNNNNNNNNNNNNNNNNNNNNNNNNNNNNNNNNNNNNNNNNNNNNNNNNNNNNNNNNNNNNNNNNNNNNNNNNNNNNNNNNNNNNNNNNNNNNNNNNNNNNNNNNNNNNNNNNUUCGGUCACCAAAUCACAUAACUCAUAUAAUAUUAUAUCGUCAUCUAACGUUAAGCGUGCGGACCCUACGGGUUUGAGAACUAUGUAUACAUGACCGAUACACCUCUCUAGUCAAUAACCAAUAGCGGAACCUGGAUGCCCAUAUUGGCUCCUACAUAUUCUACAAAGAUCUUUAUCGGUCGAACUAUUAUGGCAACAUACGUAAUUCCCUUUAUCCAUCGGUAUGUUACUUGCCCGAGACUCGAUCGUCGGUAUCUUCAUACCUAGUUCAAUCUCGUUAUCGGCAAGUUUCUUUACUCGUUCCAUAAUACAUCACCUCGUGACUAACUCCUUAGUUGUUUACUUGCAAGAUUAUGAUGCGUAUUACCGAGAGGGCCCAGAGAUACCUCUCCGAUACUCAGAGUCACAAAUCCUAAUCUCGAUCUAUGCCAACUCAACAAACACCUUUGGAGAUACCUGUAGAGCAUAUUUAUAAUUACCUAGCUACGUUGUGACGUUUGAUAGCACACAAGGCAUUUCUUCGGUAUCUGGGAGUUGCAUAAUCUCAUAGUCGAAGGGAUAUGUAUUUGACAUGAAGAAAGCAAUAGCAAUAAAACUGAACGAUCAUUAUGCUAAGCUAACGACUAGAUCUUGUACAUCACAUGAUUCUCCUAAUGAUGUGAUUCCGUUAUGAAAUGACAACUCAUGUCCAUGGUUAGGAAACCUUAACCAUCUUUGAUUAAUGAGCUAGUCAAGUAGAGGCUCACUAGGGACACGGUGUUUGUUUAUGUAUUCACACAUGUAUUUAGGUUUCCGAUCAAUACAAUUCUAGCAUGAAUAAUAAACCUUUAUCGUGAAUAAGGAAAUAUAAAAUAACAACUUUAUUAUUGCCUCUAGGGAAUAUUUCCUUCAGGGAUCCCUAGGACUCUUUGAGCAUCAAUUGGCCACAAUAUUUGCCUCACCAAACCUUCAUCCCAACCAUUUGUGACUGGAUCAAUAAGGUCAGAAACUCUCGUCAUUAGAUUCCCUUGUCUAGCAGUAAUAAUUCUCCUAUUUGCACAAUUCGGGAUCCAUGCAUCUCUCCAUAUGUCAAUAUUUUGUCCAUUUUCCAACUCUCCGUAUAUAACCAUUUCUAAGAGAUUCCACUCCCGCCAUAAUGCUUUGCCAUGUGAAGGAGGAACCAUUUUUUAAGCUUGUGUUCAUUAAUUCGCCCUCCGGAAAAUACUUGGAUCUUAAUAUUGUAGCACAUAGUGAGUCUGAAUUAUCCAGGAAACGCCAAGCUUGUUUAGCUAACAAUGCCAAAUUGAAACAGUGUAUAUCUCGGAAUCUCAUUCCUCCUUGACCUUUAGGAACACACAUCUUCCACCACGCCAUCCGGUGCAUCCUUUUUUGAUUGUCCUCGUCACCCCACCAAAAUUGCGACAUCGCAUCAAUGAUUCCUUUUCAAAAAAAUAGGAAUUUUAAAGCCAGACAUGGCAUAAGUUGGGAUCGCUUGAACAACAGAUUUGAGAAAAAAAUCCUUUCCUCCAGCAGAUAACAUUUUUUCUUUCCAUCCACUAAUUUUCAUAAUAACUCUAUCAAUCAGGAACUGGAAACAAUUGCUCUUGUACAUCCCCACAUUAGCAGGUAAACCCAGAUAUUUGUCAUUAAGUGCUUCGGUCAUAAUAUUCAAAAUAAUACAAACUUGCACCUUGUCUUCCACUUUUGUGUUGGGGCUAAAAAAUAUCCUUGAUUUUUCAACACUCACCAUUUGCCCUGAGGCAGCACAAUAGGAAUCCAGAACCGCUCUCAAAGCCUCCGCAUUACUUGCAUUCGCUCGCAUAAGGAUCAACGAACCAUCCGUGAAAACUAGAUUGGACACUAAAGGAGCUUCACUGCUAACCUAAAUUCCGGAAAUAUUUCCUAUCUCCUCCGCGUUUGCUAAGAGAGAAGUUAGGCCCUCCGUGCAUAAUAAGAACAAGUAGGGGGGGUGUAAGUGCAUCUAGUGCCACCCCUAGUUAGUUUUGGAGUAUUGACGACAAACUUGGUUGAGAGACUAAUGUGUUUGUGGGAAUUGCAGGAUAACAUAGGUAGUAGUCCCUUAUUGAAUCGGUUUACCUACCAAAGAUGACCCCUAAAAAUGUGUGUAUACAUUGAAGACAAUGGUGGUUCAUGAAGACGUUCACGAUGAAGAUUAUGGCAUGUGAAGACAUUCACUUGAAGACUAUGGAGUGUGAAGACAUAGUUGUUUCAUAGUUUCCUUUUCUUCUUUGUUGAGUCAUAGGAACCACCGUAUUGUUAAGUGGGGUCCAAGUGAACAAAGUCAGAGUGACUGAUGUGAUGCUCAACUGAAAGCACAAGUGCUCCCUGGGUGAUUUUGGUAAUUAAUGUCAACAUAUCUCUUGUUGGACUAAUGCUUUCAUCUAGAAUGCUUCAGAUAAGUUCAACAAUGGAGUGGCAUGGACUAGAGGAUGUGGAACCCUUUCGAGAUGAUAAGGACAAAGGAUUGGCUCAAGCUCAAAGCUCAGGACUCUACAUUUUCUACUUCAGUGAUCCAAGAUCACAUUGAGACCAUAGGAAAGCCAAUACCAUUAAGAGGGGACGAGGUGUUGCUUAAUGGCUUGCUUGCUCAAAGUGCUUAGUGAUAUGCUCCACGACCCUAAACUACUUUCUCAAAUCCACAUAUGUCCCAAACCAAAAGUCAAACUCGGCCCUACCAAAAUUUCCUAUCCGACGCCACCGAGUUCUCCUGACAUAGCCACUGCUAGAAACCCUAAUCAAUUUGGUCUCACCGAUGGGAUCUCGGUCUCAUCGAGAUGGGCUUGCAAACUCUCUGUUGCCUAUUGCAUUAAUUUUGGUUCCACCGAAAUAUGCAAUCGGUCUCACCGAGUUUGAUUGGCCAACUCUCUGUUUUUCUUAUUACCAAAAUCGGUCCCACCAAGUUUGUGUAAUCGGUCCAACCAAGAUGAGGCUUUACCUUAACCCUAGCGCAUCGGUCCCACCGAGUUGAUCAUGUUGGUCCCACCGAAAACCCUAACGGUCACAUUAUGAACUAAAUCAGUCUGACUGUAAGUGCAUCUAGUGCCCCUUAGUGAUUUUGGUGUAUAGAAGACUUAUAGGUUAAGGGACUAAUGCGUGUGUGAGUGUACACAGGUCUAUAAGUCUAUGAGGAGUUUGAUAUUUACAGGAAAAGUCGACCCCUAACAAUGAAUAUCUUUGACUGAAGAUUUUGGUAUUUCUGAAGACUUCCAUGAAGACUUUGAAAGUGAAGAAAUUGGUGUGUCUGUGAAGACUUGAUAUUCAUGCAAGGAUUAUGAAGCUUGAAGACUUUCGUUUUCAUAGUUUUGUUUUUCUCUUUCUUGAGUCAUAGGAAACACCGUACUGUUAAAGGGGGUCGAGGAAAUACUAAGGAAAAAUUUCCAUGUGAUGCUCAACUCAAAAUCCUACACCUACCAAUCCCUUCGAGUGAAGCCAUCGGAAAUCUCAUACAGUUCAGUCAAUUUCUUCAGUGACAAAGACGAAGUUCUUCUGGUCUCUGAGAAAUUUGUCCUGACUGAGGAGUUAGGAAUUCGCCAGGGCGGAUUGACUACACAGUGAGGAACAUGAUAGCCCUCAGGAUUUUGGUACUCAAAAUUCCGACCGUUGAUGUGCUAUGCGCCAGCUGUUCCAAAAUAUCUAUCCACCUAACGGUCAUAUCAUUGAAGGGCAUUUAUGUCUUAUCAUGUCGGGCUGCUCCCUAGGCUAUAAAUAGCCGCCCCCUACAACCACUAGCCAGUUGAGGCUGCUCCGAGAGAAACCGACACUUGUCAUUUGAGGGCAACCCAUCCUCCGAGGACUUUGAGCGAAAAUCAUCAAGUGAGGAAAAACCAAAAACACAAAACACAAACACCUACAAACCCCAAGUGAUUGAGCAUCACUAAAGAGAUUGAUCCUGAGUGGAACCGAUGCUUGUUACCUUUGAAGACUGUGCUUCUUCCAGACGGUUAGGCGUCAUGGUCUAGAGCAUCCAAGAGGAACUGUGGAUCGCCGGGUAACCAAGUUUGUGAAGGUUUGGAAGUCGCCUGAAGACUUACCACGAGUGAUUGGACGAGGUCUGUGUGACCUUAGUUCAAGGAGAAUACGGUGAGGACUGGGUGUCUUGGACUAAGUGUCCUUGACUGGGUGUCCGGGACUGGGUGUCCUCGAGUUUAAAUACUCAGCCGCUCCGACUAGACGUACAACUGAGACAGCAGUUGGAACUGGUCUACCAAAUCAUUGUCUUCACCUAGCUUACUGGUUCUAUUUCUUCAACUCUUUCAUUUCCUCAUAAUUGUGUUGUGUGUUUGUUCAUAUCUGUGUUAGAAGACCUUGACUGAAGACUUUCUCAAUUUCCUCAGUUCAAUUUCUUCAGUCUGUUUGUCUUCAUCCUGUGUUAUCCUGUGAUUUAUGCUUCCUGUACUCUGUGCCUGUCUUCAUUUCAUCAUGAUGACUAUGCUUGUAUUCUGUUAUGUUUACCUUUGAGUACUUAUUCCGCUGCCAGUAGUUCUUCGCUAAGGAAUUUCCUCACCGGCAAAUUCCUCAGUGAAGAAUUUCAUGAAAAUCGCCUAUUCACCCCCCCCCCCCCUCUAGUCAAUAUAACACACUUUCACUGAUCGGGUUGUAUGAUUUGGUCCCACUGAUUUUGGUGAUUUGUGUGUAACGGUUACAUUUUGUGUGGAGGCUAUUUAUACCCCUCCACCCACUCUUCAUUCAUGGAGAGAGGCAUCAGAAUAUGCCUACACUUCCAACAUACAUUUUCUGAGAGAGAACCACCUACACUUGUGUUGAGGUCAAGAUAUUUCAUUCUAACCACAUAAAUCUUGAUCUCUAGCCUUCCUCAAGUUACUUUCCACUCAAAUCAUCUUUCUACCAAAUCCAAUCCUAUGAGAGAGAGUUGAGUGUUGAGGAGACUAUCAUUUGAAGCACAAGCGCAAGGAGUUCAUCAUCAACACACCAUCUAUUACCUUUUGGAGAGUGGUGUCUCCUAGAUUGGUUAGGUGUCACUUGGGAGCCUCCAUCAAGAUUGUAGAGUUGAACCAAGGAGUUUGUACGGGCAAGGAGAUCGCCUACUUCGUGAAGAUCUACCCUAGUGAGGCAAGUCCUUCGUGGGCGAUGUCCAUGGUGGGAUAGAAAAGGUUGCUUCUUCGUGGACCCUUCAUGGGUGGAGCCCUCCAUGGACUCACGCAACCAUUAUUCGUGGGUUGAAGUCUCCAUCAACGUGGAUGUACGAUAGCACCACCUAUCGGAACCACGCCAAAAAUCUCCGUGUCUCCAAUUGCAUUUGCACACUCCAAUCCCAUCCCUUUAUAUUCUUGCAACUUGCAUGAUUUACUUUCCGCCGCUCAUAUACUCUUGUCAUGAUUGCUUGGUAUGUAUUGUGAAUGUGUGAACUAUUGGGGAACAUAGUUAUUUCAAAAAAAUUGCUACGCACACGCAAGAUCAUGGUGAUGCAUAGCAACGAGAGGGUAGAGUAUCGUCCACGUACCCUCGUAGACUGUAAGCAGGAGCGUUAUGAGAACGCGGUUGAUGUAGUCGUACGUCUUCACGAUCCGACCGAUCCAAGUACCGAACGUACGGCACCUUCGAGUUCAGCACACGUUCAGCUCGGUGACGUCCCACGAACUCCGAUCCAGUAGAGCUUCGAGGGAGAGUUCCGUCAGCAUGACGGCGUGAUGACGAUGAUGACGAUGCUACCACGCAGGGCUUCGCCUAAGCACCGCUACGAUAUGACCGAGGUGGAUUAUGGUGGAGGGGGGCACCGCAGACGGCUAAGAAUAAAUGUCAACUUGUCUGUUCUAGGGUACCCUCCUGCCCCGUAUAUGAAGGAGCAAGGGGGAGGCCGGUCGGUCCUCCUAGGGCGCGCUAGGAGGAGGAGUCCUCCUCCUAGUAGAAGUAGGAUUCCCCUUUCCUACUCCUACUAGGAGGAGGAAAGGAAGGGGGGAGGGGAGAAGGAAUGAGAGGGAGGAAAGGAGGCAAGGGGGGCCGGCCCCCUAGUCCAAUUCAGUUUGGGCUAGGGGGCGCGCGCCUUGCCUCCUCUCUACCACCACUUGGCCCAUGAGGCCCAAUACUUCUUCCCCGUAUUCCCGUAACUCCCGGGUACUCCGAAAAAUACCCGAAUCACUCGGAACCAUUCCGAUGUCCGAAUAUAGUCGUCCAAUAUAUCGAUCUUUACGUCUCGACCAUUUCGAGACUCCUCGUCAUGUCCCCGAUCUCAUCCGAGACUCCGAACUACCUUACGUACAUAAAAUCACAUAAACUCAUAAUACCGAUCGUCAACGAACGUUAAGCAUGCGGACCUUACGGGUUCGAGAACUAUGUAGACAUGGCCGAGACACGUCUCCGAUCAAUAUUGGCUCCUACAUAUUCUAUGAAGAUCUUUAUCGGUCAAACCGCAUAACAACAUACGUUGUUCCCUUUGUCAUCGGUAAGUUACAUGCCCGAGAUUCGACCGUCGGUAUCUCAAUACCUAGUUCAAUCUCAUUACCGGAAAGUUUCUUUACUCGUUCCGUAAUGCACUAUCCCGCAACUAACUCAUUAGUUGCAUUGCUUGCAAGGCUUAUAGUGAUGUGCAUUACCAAGAGGGCCCAGAGAUACCUCUCCGUCAAUCGGAGUGACAAAUCGUAAUCUCGAUCUAUGCCUUCUCAACAAGUACCAUCGGAGACACCUGUAGAGCACCUUUAUAAUCACCCAGUUAUGUUGUGACGUUUGGUAGCACACAAAGUGUUCCUCCGGUAAUUGGGAGUUACAUAAUCUCAUAGUCAUUGGAACAUGUAUAAGUCAUGAAGAAAGCAAUAGCAGUAAACUAAAAUGAUCAAGUGCUAAGCUAACGGAAUGGGUCGAGUCAAUCACAUCAUUCUCUAAUGAUGUGAUCUCGUUAAUCAAAUGACAACUCGUGUCUAUGGUUAGGAAACCUAACCAUCAUUGAUUCAACGAGCUAGUCAAGUAGAGGCAAACUAGUGACACUAUGUUUGUCUAUGUAUUCACACAUGUACUAAGUUUCCGGUUAAUACAAUUCUGGCAUGAAUAAUAAACAUUUAUCAUGAUAUAAGGAAAUAAAUAAUAACUUUAUUAUUGCCUCUAGGGCAUAUUUCCUUGAGUCUCCCAUUUGCACUAGAGUCAAUAAUCUAGUUCACAUCUUUAUGUGAUUAGUUCACACCUCCAUGUAACUAAUACCCAAAGGGUUUACUAGAGUCAAUAAUCUAGUUCACAUCGCUAUGUGAUUAACACCCAAAGAGUGAUCAUGUUUUGCUUGUGACAGAAGUUUAGUCUACGGGUCUGCAACAUUCAAAUUCAUAUGUAUUUCACAAAUUUCUAUGUCUACAAUGCUCUGCAAGUAGCUAUUCUAGCUAAUUGCUCCCACUUCCAAUAUGUAUCCAGAUUGAGACUUAGAGUCAUCUAGAUCGAUGUAAAAAUCUUGCAUCGACGUAACUCUUAACGACGAACUCUUUUUAUCACCUCCAUAACCAAGAAAUAUUUCCUUAGUCCUCUAAGGAUAAUUUUGACCGUUGUCUAGUGAUCUACUCCCAGAUCACUAUUGUACUCCCUUGCCAGAAUCAUGCUAAGGUAUACAAUAGGACUGGUAAACAACAUAUCAUACUUUAUAGAACCUAUGACUAAGGCGUAGGGAAUGACUUUUCAUUCUCUUUCUAUUUUCUGCCGUGGUCGGGUUUUGAGUCUUUACUCAACUUCACACCUUGCAACACAGGCAAGAACUCCUUCUUUGACUAUUCCAUUUUGAACUACUUCAAAAUCUUGUCAGGAUAUGUACUCAUUGAAAAAACUUAUCAAGAGACUUGAUCUAUCUCUGUAGAUCUUGAUGCUCAAUGUGUAAGUAGCUUCGUCGAGGUCUUUCUUUGAAAAACUCUUUUCAAACACUCCUUUAUGCUUUCCAGAAAAUUCUACAUUAUUUCCGAUCAACAAUAUGUCAUUCACAUAUACUUAUCAGAAAUGUUGUAGUGCUCCCACUCACUUUCUUGUAAAUACAGGCUUCACCGCAAGUCUGUAUAAAACCAUAUACUUUGAUCAACUCAUCAGAGUGUACAUUCCAACUCCGAGAUGCUUGCACCAGUCCAUAGAUGGAUCGCUGGAGCUUGCUCAUUUUUUUAGCACCUUUUAGGAUCGACAAAACCUUCUAGUUGCAUCAUAUACAGCUCUUCUUUAAGAAAUUCAUGAAGGAAUACAGUUUUGACAUCCAUUUGCCAGAUUUCAUAAAAUGCGACAAUUGCUAACAUGAUUCGGACAGAAUUUUAAGCAUCGAUACGAGUGAGAAAAUCUCAUCGUAGUCAACACCUUGAACUUAUCGAAAACAUUUUGUGACAAUUUGAGCUUUGUAGAUAGUAACACUACUAUUAGCAUCCGUCUUCCUCUUGAAGAUCCAUUUAUUCUUAAUGAUUCAUUGAUCAUCAGGCAAGUCAAUCAAAGUCCAUACUUUGUUCUCAUACAUGGAUCCCGUCUCAGAUUUCAUGGUCUCAAACCAUUUCACGGGAUCUGGGCUCAUCAUCGCUUCCUCAUAGUUCGUAGGUUUGUCAUGGUCAAUUAACAUGAUAUCCAGAAUAGGAUUACCAUACCACUCUGGUGCCGAUCUCACUCUGGUUUACCUACGAGGUUCGGUAGUAACUUGAUCUGAAGUUACAUGAUCAUCAUCAUUAACUUCCUCGCUAAUUGGUGUAGGAGUCACGGGAACAUAUUUCUGUGAUGAACUACUUUCCAAUAAGGGAGCAGGUAUAGUUACCUCAUCAAGUUCUACUUUCCUCCCACUCACUUCUUUCGAGAGAAACUCCUUCUCUAAAAAGGAUCCAUUCUUAGCAACGAAUGUCUUGCCUUCAGAUCUGUGAUAGAAGGUGUACCCAACUGUAUCCUUUGGGUAUCCUAUGAAGACACAUUUCUCCGAUCUGGGUUUGAGCUUAUCAGGAUGAAACUUUUUCACAUAAGCAUCGCAACCCCAAACUUAAAGAAACGACAACUUUGGUUUCUUGCAAACCAUAGUUCAUAUGGCGUCGUCUCAACGAAUUUAGAUGGUGCCCUAUUUAACGUGAAUGCAGCUAUCUCUAAUGCAUAACCCCAAAAUGAUAGUGGUAAAUCGGUAAGAGACAUCAUAGAUUGCACCAUAUCUUAUAUAGUACGGUUACGAUGUUCGGACACACCAUUACGCUGUGGUGUUCUAGGUGGCGUGAGUUGCGAAACUAUUCCGCAUUGAUUCAAAUGAAGACCAAACUCGUAACUCAAAUAUUCUCCUCCACGAUCAGAUCAUAGAAACUUUAUUUUCUUGUUACGAUGAUUUUCCACUUCACUCUGAAAUUAUUUGAACUUUUCAAAUGUUUCAGAUUUAUGUUUCAUCAAGAAGAUAUACCCAUAUCUUUACUCAAAUCAUUUGUGAAGGUCGGAAAAUAGCGAUACCUGUCGCGAGCCUCAACACUCAUCGGACUGCAUACAUCAGUAUGUAUUAUUUCCAUCAAGUCUGUUGCUUGCUCCAUUGUUCCAGAGAACGGAGUCUUAGUCAUCUUUCCCAUGAGGCAUGGUUCGCAAGCAUCAACCGAUUCAUAAUCAAGUGAUUCCAAAAGCCCAUCAGCAUGGAUUUUCUUCAUGCGCUUUACACCAAUAUGACCUAAACGGCAGUGCCACAAAUAAGUUGCACUAUCAUUAUUAACUUUGCAUAUUUUGGCUUCAAUAUUAUGAAUAUGUGUAUCACUACAAUCGAGAUUCAAUAAACCAUUCACCUUGGGUGUAUGACCAUUGAAGGUUUUAUUCAUGCAGACAGAACAACAAUUAUUCCCUGACUUUAAGUGAAUAACCGUAUUGCAAUAAACAUGAUCAAAUCAUAUUCAUGCUUAACGCAAACACCAAAUAACAUUUAUUUAGGUUCAACACUAAUCCCGAAAGUAUAGGGAAUGUGCGAUGAUGAUCAUAUCAAUCUUGGAACCACUUCCAACACACAUCAUCACUUCACCCUUAACUAGUCUCUGUUCAUUCUGCAACUCCCGUUUCGAGUUACUAAUCUCAGCAACUGAACUAGUAUCAAAUACUAAGGGGUUCCUAUAAAAACUAGUAAAGUACACAUCAAUAACAUGUAUAUCAAAUAUACCUUUGUUCACUUUGCCAUCCUUCUUAUCCUCCAAAUACUUGGGGCAGUUCUGCUUCCAGUGACCAGUCCCUUUGCAGUAGAAGCACUUACUCUCAGGCUUAGGUCUAGACUUGGGCUUCUUCACUUGCGUAGCAACUUGCUUGUCAUUCUUCUUGAAGUUCCCCUUCUUCCCUUUGCCCUUUCCUUGAAACUAGUGGUCUUGUCAACCAUCAACACUUGAUGCUUUUCUUCAUUUCUACCUUCAUCGAUUUCUGCAUCACGAAGAGCUUGGGAAUCAUUUCUGUUAUCCCUUGCAUAUUAUAGUUCAUCAUAAAGUUCUAGUAACUUGGUGAUAGUGACUAGAGAACUCUGUCAAUCACUAUCUUUUCUAGAAGAUUAACUCCCACUUGAUUCAAGUGAUAGUAGUACUCAGACAUUCUGAGCACAUGCUCACUAGCUGAGCUAUUAUCCUCCAUCUUGUAGGCAAAGUGCUUGUCAGAGGUCUCAUACCUCUCGACACGGGCAUGAGUAUGAAAUACAAAUUUCAACUCUUAGAAUAUCUUAUAUGUUCCGUGGACUCCAAAACGUCUUUGAAGCCCUGAUUCUAAGUCGUAAAGCAUGGUGCACUAAACUAUCAAGUAGUCAUCAUACCGAGCUUUGCCAAACGUUCAUAACGUCUGCAUAUGCUCCUGCAAUAGGUCCGUCACCUAGAGGUGCAUCAAGGACAUAAUUCUUCUGUGCAGCAAUGAGGAUAAUCUUCAGAUCACGGAUCCAAUCCACAUCAUUGCUACUAACAUCUUUCAAUUUAUUUUUCUCUAGGAACAUAUCAAAAAUAAAUGGGGAAGCUAUGUGCGAGCUAUUGAUCUACAACAUAGAUAUGCAAAUACUAUCAGGACUAAGUUCAUGAUAAAUUUAAGUUCAAUUAAUCAUAUUACUUAAGAACUCCCACUUAGAUAGACAUCCCUCUAGGCAUCUAAAUGAUCACGUGAUCCAAAUCAACUGAAACAUGUCCGAUCAUCACGUGAGAUGGAGUAGUUUUCAAUGGUGAACAUCAUUAUGUUGAUCAUAUCUACUAUAUGAUUCACGCUUGACCUUUAGGUCUCCAGUGUUUCGAGGCCAUAUCUGCAUAUGCUAGGCUCGUCAAGUUUAACCCGAGUAUUUCUGCGUGUGCAAAACUGUCUUACACCCGUUGUAGAUGAACGUUGAGCUUAUCACACUCGAUCAUCACGUGGUGUCUUGGCACGACGAACUUUGGCAACGGUGCAUACUCAGGGAGAACACUUCUACGUUGAAAUUUAGUGAUAGAUCAUCUUAUAAAGCUACCGCCGAACUAAGCAAAAUAAGAUGUAUAAAAGAUAAAUAUCACAUGCAAUCAAAAAUAUGUGGCAUGAUAUGGCCAUCAUCAUCUUGUGCCUUUGAUCUCUCCAAAGUACUGUCAUGAUCUCCAUUGUUACCGGCAUGACACCAUGAUUUCCAUCAUCUUGAUCUCUAUCAAUGUGUCGUCACAUGGUCGCCUCGCCAACUAUUGCUUUUUCAACUAUUGCUAUCGCAUAGCGAUAAAGUAAAGCAAUUACAUGGCACUUGCAUCUUAUGCAAUAAAGAGAUAACCAUAAGGCUUCUGCCAGUUGCCGAUAACUUUAACAAAACUUGAUCAUCUCAUACAACAAUUUAUAUCUCAUCACGUCUUGACCAUAUCACAUCACAACAUGCCCUGCAAAAACAAGUUAGACGUCCUCUACUUUGUUCUUGCAAGUUUUACGUGGCUGCUAUGGGCUGAGCAAGAACCGUUCUUACCUACGCAUCAAAAACCACAACGAUAUUUCGUCAAGUUAGUGUUGUUUUAACCUUCAACAAGGAUCGGGUGUAGUCACACUCGGUUCAACUAAAGUUGGAGAAACUGACACCCGCCAGCCACCUGUGUGCAAAGCACGUCGGUAGAACCAGUCUCGUGUAAGCGUACGCGUAAUGUCGGUCCGGGCCGCUUCAUCCAACAAUACCACCGAACCAAAGUAUGACAUGCUGGUAAGCAGUAUGACUUGUAUCGCCCACAACUCACUUGUGUUCUACUCGUGCAUAUAACAUCUACGCAUAAACCUGGCUCUGAUGCCACUGUUGGGGAAUGUAGUAAUUUCAAUAAAAUUCCUACGCACACGCAAGAUCAUGGUGAUGCAUAGAAAUGAGAGGGAAGAGUAUCGUCCAUGUACCCCCGUAGACCGUAAGCGGAAGCGUUAUGAGAAUGCGGUUGAUGUAGUCGUACGUCUUCACGAUCCGAUCGAUCCAAGUACCGAUCGUACGGUACCUCCAAUUUCAGCACACGUUCAGCUCGGUGACGUCCCAUGAACUCCGAUCCAGUAGAGCUUCGAGGGAGAGUUCCGUCAGCAUGACGGCGUCAUGAUGAUGAUGAUGAUGCUACCGAGCAGGGCUUCACCUAAGCACCUCUACGAUAUGACCGAGGUGGAUUAUGGUGGAGGAGGACACCGCACACGGCUAAGAACAAUGUCAACUUGUCUGUUCUAGGGUGCCCCCCUGCCCCGUAUAUGAAGGAGCAAGGGGGAGGCCGGCCGGCCCUCCUAGGGCGCGCCAGGAGGAGGAGUCCCCCCUUUCCUACUCCUACUAGGAGGAGGAAAGGAAGGGGAAAGGGGAGAAGGAAGGAGAGGGAGGAAAGGAGGAAAGGGGGGCCGGCCCCCUAGUCCAAUUCGGUUUGGGCUAGGGGGGCCACUCGCCCUGCCUCCUCUCUUCCACCACUUGGCCCAUGAGGCCCAAUACUUCUUCGCCGUAUUCUCGUAACUCCCCGGUACUCCGAAAAAUACCCAAAUCACUCGGAACCUUUCUGAUAUCCGAAUAUAGUCGUCCAAUAUAUCGAUCUUUACGUCUCGACCAUUUCGAGACUCCUCGUCAUGUCCCCGAUCUCAUACGAGACUCUGAACUACCUUCGGUACAUAAAAUCACAUAAACUCAUAAUACCGAUCGUCACUGAAUGUUAAGCGUGCGGACCUUACGGGUUCGAGAACUAUAUAGACAUGAACAAGACACGUCUCCGAUCAAUAACCAAUAGCGGAACCUAGAUGUUCAUAUUGGCACCUACAUAUUCUACAAAGAUCUUUAUCGGUCAAACCGCAUAACAACAUACGUUGUUCCCUUUGUCAUCGGUAUGUUACUUGCCCGAGAUUCGAUCGUCGGUAUCUCAAUACCUAGUUCAAUCUCAUUACCGGUAAGUUUCUUUACUCGUUCCGUAAUGCACUAUCCCACAAUUAACUCAUUAGUUGCAUUGAUUGCAAGGCUUAUAGUGAUGUGCAUUACCAAGAGGGCCCAGAGAUACCUCUCCGACAAUCAGAGUGACAAAUCCUAAUCUCGAUCUAUGCCAACUCAACAUGUACCAUUGGAGACACCUGUAGAGCACCUUUAUAAUCACUCAGUUACGUUGUGACAUUUGGUAGCACACAAAGUAUUCCUCCAAUAAUCGGGAGUUGCAUAAUCUCAUAGUCAUAGGAACAUGUAUAAGUCAUGAAGAAAGCAAUAGCAGUAAACUAAAACGAUCAAGUGCUAAGCUAGCGGAAUGGGUCAAGUCAAUCACAUCAUUAUCUAAUGAUGUGAUCCCGUUAAUCAAAUGACAACUCAUGUCUAUGGUUAGGAAACAUAAUCAUCAUUGAUUCAACGAGCUAGUCAAGUAGAGGCAAACUAGUGACAGUCUGUUUGUCUAUGUAUUCACACAUGUACUAAGUUUCUGGUUAAUACAACUCUAGAAUGAAUAAUAAAUAUUUAUCAUGAUAUAAGGAAAUAAAUAAUAACUUUAUUAUUGCCUCUAGGGCAUAUUUCCUACAUGAACUUGUGCUAAAACUCCACUUCAACUUAAAGAAUUUAAAAAUUGCAACUUUCUUUGCUAAGAGUCUAUUCACCCCCCUCUAGAGACCUCUUCUCUAUCCUCUCAAUUGGUAUCAGAACAUUGGUCUCCAUUGCUUUGGUUUGAACACCUUUGUAGGAAGAUGGAUGAGUCUACGUUGAGGAGUCUUAAACGUAGAGUGCCUAUACUUGAUGGAGAGUACUUUCAUGAGUGGAAAAAUGAGAUCCUUGAGAUUUUCCAUGUAUAUCAUUUGGAUAAGUACAUUACUAGUCCUUGUGCACCUCAUGUUGAUCCUUUGCAUCCUACACUUGAUGAGUCUAUUGACAUGAUCCGCAAUCUUAGAACUGUGAAUUUAAUCACUAGAGGUUUGCCUAGAAACUUGCUUGCUAGCUUGCCUACUCUUGAUUGUGCCUACACCAUAUGGGGAUUCCUUGAGGAACGUUUUCCAAACUAUUCCUUGAAAAAUCUAGAUGAGAUUCUUCAUAAGUCUAUUGCCUUGAGUAAGAUGAGUUCCAAUGACUCCAAAUUUGGUGAUUGUUUAUUUGAGCUUACAAAUCUUACGAGUGUCAAAGGAGAUGUUGGAAUCAUUAGCAAUAUCAUUUCCGAAGUCAUUAGAAUUCAUAGAGAUGAACAUUGUUACGGUCACACUUCUAAUGAAUCACUCUCUCUAGGAAUCGAUCCACCUUAUGACGGUGUUGAACAUGGACACUAUGAUGAGGAUGAUGAUAGUGACUAUGAUCUUGAUGAUGCAAUGAGACACUUUGAUCUUAUGGCUAAUCUUCGCGGCUACUCGGCUGGAGGAAAGGAAUGGGUUCUUGAUAGUGGGUGUACCAACCAUAUGACUGGAGACAAAGACAUGUUUCGUGAGCUUGCUGAAAACGACGGCCCUCGAAAGUAUGUCACUUUCGGUGAUAACUCAAAGGGUAAGGCGGUUGGCCUUGGUAAGGUGGCCAUCUCACAUGAUAGCUCCAUACAAAAUAUUAUGCUCGUUGAAUCUCUUGGCUACAAUUUAAUUUCCGUAUCUAGACUUGCUGACUUUGGUUUCAGUGUCCUAUUUACUGAAGUAGAUUGCCAAGUGUUUCGUAGAGAUAACCAUAAAAUGGUCUUUACCGGUACACAUAGAGGUGAUCUUUACAUUGUUGAUUUCACUAAGAAGGCUCAACCUAGAACUUGCCUAAUUGCUAAGUCCUCGAAAGGUUGGUUGUGGCAUAGAAGGUUAGGUCAUGUGGGCAUGCGAAAUCUUGAUAAGCUUAUUAAAGGUGAUCAUAUCCUUGGAGUAAAAGAUGUUAUAUUUGACAAGGAUAGACUUUGUAGUGCUUGUCAAGCAGGAAAACAAGUUGGAGGAAGCCACCCCAUGAAGAACAUUAUGACCACGAGAAGACUGCUCGAGCUACUUCAUAUGGAUCUUUGUCCCAAUGCCUAUAAGAGUCUCGGUGGUAACUCAUUCGGUCUAGUUAUAUUUGAUGAUUUUUCAAGAUUUACGUGGGUAUUCUUUCUUGAUGAUAAAUCGCAGGUCCAAAAGAUCAUCAAGAACUUUUCUAGGAAGGCCCACAAUCAAUUUGAAGUGAAGAUCAAGAAGGUUCGCAGCGACAACAGAACAGAGUUCAAGAACGCAAAUGUGGAUACCUUUCUUGACGAAGAAGGGAUCUCACAUGAGUUCUCGACUACGUACACGCCUCAACAAAAUGGAGUUGUUGAGAGGAAGAACCGAACUCUUAUUGAGAUGGCGAGGACAAUGCUUGAUGUGUCCAAGACUCCAAAGCACUUUUGGGCGGAAGCCGUUCAGACAGGUUGUCAUGUAACGAAUCGCCUGUAUCUUCACAAGCUACUCGGCAAGACGGCAUACGAGCUUCUCACCGGUAACAAACCCCAAGUUGGAUACUUUCGAGUAUUUGGCUCAAAGUGUUACAUUCUUGACAAGCAUCGUCGUUCUAAAUUUGCUCCUAAAUCUCACGAAGGAUUCCUACUUGGUUAUGGCUCAAACUCUCACACUUACCGUGUCUACAACAAUUUCACCCGAAAGGUUGAAGAGACGGUAGAUGUGAAGUUUGAUGAAUCUAACGGCUCGCAAGUAGAGUAAUUGCCAAUUGAUGUAGGAGUUAAAAAUCCUUCGGAAGCAAUCCAAGACAUGUCUAUUGGCAAGAUCCGUCCAACGGAGGUGAAGGAGAGUACCUCGCCCGUCCAAGUGGAAGCUUCUACCUCACAACAAGGUGAACCAAGAGUAGACAUGGAAGCAUCCACGAGUGGGACACACCAAGAUGAAGAAAAUGAGGAAGUACACCAAGAUGAACCUCAUCAACCUCCUUAUCCACCACGACAAGGGAACAAUGACGCCAAUAAUGAACAAGGCCAAGAAGAAGGUCAAGAUGAUGAAGAAGAUGUUCCACCCCAAGAAAAACAAAAGCUAUCACGAGUUCGAGCAAGAGUCGCUAGAGACCAUCCCGUCGAGCAAAUCUACAAUGAUAUCCAAACCGGGAGAAUCACUCGCUCUAAAUCUCGUUUGGCUAAUUUUUGUGAACAUUAUUCAUUCAUCUCUAGUAUUGAACCGAUGAAUGUUGAAGAAGCAUUGGAAGAUCUGGAUUGGAUAAAUGCCAUGCAUGAAGAGCUACACAACUUUGAGAGAAAUCAAGUGUGAACAUUGGUCGAGAAUCCCGACAACAACCACAACAUCAUUGGUACCAAAUGGGUAUUUCGCAACAAGCAAGACAAAGAUGGUCAAGUCAUCCGCAACAAAGCUCGUCUAGUCGCCCAAGGCUACACUCAAGUCGAAGGUAUGGACUACGGUGAGACAUAUGCCCCCGUUGCUAGACUUGAGUCCAUCCGCAUCUUGCUUGCCUAUGCUAAUCGCCAUGAUAUCACUUUAUACCAAAUGGACAUUAAAAGUGUUUUUCUAAAUGGUGAAAUUAAGGAGGAAGUUUAUGUUAAACAACCUCCCGGCUUUGUCAAUCCUAAGAAACCCGAUCAUGUUUACAAACUUCACAAAGCUCUUUAUGGUCUUAAACAAGCUCCUAGAGCGUGGUACAAAUGCUUGACCAAGUUCCUUAUUGAUAAAGGCUUUGAGAUUGGAAAAAUAGAUUCUACUCUUUUUACUAAAAGGGUUAACGGUGAAUUGUUUGUGUGCCAAAUCUAUGUUGAUGAUAUCAUAUUUGGUUCGACUAACCCUCUUUUUAGUGAAAGUUUGGGAAGCUAAUGUCGGAGAAGUUUGAGAUGUCUAUGAUGAGUGAACUCAAGUUCUUUCUUGGUUUGCAAAUCAAGCAAACUAAGGAAGGCAUCUUUAUCUCUCAAACAAAGUACACCAAGGACUUAUUCAAGAAGUUCAACAUGCAAGAAAGCAAAGGUAUGAAAACUCCCAUGCCUACUAGUGGACAUCUUGAUUUGACUAAGGAUGGUAAACGGUUGACCAAAAGGUUUACCAAUCUAUGAUUGGUUCAUUAUUAUAUCUAUGUGCCUCCCGUCCCAAUAUCAUGCUAAGUGUGUGCAUGUGUGCAUGAUAUCAAGCAGCCCCCAAAGAAUGUCAUCUUAAGGCUGUGAAAAGGAUAGUAAGAUACUUAAUACACACACCAAAUUUUGGCAUUUGGUAUCCUAAGAGGUCAUCUUUUGAUCUUGUUGGCUAUUCCGAUUCGGACUAUGCCGGAGACAAGGUUGAUAGAAAGUCCACUUCGGGUACUUGUCAAUUUCUUGGUAUAUCUCUUGUAUCUUGGUCCUCCAAGAAACAAAAUUCGGUAUCAUUAUCCACUGCCGAAGCGGAAUACAUUGCCGUCGUUUCAUGUUGUGCUCAAUUACUUUGGAUGACCCAAACUCUUAAAGAUUAUGGGAUCAAUGUGAAACAUGUUCCAUUGCUUUGUGACAAUGACAGUGCUAUUAAGAUCGCUCACAAUCCCGUGCAACAUUCUCGAACUAAGCAUAUUGAAGUUCAUCAUCAUUUCAUUCGAGAUCAUGUUGCUAAAGGGGACAUUGAUCUUAAACAUGUUUGUACCGAUAAGAAAUUGGUGGAUAUAUUCACCAAACCGCUUGAUGAGAAAGUCUUUUUCCACUUGAGAGGUGAAUUGAACAUCAUUGAUGCUUCAAACUUGGAGUAGGGACUCCAUUUGGAUACAUGCAAGGCAUGGAUCUAUGACUAAUCCUUGAUAUCUCUCUGAUGAUGAUCAUAUGUCUUGGAUAUAUUUGCACUCUUGCAUGCUAUCUAAACCCUUGUAGGUACUUGGAUGAAUCUAAAUCUAUGAGAUUGCAACUCACUCACAUCUUGAGCAAUCUCUACAUCACCAAGUCUCUACUCAAUGGUGGUUGAAAACAAGGAAGCAUGAAACACUUCAACUUAUCCUUUGACAAAUUCUAUGUAUCAAAUUUCAUUUGGUAUCAAAUUUCAUGAUUGUCAUUUUGGAUACACAAGUGCUCUUCCUUGGAAAACUAACCCAUGUAGGUAGAUGAACUCAACUCCAAGUGGUGCUCCCAACCACUCUUGCGCUACAUCAACCUUGAGCUACCCACGCAAGUUCAACUACAUGAUCAAGAUCAACACCACCACCCAAGGUAUGUAAUUCCAUCUUAGAGAAGCUUUACCUCAAGUCUUAGGUCAAAGCAACUCAACAAGAUGUGAAUACAUCAAAUGCUUAAACAAAAAAUGGUAACCCCAUUUUAAGCUUAAAUGAUGAGUAUGACUUACGAUCAAGUGUUCUCACUUGACUCCUCAGUCAAUAUACUCUAACAUAGGUGACUUUGUCACCGCCCAAUUCUAGAUGAAGGUCUCUAGUGUUUCCUUGAGUUUUUGCAUACUUCAUCUAGAUUUUCUUUUCUCUGUUUUAAUUCUGCAUUUCCCUGCAUCCAAUUCAUUGCAAAUCUUUUAGUUAAUUCCUUGCAAAUCUUUGUGAGAUAUUUUUGCCUAGUGAGCUGACGUGACAAGUGUUCUAUCUGCGUUGAACUCGGUCAUAUACCGAUCUAUUGCUUUCGGUCACACCGAACCAAUUCGGUGCCACCGAAGACUACAACUUGGUAUCACCGAUUUCACUGCAGAGAAGACAAUUUGCCAUUUGUUCCUAUAGUUUUAUUCUAGCUCCACUUGAUGAUUCUUAUCCUCUACCAGCAUCAUGAUCUAUAUGCUGCUUUGCUCUGUGACUCAAGGACCAAACCUAUUUGACUCAUACUCCAGAAGAUCCCUUCUUGGAAAUUGAUGUCAAAGGGGGAGAGAGAUCACAUCAAAGCUUAUUCUCUUCAAAGAGGGAGAAGGAGAAAGAGAAAGAGGUAGAGAGAGGUAAUCACAUCAAAGGCCCCAGAUGCUUGGUGUUCAAGAGGAGAGAAGUCACAUGUCUUUAAGAGGGGAAAGACAUGUCUAUGUUAUGUUUAUGGUUAUGAUCUGUUUUGCUCUGAUUUUGUUUCCCUAUGUUCUCCCAUUAUCCAAUACAAGAUUCAGGGGGAGAAAGACUGUUAGGGAAGGAGAUCUAUGAAUUCAUUGCAUAUCUUUACCUUUUGGGGACAUGUCUAUAUCAAAUAGAGUACUCAGUACUCACUCACUACAUGUCAUCCCAGUCUUGGUACUCUUGUAGUUUCUUUUGGUUGCUCUGGUUGGUAAAUGUAUCUGUGUUAUCUAACCCUGUUUACUCAGGUUCAUUCCCUCCUAAGCUAACUCAAGGCCACAAGGUAAGUAUAUGCAUCACACUCAUAUGCAUGAGGAUUUCUUACUGAUGUACAUAUUGUUUGCAAGAAAGACUUAUGAGCAUGUAGGUACAUUUCCUAUAUUUACAUUUUUUGCUCUUAUGCAUAUAGCCAAGAUACAUGUAACACAUUGCUUACUCUAUCAUGCUAUGCAUUCACAUGCUCUUAUAGUCCAUAUUUACAUGAUUGCAUACAUAUAGGGGGAGCCUAUGCAUGUUACAUGUCUUUCCAAAUCUUUACUCGUUAUUCUCUAUAUCUUUAUCUAAAGCUUUGAUGUAUGUUGUCAUCAAUUACCAAAAAGGGGGAGAUUGAAAGCACAAAUGCUCCCUGGGUGAUUUUGGUAAUUAAUGUCAACAUAUCUCUUGUUGGACUAAUGCUUUUGACUAGAAUGCUUCAGAUAAGUUCAACAAUGGAGUGGCAUGGACUAGAGGAUGUGGAACCCUUUCGACAUGAUAAGGACAAAGGAUUGGCUCAAGCUCAAAGCUCGGGACUCUACAUUUUCUAUUUCAGUGAUCCAAGAUCACAUUGAGUCCAUAGGAAAGCCAAUACUAUUAAGAGGGGAUGAGGUGUUGCUUAAUGACUUGCUUGCUCAAAGUGCUUAGUGAUAUGCUCCACAGCCAUCAACUACUUUCUCAAAUCCACAUAUGUCCCAAACCAAAAGUCAAACUCGGCCCUACCGAAAUUUCCUAUCCGGUGCCACCGAGUUCUCUUGACAUAGCCAGUGCCAGAAACCCUAAUCAAUUCGGUCUCACCAAUGGGAUCUUGGUCUCACCGAGAUGGGCUUGCAAACUCUCUGUUGCCUAUUGCAUUAAUUUCAGUUCCACCGAAAUAUGCAAUCGGUCUCACCGAGUUUUCUUAGCCAACUCUCUGUUUUGCUUAUUACCCAAAUCGGUCCCACCGAGUUUGUGUAAUCGGUCCAACCAAGAUGAGGCAUUACCUUAACCCUAGCGCAUCGGUCCCACCGAGUUGAUCAUGUCGGUCCCACCGAAAACCCUAACGGUCACAUUAUGAACUAAAUCGGUCUAACCGAGUUGUGUGAUUCAGUCCCUCUGAGUUUGGUGAUUUGUGUGUAACGGUUAGAUUUUGUGUGGAGGAUAUUUAUACCCCUCCACCCACUCUUCAUUCGUGGAGAGAGCCAUCAGAAUAUGCCUACACUUCCAACAUACAUUUUCUGAGAGAGAACCACCGACACUUGUGUUGAGGUCAAGAUAUUUCAUUCCAACCACAUAAAUCUUGAUCUCUAGCCUUCCUCAAGUUGCUUUCCACUCAAAUCAUCUUUCUACCAAAUCCAAUCCUAUGAGAGAGAGUUGAGUGUUGAGGAGACUAUCUUUGAAGCACAAGAGCAAGGAGUUCAUCAUCAACACACCAUCUAUUACCUUUUGGAGAGUGGUGUCUCCUAGUGUAACGCCCCGAGACCGUUGUGCCAGGUGUCUUCCAGUUAUUCGCUGUUGUUGCCUUGUCAUUUGUUUGUGUGUCAUGCAUUUCAUAUCAUGUCAUCAUGUGCAUCGCAUUUGCAUACGUGUUCGUCUCAUGCAUCCGAGCAUUUUUCCCCGUUGUCCAUUUUGCAAUCCGACACUCCUACGUCCUCCGGCGCCCUCUUCUGUCUCUUUUCGUGAGCGGGUGUUAAACUUUCUCGGAAUGGACCGAGAUUUGUCAAGCGGCCUUGGUACACCACCGGUAGACCGCCUAUCAAGUUUCGUGCCAUUUGGAGUCCGUUUGAUACUCCAACGGUUAACCGGGGAACCGUAAAGGCCUCGUGUGUGUUGCAGCCUAACACCCCUCCAAAACGGCCCAAUAACUCAUCCAAACCCCAUCCAUCCUCUCGGUCGUUCGAUCACGAUCGCGUGGCCGAAAACCGCUCCUCAUUUGGACUCUCCUAGCUCCCUCUACCUAUAUAUAUAUAUAUAUAUAUAUAUAUAUAUCCUCUCCCCCGAAAAUUUCGCGGAUGAACCCUAACCUCCUCCUCCUCCGCGUGUCCGGACGCGUCCGUGCCGUGCCGGACNNNNNNNNNNNNNNNNNNNNNNNNNNNNNNNNNNNNNNNNNNNNNNNNNNNNNNNNNNNNNNNNNNNNNNNNNNNNNNNNNNNNNNNNNNNNNNNNNNNNNNNNNNNNNNNNNNNNNNNNNNNNNNNNNNNNNNNNNNNNNNNNNNNNNNNNNNNNNNNNNNNNNNNNNNNNNNNNNNNNNNNNNNNNNNNNNNNNNNNNNNNNNNNNNNNNNNNNNNNNNNNNNNNNNNNNNNNNNNNNNNNNNNNNNNNNNNNNNNNNNNNNNNNNNNNNNNNNNNNNNNNNNNNNNNNNNNNNNNNNNNNNNNNNNNNNNNNNNNNNNNNNNNNNNNNNNNNNNNNNNNNNNNNNNNNNNNNNNNNNNNNNNNNNNNNNNNNNNNNNNNNNNNNNNNNNNNNNNNNNNNNNNNNNNNNNNNNNNNNNNNNNNNNNNNNNNNNNNNNNNNNNNNNNNNNNNNNNNNNNNNNNNNNNNNNNNNNNNGCCCCGCCGCCGCUCGGUUUCCUCGUCGUCCGCGCGCCGCCUCCUCCUCCACCGCACCCGCUCGGCCCCACCGCCUCCUCCUCGUCACGCCGCUGUGUCCUUGUCGCCGAAGUCCGCGCCGACCUCGUCGGCAUCAUCCUCCGUCGCCGGAUCUGGAGGUGGACCAGAUCCAUCAGGCCACCGAACCAAACGUCGCGCCCACGUCCUGGAUCUCCUUGUCCCGCACGUCUCCGUCCCGAGUUGACUUUUUCGGAGGUUGAUUUUUCUCUAAGUCCCAGAUCUGUGAUGUUUUAUAGCCCUGUUCAACAUAUCAUAACUCCUCAUCCGUAGAUCCGUUUUGCAUGCAUGAUAUAUCAAAAUGUUCAUCUGGAUGUGCUCUUCAUUUUGUUCCACUGUGCCAUGCUUGUUUGAGUCCAUCUUGAUGCCUAAACGACUGUUGCAAGAGUGCUAUAAAAUGUUAGGUCCUGAUUCUUAUCAGAUUAUGAGCAUUUGUCAUUUUUGCCAUGAUUAUUAUGUGCUGCAUAUGGGCAUGAGCUCUACAUGUGUUCUAUUCUAUGCCAUGCCAUCUUUACAGGGGUGCUUACCAUGUAUUUUUGUGAUCAUUGUGGUGACUAGCACAAGCAUGCAAAGUAGCUCUCGUGAUAUUGCUGUUUUCAGAGACUUAGAAUUUCACUAAGUAAUUUCCCUGAUGUUAUUUUAAUGCCAUGUAUUCAUGUUACUACAGAGAGAUCCAUGCUUCUUUUGAGUAUGUUCAGUAAGGAUUAUUUUGACAUAUGGUUAUGAUCUAUCCAUCCAUGUCCCUGUUUGCAUUUAUGGAGUGCCCUAGCAUGACCUAAUCUUGCUCUACUUUUGCUAUAAAAUGUUCCUGGCAGAUUGUUUACGUGUUAAUCAAUUUUGCCAAGGUUGUUGUAGUUGAUCCAUGUAUGCUAUGAGAUUGUUCUUGCUUUGGUUGGCUUCCUGAUCAUGUAUUCUUGCUAGUAGUAUGCUUAGUUUGUCAUUCAUUGCCUUUUGUUGAGUGCAUCGAGCUCGCAAACAUGACUUCAUAAUUCUGUUUAUGCCAUGUCCAGUUUUCUGCUAAGUCUGAAUCUGUUAACGAAACUUACUAUGUUUACAUGGGUGCCAUCAUAUCUUAUGAUCCCUUUUGGCUUAUGGUCAGUAAGGGACUUUUGUUAUAUCAUUUGAGUAGAUUCAUGUCAUGCCUUGUAUUGCUAUGUUCUAAUCCUGUAGCAUGUUGUUAUCUUGCUCUAAACAUUGCUUCCUGAUGUUAAUUCCUGAAUGUUGUUAUUUUCACUAAGUCUGCUAUGUUGUUAUCUUUUGCACUUUUGUCAUGCUUGUUUGAACCUGCUCUUGUGUGAUAAUUCAGUGUUCAUUUUUGUCAAGCAUCUUGAGUAGAUCACCGACAUGUGUUUUGUUGCUAUGUUAGAGUGCAGUAGCUUAGUUUCUUGUUGCAUUCUAGAUGGCAUCGUGCUAUUUAUCGUAGAAUUGUGCCAUUCUUGUUUUGCUUGCCAUUUGCAAACCGUGCAUCCGAUUCCGGUGAUCUUUAUAUCAAUUUCGACCGAAAUCAACUCAUCUUUCCAGCAGCGUACUUGGUUUGCCAAGUUGAGUCUUGGUUCAACCUUUUCCUUCCGGAGCACGCAUAUGCAUUGCAUAUCACAUCCCGCAUAUCAUGCCAUGUUUUGCAUCAUGUUGCUUGCGCAUUGCACCAUGAUUGAUUGUUGGUCUUUUUGCUUGUGUUCUUGCCUUCGAUAGAGCCGGGAGACGAGUACGUGAUCGAGGAACCCGUUGAGUACGCUUACGAGGAUCAAGCUUACGUCAACUCGGAGAACUUUGCAGGCAAGAUGACCACACCCUCGAAAUCACUUCUAUCUUUGCUUGCUAGUUGCUCGCUCUUUUGCUAUGUUGCGAUACCUACCACUUGCUAUAUCGUGCCUCCCAUAUUGCCAUGUCAAGCCUCUAACCAACCUUGUCCUAGCAAACCGUUGUUUGGCUAUGUUACCGCUUUGCUCAGCCCCUCUUAUAGCGUUGCUAGUUGCAGGUGAAGAUGAAGUUUGUUCCUUGUUGGGAUAUCACAAUAUCUCUUAUUUUAACUAAUGCAUCUAUACACUUGGUAAAGGGUGGAAGGCUUGGCCUUAUGCCUGGUGUUUUGUUCCACUCUUGCCGCCCUAGUUUCCGUCAUACUGGUGUUAUGUUCCUUGAUUUUGCGUUUCUUACGCGGUUGGGUUAUAAUGGGAACCCCUUGACAGUUUGCUUUGAAUAAAACUCCUCCAGCAAGGCCCAACCUUGGUUUUACAUCUGCACUAACAAUCUAUCACCUUCCCUUGGGUUCUGCAGACUCAAGGGUCAUCUUUAUUUUAACCCCCCCGGGCCAGUGCUUCUCUAAGUGUUGGUCCAACCUGAGCGAUGCCUGGCGCCCCCUGGGCAACCAGGGUCUAUGCCAACCCGACGUCUGGCUCAUCUGGUGUGCCUUGAGAACGAGAUAUGUGUAGCUCCUAUCGGGAUUUGUCGGCACAUCCGGGCGGCUUUGCUGGUCUUGUUUUAUCACUGUCAAAAUGUCUUGUAACCGGGAUUCCGAGUCUGAUCGGGUCUUCCUGGGAGAAGGAAUAUCCUUCAUUGACCGUGAGAGCUUGUGAUGGGCUAAGUUGGGACACCCCUGCAGGGUUUUGAACUUUCGAAAGCCGUGCCCACGGUUGUGGGCAGAUGGGAAUUUGUUAAUAUCCGGUUGUAGAGAACUUGACACUUAACUUAAUUAAAAUGCAUCAACCGCGUGUGUAGCCGUGAUGGUCUCUUUCCGGCGGAGCCCGGGAAGUGAACACGGUUCUUGUGUUAUGCUUGAACGUAAGUAGUUUCAGGAUCACUUCUUGAUCACUUCUAGUUCACGACCGUGCUUUGCUUCUCUUCUCGCUCUUAUUUGUGUAACCCCUAAUGGAGGUUGAUACAAUAGUUAGGAAGUAAAUGGGAAUUGUCUGAUUGUAAUUUUGCUAAUCUUUUGCAUAUGUGUCUCAGGCAUAUGAGCAAACUUGGUUUGGCUAGCAAAUUAAAAUGAUCCUAUUAGUGGCAGCUGCAGCUAUUCUGACAGUUCGCUAAAGACCGGUGCGUAAUUGACAGAAAAUAGUUUCAGUUGAGUGAUACUUCACAAACGUAUAUAUAAUUUUUGUUCUGUGCAUGCUAUAUUCAGAUCAUUUAUACAUGCUUUUGGUGCACAUUUAUAUACGAUUAUUUUUAUUGGACACCACUAGGCAUGGGACUAAUAAAUUUUGGAUGCUAUCAAACUAGUGGUACCAUCCGAUAAAAAGCAUCAUAAAUGUCUGAUGUAAUAGUUAGGCUCUGCGUGAGUUAAUUCGGUUCAUUAAUUGAUUGCUCCGUCAUAACUCUUCCCGCAUCCAUCAGCAUGGGUUGUUACCUUAGAACAAGUACAAUAAACUUAUGUAAGAGCAUCUCUAGCAGACUCCGUAAAACACCGCGACCCGCAAAAUAACCGUCAAAAUACGGAUUGGCGCGGAAAAUUCUGCCCGAACAGACCCCGCAAACACGUCUGACCCGUAAAAUUUUUUGCGGGACGCAGCAAAAGAUCGCCCUGAACCUUUAGAUUCAUGGGGUGGGAGGCCGACCCGACCUCGCCCCCUAUCCGCAGCGAGAUUUGGCGUGAGGGAAAUUUCCGCACGGUCGUUCCCACUCCCCCCCCCCUCCUCGGCCACCAUUGCCCCGCCAUCGCGUGCUCUGGUCCAUCUUCCCGCCAUUCUUCGCGCCAUGGAAGCCUCCCAGCCAUCCCCUGUCACCGUAGAGGUCGCGCACACGCAAUCCCCUUCAACGGAUCUCAUCGCUGGCCAUGUCGCCCCACCGUCGCCCGAGGCACCAACGCGCCUGCCCGCAAGCGGCAGGGCAACGUUGUCGUGCAGGGUGGCAAUCCGGCUGGCCCCGCCGAAAAGGCACGCACGUUGGGCGGCGCCGUCGCUGCAUGAUUUGCCCGGCCGCCGGCGGAGAAGGUGAGUAAGGUUUCGGGCGUGAAGCGGAAGAAUGUUCAUACGAAAAGGCCGGCGCCUUCGUCCACUCCCUCCGCCCCGGCGAGAUGUUCCCCGACGAUGCCGUUCAACGGCGCUGCUUCCACCGCAGGCAAGGUGUUCGAUGAAAUGGUCGGAAGGUAUGAAUCUUCGAUCCCUUGUUCUUGCUUCGCUUUUUGCCAUCGUGUUAGCUCGUGACUUGAUGUCACUCAAUGUAGCGGUGGUUUGAACAAUGCCACUGCUGAGUUCAUGAACUUGUUGGACACCAAUGCCGUUGUCGGUGCCAAAACCGGCGGAUCUCGGGUAGGGGGUCCCGAACUGUGCGUCUAGGCCGGAUGGUAACAGGAGGCAAGGGACACGAAGUUUUACCCAGGUUCGGGCCCUCUCGAUGGAGGUAAAACCCUACGUCCUUCUUGAUUAAUAUUGAUGAUAUGGGUAGUACAAGAGUAGAUCUACCACGAGAUCAGAGAGGCUAAACCCUAGAAGCUAGCCUAUGGUAUGAUUGUUGAUGUGUAUGUUGUCCUACGGACUAAAACCCUCCGGUUUAUAUAGACACCGGAGAGGAUUAGGGUUACACGAAGUCAGUUACAAUGGUAGGAGAUCUACAUAUCCGUAUCGCCAAGCUUGCCUUCCACGCCAAGGAAAGUCCCUUCCGGACACGGGACAAAGUCUUCAAUCUUGUAUCUUCAUAGUCCAGGAAUCCGGCUGAAGGUAUAGUCCGGCUAUCCGAACACCCCCUAAUCCAGGACUCCCUCAGUAGCCCCUGAACCAGGCUUCAAUGACGACGAGUCCGGCGCGCAGAUUGUCUUCGGCAUUGCAAGGCGGGUUCCUCCUCCAAGUACUUCAUAGAAGAUUUUGAACACAAAGAUAGUGACCGGCUCUGCAAAAUAAGUUUCCACAUAUUGCCAUAGAGAGAAUAAUAUUUACACAAAUCUAAUCUGCUGACGUAUUCCGUAAUGUGACACACCACGGCCAAGCCUUUAUUCGAGUCAUUUCAUUAUCCCACCUCAGCGCGUCAUGCGAGGCGGUUUCCUUGGCACGUCUUGUUAAAGCAGAGAUCGUGUCCCCUUAUCCCGGGAUUCUCAUCAGUACGGGCGUGGGUAACCCAACCGCGCCAUUGAUCACGGCACUUGGAGAUAAGCGAGUUUUACCAGGCUGGUGGGGACAUGUAGUUGCGUCCACCCAUAUAAGGGGAUAAGGAUCCACCUUCUCACCUACACCUUCUUCCUCCUUCGCCUAUCCAUUCUUGCGCACUCGAGCUCCAGCGCCCAAAUCCGCACUCCCCAUCUCAACCUUCUCCGGCCAUGUCCGGAGCGGGAGGCAAGUGGAUGGUCUCCUCCGUCACGGAGGGACACAUCAAAAAGCUGAGGAAGGCAGGAUACCUGUCUAACGACAUCGCGUACCGGCUUCCCAAAAAGGGGCAGCUCAUCCCCACCCCUAGGCCCCAUGAGAGGGUGGUGUUCCUCCCCCAUUUCCUCCGCGGACUGGGCUUCCCUCUCCACCCAUUUGUCCGGGGGCUCAUGUUCUACUACGGCCUGGAUUUCCACGAUCUGGCCCUGAACUUUGUCCUCAACAUCUCGGUGUUUAUCGUCAUAUGCGAGGCUUUCCUCCGCAUCCGCACCCAUUUCGGCCUAUGGCUCAAGACUUUCAAUGUCAAGCCGAAGGUGGUGCGCGGCAACCAGGCGGAGUGCGGAGACGCCAUGGUGGGCAAGAUGGCCAACGUCCUAUGGCUCGAGGGCUCCUUUGUGGAGACCCUGAAGGGGUGGCAAUCGGGGUGGUUUUACAUCACCGAGCCGCGCGACCCCGAAUGGGUCGCAGCCCUCGUGUUUCGAUCCGGACCCCCUACGCGGCUCACCUCCUGGAAGGAUACGGGCCUGUCAUGGGGUAAAAAGGAGAGCUGACCGGACUCCAAACAUGCAUCCAAACCCUGGUGGACAAGAAGCUCAAACUUGUCAACGUUGUCCAGGUUAUGCUCAUCCGCCUGAUCCUCCCGUGUCAACAACGGGCUUUCAACCUGUGGGAGUUCGACCCGGCGCAGCACCAAACGCUAAGAAGGCUCUUCGACACGAUGUACGAAGAUGCCUGGAAGGUGCUUUUCAAGGGCGUCGAGGCUCCCGCAUCCACUACCGAGGAUCGCAGAUUCAGUACGCAGCAUCACGCUCAUGCGGUAAGCUGUUUUUUUCCUUUUACAGGGUAUCAGUUUUUCAUAGUUUGACUCCAUGCGGGAUCUAAACUCCCUUACCUUUGACAUGAUUGGCAGGUGACGUCCGGACAGAUCAACUGUCCGGCUCCUUUGCCCGAAGGCCCAGCGGACGCUCGCUUGGCGAAGCUGCUGGUUCCGGCACCCUAUGUGGUGUCGGAGAAGAAGGCCGCGAAAAAGGCCACGGGGACUCGAAAGAGUGCCCGGCGCCAGGAGGUGUCGGACCCAUCAUCCGACGGUUCCAAGGUGCAUUCCUCCCAUGAAGACGAGAAGCAAGAAGAAGAGACCUCUCCCCCUCCAGCGGGAGGAGAGAAGAAAAGGAAGGCCACUCUCUCUGGGGAGGCCGGAGGGUCCAAGAAGGGGAAAACCCUUCCCCCGGACUACUCCACCAACGCCGACAACGGCGGAGAGGAGUGGCAGCCCAGGGCCAAGCCCCUCGCAAAGUCGUAAGUAUCCGGAUACUAGAGUAAUUCAUAGUAUCCGUUUAUUGCACAGCUUUCCCUUACGUCAAGUAUGUUUAUGCAACCCACCCAAAGACCGGCUCGACGCGUCGUCGAGCGGCUCACUGGACUCGUCGGAUGUGAACUCGCUUCCGACGGCUUCCUUCCCCCGCCCUACAGACGACACCAAAAUGUUGUCCCAACAGGUUCCAAGCCGGGAGGAGGUGGUCCUGGAGGCGCCGCAAGGUGACCUCCCGGACUCUAGGAGUAAAGGGGAUGAAACCCCCCAGGGCUCCAAGUCCGGCUCUAGGCUGGACACCGCUCCGGAACCUUCAAAGGUUCCAGAGUCCGGCGGGGGACCUCCUUCCAAGGGGAGCGAGCCCACCGUGCCGGUGACCCCCGUCCAACCGGAGGCGCCGGACAAUCUGUUGGAGGCGCUUCAAGGCGCCUCCAUCGACGAGGGGCACCGCACCAUUAUGAGUGCGGUGGUCCAGAAGGUUCAGUCCACCAAGAGCGGACUGACUGAACCUUGUACUAGCCUUUUAACAGGCUUUGAGGUAAGUAAAGAAUGAGUAAAUAAUAUUACCGCAUAGACAGUAGCCCCUGAUGCUCUGUUUGGCAUUCGGAAAGAAAAGCCGAAUAGAGGAUCAAAUAAAAUUUGCAGGAGUCUAACAAAAAUGAGUCAAUAUGCGUAUGCAGGCUUCUCCGCUUGCAUCCGCCGCACUAACUGUGGAGGUGGAUACGCUAAGGCAGAACCUCGAGCGGUCCGAGCAAGAGCUCGGGCGUGCCAAGAAGCAGCUCGAGGACAAUGAAGGUAAGAAAUACCUUGUUUAAAUAUAUAUAUAUAUAUAUAUAAAGGUGCAAUUGCAAAAAAUGACAAGAUUAUCGUGGCUAUUGUAGGGGCCACGUCUGAGGUGGCGAACCUUAAGCAAGCGCUGGUCGAGGCCGAGAAGAGGGCGGCCUCGGAACGCACCGAGCGGGAGAAGUAUGAGGCCGAGGUUGGCAAGGUACGGCAAGAGCUCCAGGCUCUCAUGGAAAAACAUGAGAGUUUGGAGCUUGACUCAAAGACGCAAGCGUCCGAGCUCGUGGUGGCUAUUGAAAAUGCCAAGUCUGCCAAGGCCGAAUCCCAGAAGACCCUCCAGGAGUUGGAUGAGGUGAAGAAGAUAGCGGCGGGUAAGGCAUUCUUUAUGCAAAGCAAACACAUAAACGUGAGUUACUUGUUACUUACCCGAAUCCGGAGCUCUCCAGGAGCGUUCGCAGAUCUUCCCUGGAGUGUGUCUGAUGCCGCCGCAUUCUAUAGAGCCGAGGAGGGCAACUCGACAGAGAAGGUGUUCUAGUCUCAGUAUGCUGAGGCCGGACACCCCGUGCCCCUGAGCGACCAGCUGAAGCAACUGGUCGAGCUCCACAAGGCGGCCGAACAGGCCAUGAAGGGCCUCAUUGUUCGGCUGUGGCCUGGAGGGGCUCUGCCUGGGAGCUAUUUUGGGCUGGUGCGGCGGCUGGUGGAGGCCUGUCCAAGGCUCGAAGUCAUCAAGCGCUUCGUCUGCAUUGAAGGUGCCCGUAGGGCCCUUGCCCGUGCUAAGGUGCACUGGGGCAAGCUGGAUGCUGAGAAGCUUGUGAAGGACAGGCCACCGCCGGGGAAAGAGCAUCGCAAGCCCGAGAAUUACUAUAAGGAUGUUCUGAAGGGUGCCUGCCUUGUGGCGGAUGAAUGUUCUAGGGAUGUAAUUUUUGAGUGAAACUUGCUCGUUUUGUCAUGUGCGUUGAAAACUUGUUCAUAUGCGCUAAGCAAUGCUGUUGGAAUUUAAAAUAUUACCUUCUGUGCGGCUAUUUAUCAAUUCUGAGAGAUGGCGAGUCGUGGGCUUCUGCCCCCGUGCCGCUAGUGCUGGGGUGUUCGGGGAUAAACCUGAGCGCUCUUUUUCCCAUGUUUGGGUCCUUCGAGGGAGGCGCUCAGCCCAACAAACAAGGCAAUCGGACUAUAAUGUGUGAACACUCUCACUUUGCCAUAGAAAUCUAUAAUUUUAAAUUUCGGCGAAGCCCCUGGUAUUCGGAAGACCGAGUUCGGUACGCUAUCCACGCCUUGGCCGGACAGAGCCGGCUCCUCGCCCUAAGCGGCAUAAGUCUUUAGGGACUCAAAAAACCUCUUGAACAGCGACCAGCUCUCGCUUCAUCAUGACAGUCAGUUUUAGCUUUCUCCACUGAGGUGCUCGACCCAGCUCAACUGGGGCACAAUCGCAGUGGUUCUCCUAGUGCUACCUUAGCCGAUAUAGCGGAACGUAAGGCACCAAAACAUAGGAGCCGGGCAAACCCAACUAUUGACCCAAGACAUGAUUCAGAGCCGAUGCAUAUAAUGCUAUAAGUUUGGGGUGCCACACUUGUUAAAGUGUUCAGACUUCUCACACCAUAUUGAGGGGUACUAAAGCCCCUGGCGUAUUUUGGCCGUACCAACGUGUACGGGUGCAACAUGUCGUUAAGGAACAUAUAUAAAGAAAAAAGGUAAUGCAAAAAUAGACGAAAGCUAUGCAUUUUUUAUUAAAAAGGGCUGCGAUCAAAGCAGAACGAUACAAAUAGUGCGAUAAGUGAAAGGUUGGACUAGUUAACAUGUCCGUUCCAGGGGCAAGCUGCGGAAUAGUAUGCGGAACAGGUAUACUGCUCGUGAUAGAGACCACCUGGGAGUCCCGUAAUGCGGCGUGGCUUGUCUGCUUCCCUGGUUCUUGCAUCGUUUGUGCGGCAAUUGAACUGCCGAACAGGCCUUCCGAAGGAUCGAGUCCUGAAAGUAAGAGAAAAUUAAAAAAUCGGCAGCCCUUGGUACGGUUUAAGCCGUGUUUUGGGCGUGCCGUGAUGGUGCCCCUCCCCCUGUACCCAUGGUAUCUCUAGAGCGUAGUUAUGUACGUGAAGUACUGGCGUCGCCUUUUUGCGAGGGUUGGGGUUGGGGCCACAUUGCUACGCCUUCUCACAUCGUGCCAGGCGGUCUUGUUGUAGGUUACUCCGGGCGCGCUUGACGGUGUCCGGCCGUUUAGUGGCCAGACUGGAGAACUGCCUGGAGAGGCUGCUUUGUAUUUCCGCUGCAAGGGCCGUCGUGUGCUCCUCCGUUCGGAGGGAGUGUUCGGUGUUUCCAUUGACCGUAAUUACUCCUCGAGGGCCUGGCAUCUUGAGCUUAAGGUAUGCAUAGUGCGGUACCGCAUUGAACUUGGCGAAUGCGGUUCGCCCGAGCAGUGCGUGAUAACACUGCGGAACGGGACUAUGUCGAAGAUUAACUCCUCGCUUCAGAAAUUAUCCGGAGAUCCGAAGACCACUUCAAGUGUGACUGAGCUUGUACAGUUGGACUGUACACCUGGUAUUACGCCUUUAAAGGUCGUUUUGGUGGGCUUAAUCCUCGAGCGAUCUAUGCCCAUCUUCCGCACUGUAUCCUGGUAAAGCAGGUUCAGGCUGCUGCCGCCGUCCAUAAGGACUCUAGUGAGAUGAAAUCCGUCAAUAAUUGGGUCUAGAACCAAUGCGGCGAAUCCGCCAUGACGGAUGCUAGUGGGAUGGUCCCUUCGAUCAAAGGUGAUCGGGCAGGAGGACCAUGGGUUGAACUUUGGGGCGACUGGCUCUACCGCGUAUACGUCCCUUAACGCGCGCUUUCGCUCCCUUUUGGGGACGUGGGUUGCGUAUAUCAUGUUCAUCGUCCGCACUUGUGGGGGAAAAACCUUCUGUCCACUGUUGUUCGGCGACCGGGGCUCCUCGUCGUCAUCGCUAUGCAGCCCCUUGUCUUCAUUUUCGGCGUUUAACUUGCCUGCCUGCUUGAACACCCAACAAUCCCUGUUGGUGUGAUUGGCCGGCUUUUCGGGGGUGCCAUGUAUCUGGCACAAGCGGUCGAGUAUUCGGUCCAAACUGGACGGGCCCCUAGGAUUCCUUUUGAAUGGAUUUUUCCGCUGACCGGAUUUAGAGCCUCUGAAUCCGGCAUUAACUGUCGUAUCCUCAGCAUUGUCGCCGUUAAUGCGGCGCUUCUGCUUGUUGCGACGCGACCUGCCACUACUGUCCCUGGUGUCCGAAUUACCGGGGUUCUUGGUCAUAUUGUUGCUACGAGCAAGCCAGUUGUCUUCUCCCACGCAAAAGCGGGUCAUGAGUGUCGUGAGUGCUGCGAUUUCGGCUUUUCCUGUCCAAGGUGCCGGGCCAGCCACUCGUCACGGAUAUUGUGCUUGAAGGUUGCUAGGGCCUCAGCGUCCGGACAGUCGACUAUUUGAUUUUUCUUUGUUAGGAACCGUGUCCAGAAUUGCCUGGCCGAUUCCUCUGGCUGCUGAAUUACGUGACUUAGGUCAUCGGCGUCUGGGGGUCGCACAUAAGUGCCCUAGAAAUUGUCGAGGAAUGCGGCUUCCAGGUCCUCCCAACAACUGAUUGAUUCUGUUGGCAAGCUGUUAAGCCAAUGCCGAGCUGGUCCUUUAAUCUUGAGUGGGAGGUAUUUGAUGGCGUGGAAAUCAUCGCCGCGGGCCAUGUGGAUAUGAAGGAGAUAAUCCUCGAUCCAUACCACAGGAUCUGUUGUGCCAUCAUAUGAUUUGAUGUUUACGGGUUUGAAACCCUCGGGGAUUUGAUGAUCCAUUAUUUCGUCUGUGAAGCAUAGUGGGUGUGUGGCGCCUCUGUACUGGGCUAUAUCAUGACGUAGCUCCAAUGAGCUUUGUCUACUGUAUUCGGCCCUGCCGAAUUUGUGGCCGGCGUGACGGUUACGUCUCGAGCCGUGGGGUGCCCCCGCGAUCCGUAGAUCGAUCUUGUUUGCCUUGCCUUGUCCUCCAACAUAUCUCGUAAGUCCGGCGCAUAUUCACGUGCCUUGGUAUGGGGUGCGGCUUGAGUGGAGGGCCGAGAGGCCUCUCUGUCGCGGCCAUGAGGUGGCCGGUCGGCCGCAUCAAGUGCUUCCUCCUCUAAUUGGGGUAGCAACCUGCGCUUUGGGUAGCUCUUGGAGGGGCGCUCGAGUUUAUGCUCUUCGGCCGCAAGGACUUCAGUCCAUCUGUCGACUAGCAAAUCUUGAUCAGCUCUAAGUUGUUGUUGUUUUUUCUUGAGGCUUCUUGCCGUGGCCAUAAGCAUGCAUUGAAAACGCUCUUGCUCGACGGGAUCCUCUAGCACGACGAAUUUGUCGUCGUCGAGGCUUGCCUCAUCUUCGGAGGGAGGCAUAUAAUUAUCGUCCUCGACCUCUCUGUCUGCCGCUCUCUCAUGAGGGCUGGUUUCUCCAUCCUCCUGUGCUAAAUCUUGCUGGAGGGGGUUUUCUUCGGCACUUUCCGGAGUAUUAUUAUCUCCCGUGCUGGAAUCACCGUAUUUGUUUUGGCGGGAUUUUGAGCGGCGCCGCUGACGCUGGCGCUUAGGCUGUUUCUUGGAGGGGUCAUCCUCCGUUGUUCCAUCGCCAUCUCCUUCUUUUGGGGUGUCCACCAUGUAUAUGUCAUAUGACGAGGUGGCUUUCCAGGGCCUGGUAGGCGCUGGUUCUUCAUCAUCUCCUUCAUCGGCGUCCAUACCGUCGAUGUCUUCGGAGUCGAAGUUGAGCAUGUCGGUUAAGUCGUCAACAGUGGCUACAAAGUGGGUGGUGGGUGGGCUUUGAAUUUCUUCAUCGUCCGUACCCCAACCUUGCUGACCGUAGUCCGGCCAGGGCUCUCCUGAUAAAGAGAGAGACUUCAGUGUCUUCAGGAUAUCGCUUAAAGGCGAGUGCUGAAAGAUGUCCGUGGCAGUAAACUCCAUCAUCGGCGCCCAAUCGGAUUCGAUUGGCAGGGGCACGGAGGGUUCGGAGUCCGAGAGGAGUCCGGCUCCUUGGAGUCACGAGUCUCGCAGAGUACGGGGCUGGUGUUCGGCUCAAUCGCCGUUGGGAUCACAGCCCCCAGGGCACUGUUCGGCGGAAGAGCUAGAUCAUGCUCGUCGGGACAAUGCGGCGUGCUCGGCAAUGGCUCGAAUCCGUCGAAGAUCAAGUCCCCGCGGAUGUCAGCCGUGUAGUUUAAACUUCCAAAUCUGACCUGACGGCCAGGGGCGUAGCUUUCGAUCUGCUCCAGAUGGCCAAGUGAAUUGGCCCGCAGUGCGAAGCCGCCAAAGAGGAAGAUCUAUCCGGGGAGGAAGGUCUCACCCUGGACUGCGUCGCUAUUGAUGAUCGUAGAAGCCAUCGAGCCUGAUGGCGACGACACAGAGGAACUCUCAAUGGAAGCACCAACGUCGGUGUCAAAACCGGCGGAUCUCGGGUAGGGGGUCCCGAACUGUGCGUCUAGGCUGGAUGGUAACGGGAGGCAAGGGACACGAAGUUUUACCCAGGUUCGGGCCCUCUCGAUGGAGGUAAAACCCUACGUCCUGCUUGAUUAAUAUUGAUGAUAUGGGUAGUACAAGCGUAGAUCUACCAUGAGAUCAGAGAGGCUAAACCCUAAAAGCUAGCCUAUGGUAUGAUUGUUGAUGUGUAUGUUGUCCUACGGACUAAAACCCUCCGGUUUAUAUAGACACCGGAGAGGAUUAGGGUUACACGAAGUCGGUUACAAUGGUAGGAGAUCUACAUAUCCGUAUCGCCAAGCUUGCCUUCCACGCCAAGGAAAGUCCCUUCCGGACACGGGACGAAGUCUUCAAUCUUGUAUCUUCAUAGUCCAGGAGUCCGGCUGAAGGUAUAGUCCGGCUAUCCGAACACCCCCUAAUCCAGGACUCCCUCAGCCGUCAACAUCGAUCAAGCCCCAUUCGCUGAUUUCGAUUACAAUGAAAUGGAGGGUGGUGUGGAUGAUCACGGUGGUGAAGAUGAAGUGGAGGAAGUGGAUGAGAGUGCGUAUGAGCAAGCGCAAGCAAAAAAAUGUGAGAUCGAAGAACUACACGAUCUUGAAAGAUCAAAUCUUGAUCAAGGCUUGGAGUGCGGUGUCUCUUGAUGCUUGCAAACCUCCAAGAUAUAUUGGGAAAUAAUCGAAGAUCAAUACUUCCGCAUGAUGGUCAAGCAUCCCAAUAGAACACCACGGACCUUUCGGUCACUCCAAGGUCGUUGGGACGUGAUCAAGUCGAUUUAUAGCCGUUGGGCAGCUUGCUUGGAACAAGUUCGCAGUGCACCUCCAAGUGGAAUCUGACUAUAUGAGUUCGUUUUCACGUUCCAAGUUGUGCACAUCAUUUGCAUCAUAUGAAGUGAUUGCAUCAUUUGACUUUGUUCUAAUUGUGUAGGACAAAAUUGCCCAACAAAGAUACAAAGACAUGAAAGCUUUCGAAGGCAAAAAAUUUAAACUAGAGCAUUGAUGGGAUAUAAUCAAAGAGUGCGACAAAUGGAAGUUGAUUAACAAAGAAUCCCCACCGAAGAGAGGUUCACUUAUGAACAUGGAUGAAGAUGAAGAUGAUGAUGGCCCAAGAAACUUGGACAAGCCCGAUAGUGACAAGAAGACAAAGGAGAAAAUCAAGAGGGAACACGAAGCAUCGAGCUUGCGGGACAAGAUAGAUGCCAUGGUGCAAUCAAAUGAGUUGAUGUUAGCGAAGACAUUGAAGACAAAGAAAAAGUUGGCCGAGAAGAAGGCACGAGAGAAGUAAGAGAAGUGGUAAUUUCUCAAGGACGAGGGGUUGCGCAAGGCGAUCAUUGAGGAGAGAAGAGCACAUGCCGCUGAGAACAAAGCCAUGUCCAAGCUUCUUACCAAAGAGGAUAGGAUCGUGACAUUGGACCGCAAUGAUAUGGACGACAUCCACCAAAGAAUGGCAUGAUAUGGCAAGGAGAGACAUCUUGAAGAGGAGGAUGCUUGCGUCGGCCGGUGCGUGUUACAGUGCUGGCGAUGUUUUCUCAGCGAAAUUUGGAACCAAUGUCGCCGAUGCAUUCAGUGCGCCCGUCGAUGAUUUCGGUGCCGGAGUUGGAACAAGUGCCGGCGAUGGAUUGGAGGGCGGCGAUGACCUCGAUGGAGGUGGUGCGGAGUGAAGAGCGACCAAGAUGAUGACGGACGUGGUCAUCGCUUUUGCAUGAAGUCCUUUUACGUUUGUCCUACAAAACUAUGCUUUUGUUUGUGCGCGACAGAAUAUGAGCUUGUUUCCUGCUUCAUUUGUUCAUACACUAAGUUCAAGGCAUGAUACAAAAUUAUUUUCUUCCAAAACCCCAAUAGUACGUACACUGCUUCUAAGUUAAUAUCAUAUGUUUCCUAUAGAUUGUAGACUUGCUUCUCUUCAUGUGUGAUCGUCUUCAUUGUAGGGAAGAUUCAGGUGUCAUCACACUUCUAGGUGUAUGCAUCGGUCGCUUCCACGUAUGCUUCCAUAUAUGUCUCCGGCGGCGCCCAACUGCUGGAAGCAUACAUCAUCAAAUAUAUGGAAAAUAUGAAGCAUGAUGAUAGUGUUUAAAUGCAAACAAUGAUCUUCACAAUAUAAGAAAAAAAUAUAAGAAGUAGAAGUAUGUUUCUAUUGUCCUAAACUAUCUUGACCUAAGAAAACAUAUAGUAAAGUUAAGAAGCAUGGACAUUAAGAAGCAACCAUCGAUGCAAACAAUCUGGAAUGUCGAAGCACAUAAUGAUGCUUACAAAACAUGGAUAGCUGAAACAUCAAAUUGAGAAUAAUCAGUGCAAUACCUUUGAUUCGGACCAGCUGGCGAUUCAUGCAAUGCAAUACCUUCUCAUUCGGAGGCGUGACUUCAAAGAGUGAAAAACAAAAGAAGCAUGUUUGUAUAUUGCCAGAAACUAUCUAGACUGAAGAAACUCAUACAGUAUGUCAGGAAGCAAGGAUAAAUCGAAGCAUGUGUUAGUGUUAUCUCAAUAUAACUCACGUGUUGGAAGCGUAGAAAUUUAGAAUUGGAAAUCAGGGAUUUUUGCCACCAACAUGUGGGUGCAUAUUCCUGUGAUCUACUCCCUCUGUUCCGAAUUACUUAUCGCAAGUUUGGAUGUAUCUAGAUAUAUUUUAGUUCUAGAUACAUCCAUUUCUACGACGAGUAAUUUGGAACGGAGCGAGUACCAAACAAUUUCACCGGAACCGAUUGGUGGUUUUAUGAGCUUAUACACAUUAACUCUGCAAGAAUACCGGGAUCGAUUUGGGAGGAAACAAAACCGAGCAAACUAGACUAGGUAGGUGCGGGAUUAAGGGGGAUUUGGGCGUGCGCUUUUUUUUUCGGAGAUAGAGGGCGGUUGGAAUAGGAUGUUUUUGGAGGAGGGUUCAAGUCCUGGUGCUUGCAUUAUUUCUUGAUUUAUUUCCGGAUUUCCGGCGAUGCGCUUUCAGUGACAGGAGACGUUCUCGUCGACGACGAGGCGCCUACGGCGACUUUGCAAAUCUCAAAAUGAUAUGCCGGCUCAGUCUCUCAAAGAUGCUCAUAGGGGUAGGGUAUGUGUGUCUGCAUUCAUAGGGAUGAGUGUAUGCGCGUAUGUAUGAGCGCUUGCGUCUAUACUGUGUUCUAAAAAAAUUCUACAAGAAUACCGGGAGCGAUUUGGGAGGAACAAAACCGAGCAAACUAGACUAGGCAGGUGCGGGAUUAAGAGGGAUUUGGGCGUGCUUUUUUUUGGAGAUAGAAGGCGGUCGGAACAGGAUGUUUUUGGAGGCUCCCAAACCUUGCGAUGGAAAGGAAUUUGACAGGAGAUAAUUGAUCUGAAGAUUGGACUUGAUCAGACGUCUCAUACCUCCAAAACUAUUACAUUAUUUUUGUUGAUUCUCGUCCACCUGGGCUGUCCACGUGGGCUACGGAGCAAACUCUGCACAACAUGUCCUCUGGUUUUUUUUCAUAUGUGCACAACCUGUUCAAAGAGAAGGAUUGGAGAAGAGUGAACACAAAGCAUGCUACCAUUGUCUAUUUUUUUUCUCGAGAGUAUGCAAAUUGCGUACCAUAGUUUGUAGUAGACGAUGGAAAGAUAAUGUACAGAGUGAAAUGCCAGAAAUGCCUCACAGCCACGUUGUCUGUGUGAAUACAUUAGUUUGAGCAACAAUUAAUUCCGAGCAGAGGUAGUACAAUCUUUUUAGGGAAUAUAAUGUUAGUUCUUCGUACUGUUAUGAGACUUGGCUAAUGAUGAUUACAUUACGCAAACAAAAAAAUAUUAAGAAAACCAUAGAGGCCGCAGGCAUAAGAUAAACUGCCAAAAGGAUGCAUUCUAUCCAAGACAGUAACAAGAUUAUUCAUCGACUAGAUUUGUACAGAUGUCAGUUCAUUGCUAGAUUGGUGCCAGAAUGUAAUUUUUGUGCAUUCUGCAAGAAAAAAGGAUAUGUACAGAAGAACAUGGGAAGGAACUCAUAGCAGCAUUCAGAGAAGAAAGGCAUGACAACCAAUAUUCUCCCAGACCAGACCAGACCAGCUACAUCGACCAAAGCUACAUGGAAUCGAGUGUCCACCGUUCAUCCAAAAGAAAACAAGCACCUAUCGACAAAGCUACAAGGAAUCGGCCAGGUCGUCGGCUUCGGCUUCACUAAACCCGUAGGAGCUGAAGUGCUUCACCCUGAACUUCCACUCGCCCUUGGCACCGUCAAACGAGAUAAACUCCACCCCCUGCUCAUCAGCCUUCUUCACCAACAUCUCCUUGAACUUGUCCAACCUCGGCCCUUGCGUGUACUGCUCACCCGUCUUCUUAUUCAUGCACUUGAUGUUCAGGAGGGUCACCAAAGCAGCUUUGUUCAGGCCCUCGCCAACUGGGGGCUUCUUGCUAUCCUCCUUGUACACAAUCACUUCACGGUUAUUGAAUUCCACAAUCGACUCCAGAUCAAGGCCCCUUACAUCAGUUUCUCCCAAGAAUUUGAUGCUGCCAUAACCUUCACGCCCAACAAUGAAGUCUACAACCUGACUACAGUAGCCUGGCUCAGCACGUUCUUUGGCAGCAAGCUCCUCUAGACUGGGCUCCGUGAAGUAAUCUGCCUGGGAGAGCCUAGGCAUCAUCUUCUCAACGGUAGCACCAUUCAUAUGCCGAGCCACAUCCCCAGGCUCGCUUGAUGCAAUGUGGAUGCCAUUCUCCACUGUACCAGACCGAGUUGGUGUCAUGGCAGCCUUAUUGUGCUCCCUCCCAACAAAAGCAUCUGUACAGUACCUCAAAUCAGAAACAAGCGACAAACAAUUUUGCAAGUCUAGGGGAGAAAGAAUACAGACAGUUCUAAAUAAAUACCUUUAUGUUUGUCAUUAUCAGUUGAAUCCCUUGGAAUUGAUUGUUGGCCAACCACACUACGUGAAGGCCACUGGUCUGUUGGACGGAUUAUCAAACUUCUUGGGUUCUCUCUAGGGAUGAAAAAGGCAUCCGCUUUUGGUGUUACAGGGGAUUCUUCAUCAUCAGCAAAGAAUGGAACCUGAAGGAACAAAAAACAGAACCACACAAUUAUUUCUCAAACGGCUUUCAUAAAACUCCAAUAAUAAAGAAAUAUAAACUAAAUAACAGUCCUAACCUUGCCAUUGGAUGUUGCAUUAUAUUUUCGUGGCAGCAGCUUUAUCCUCCUCUGUGACAAAUGCCUAGGAACCACCAUUGAUAAUGUUCUGCUCGGAAGGGGCUUCUCAGCAACCUGCAGGGCAGAGUAAAUGUUUUUGUCAAGCAAAUGUCCUUCCUCGUGGCUCUAGAUACCUCAGUAGCACGAACUGCUAUAAAUAAUACCCUCCUUGCUCAUCUCUACUAUCCUUCCACGCUGCAGAAACUACUGCAAAUACUUAAAGAUGGUAAAGAAAAUACUAACCGGCAAACUUGAUAUCCCAUAUUCGAUAGAAGGUGAGGAUCCACCAUUCCCAAUGGACAUCUGAGGCAUUGCUGGAAGGGUCCCAAAGGGAUUUGAAACAAGAGUCGGCUGCAUUACCAUAUUGGACUGGCUAGUAGUUCUGCAUCAAGAAUGCAACAGGCUGUUUUACGAACUUACAAUUUGAAAAAAUAAUGCACUGACUACUAAAUUCGAAGAAAAUAGAUGCCAAAUCAUAAUAAUUAAGUGAUAAUAAGUGUUUCUUAGUAUUUAUUAUCCGUGAAUACAAUUAAAUUAUGAACCAAGUAAAAACUCUGUGUUCCACUAUAGAGAUAAACAAGAACACAGCAGCGCAAAGCUAGCAUAUACAAUUGACUCACAGGACCAUUAAGUAGUUUCUUUCUCUACAAGCCUACACUAUCCAUCUCCACAUUAUAUAUCACUUUUGUUUGUUGCACCAUAUUUACGUUCACCUCAUCUGUACUUCCACCCAUAAAAAGGAAAGAAUAAAUGUACAUGCGAUAAGUAAAUGGAAUAGUCAUACUGCUGUCCGAAUGGAGCCAUAUUCAUCGGGUUGGAAACACCAGAGAAUCCACCUGUCAAAGCUUCAAGUGGCAUACACACAAAAGCUCAAAAAAAUUGUUAAUGAGAAGGAAACAUUAAGUAUUAGGGGUCUGAAUACUAACCUGGUUGAGUCUGAGGUUGGAAUGAGAACGAGUUUGUAGGUUGAACAGGGGCAGAUUGUUGAAAUGAUGACUUAAAAAUGAGCAAAGAGCAACUCGUUAUUUGCAAAGCAAAAGAUAUAGAAAACAAAUAUCAAGGAUCAAUGAUUUAUGAAGAAUAAUUAUCUAAACAAAAUAUGGUAAUUGCAAGGGAAUAGGAUGCUUACUGUUUGAAAAGGUGAAGAUGUGUUGCCAAACAUCCCUCCACCUCCAGUGAUUCCGAUGUUAGAUGUAUUGAACAUACUGGUGGAGAAAGCUGGAGUGCUUGAUUGCUGGUUAAAUGAGUGGCCAAAUGGCUGCUGCCCCAUUGUAGGGGAAGACGUAAACAGCCCAGAUGAUUGAGUGCUAUUACUAGUGGAUGACCCAACAUUGAAAGGAUUUGGGUUGUUGAAUAGUGAAGUGGUGGUAUUAUUUCCAAAUAGAGAAGAUGAAGUGUUUGCUGGGAAUGUAGAACCACUUGUUUGUCCAAACGAGGAGGUAGUAGUUGCGGGCGAUGAAAACGGGUUCGGAGUAGUAGCAAAAGCACUCAAAAAAGGUGAGGGUGAGGGGUUAGUAAAUGGAUUCACUGGUGCUGGUUGAUUUGGUUGGAAACUUGGCUGUGGAGAUAAGAAGUUGUUCACUGCUGGAGUUGCAGAAGAGUUUGGUCCACCUGAGGGUUCAAAGUUCAAACAUUAAAAAUUUCACAACUUAAAAUCUAAUGAUACAAGCAGCAAAAUAAUGGGACAUUUGAAAUAGAAGUAAUAUGAGUUCAGUUUAAUUGCAAUUAAGGGGGAAAAGGACUACAGCUAAGCUAUACCAGAAGCCAGAACAUAAUAUCUAUCCCAGUUCAUAGAAAAUAAGAACCAUUAGCCGCAAAUGUCUAGAAAUGAGGUCACAUAUAAAGCAAUAGCAUACUACUCGAUUCCAGAAAUUUCCUUUACCUUUGUCCCCACGCUGAUAAUCUUCCCACCUCAAUUCUUCAUGACUCUUCUCUUUGUAUGCAGGCAUGGCUGAUAUGGAAUCAAGUUUUGCAGCAGGCUGAGAACCACUUGCAGCAGUGUCAGUAUCAGGUGUUUGUACAUAAGGCUGUAUUCUGGUUCCUCCAGAUUGACUUCCAAACGUAGUUUGCCCGAAUGCUGGUGCAGCUGUUUGAGAGCCUGAAACUCAAAAAAGAAACUGAUAAGAUAAUCCGCAAUUACACAACUGCUAGAGCACAUGGAAUGUAACACAGGGUGAUGCACUCAACACCAAGCCAAAAUUAUACAAACAUAACCAAGUAAGUUGAAUAUCCAGUGGGGGAACCUACCGAAUGGAGAAGUUUGUGCUCCAAAGGGUGAAGUUGUUCCGAAGAGGCUGGUACCAGUUGCAGCUGCUGAUUGUCCAAAAGACGGUGAAGAACCAAAACCAAAAGCACUUGCUGGUGUGGUUGAAGUUCCAAAAGCUGGAGCACUACUCACACCAAAUGCUCCGGUACCUGAAGAUCCAAAACCAGGAGUUGUGGUUGAACCAAAUUGCGUCGAACCAAAUGCUGGGGUGCUGGAAGCACCACCAAAUAAGGAUGCUGAUGUUGAGCCAAAUGCUGGAGUCGUUGUGGAGCCAAAUGCUGCCGUUGUUGUGGAACCAAAGGCCGGCGUAGUUGUGGUGCCAAAAGUGCUAUUGCCAAAUGUUGGCUGUGUUUGCUGAAAUGUGCUACCAAAUGGACUAGACUGGCUAGGAGUUGAUCCAAACCCACCAAAGCUUGGCUUUUGUCCAAAUAAAGAUCCUGAAAAUUUUGCAGAGUAGAGAGCGUUAAAUCGCAAGCCAUAAAACUAUCGGUCUAAAAAGGAAACGAGAACAAAACAAAAAUAGUGCUCCCUCCGUCCCAUAAUAUAGGAUGUUAUUACAACCGAGAUAAUCAUAUCUCGGUUGUAAUGACAUCUUAUAUUAUGGGACGGAGGUAGUAGCAUCUAUUACCUUCAGAAACCUACCCUUUAUUUCUAUGCAGUAGCAAAGGGACAGCAUGGACUAACGAGUUUAUAGGGUGACAGUAUUUCAAGUGUUAGUCCUACACUCCUACUGAUGAAGUGAUGAAGGAAAUAGUCCUACCGAUCAUAAACUUCAACUAGUAGCAGCAGUUACUAUUUUUAAUACGUACUUGACAGAGAUAUUUCAAAGUAAAGCUUUAAACUGUAGUGCUAGAUAACACAACCUAAAAGGUUGCUGUAGCAUAGCUUUGUUCUGUCUAUAAUAGUGAGUUGCAAGAUUCAUUGCCAGAUUCUUCUUUGAUAUAUCAAGGUUGGCAAUUAAACACAUAGCAGGUGCUAGACAGGUAAAGAUUCAGUAAAUGCAGCAUAACAAAUGUGUUCCAAGUUGCAGAAGAACAGAAAUUAAAUGCUGAGGUUGCGAGAAUGGUACAAACCACCGCCAAAGUUGUUAGAGGAUGUGGCGCCAAACGCGGGGGCUGGCGAUGUACCAAAAGCUGGCGUGGAGCUCCCAAACGGAGAGGAGGACGGGGUGCCAAAUGCAGGUGUGGAUGGCUGGCCAAAGGCACCGGUUGAUGUAGCACCAAACGCGGGUUGCUGGCCGAAGGCGCCAGUGGAUGUAGAGCCAAACGCAGGGGUGGAUUGCUGGCCGAAGGCACCAGUGGACGUAGCGCCAAAGGCCGGGGCGGACUGCUGGCCAAAGGCGCCAGUGGAAGUGGCGCCAAAGGCCGGAGCGGAUGGCUGGCCAAAGGUGGAGGUAGCGCCGAAGGGCGAGGUGGUCCCUGUUGGCGCCCCGAAUGCGGGGGUCGGGCUGCCGAAGGGUUUGGGCGCGAAGGGAUUGUUGGUGGUGGUGCUGGGCUGGCCAAAGCCCUGUUGGGUCCCGAAGGGGUUGGUUGAGGUCUGCCCGAAAGGGCUGGCGGAUGACUGCCCGAAUGCUGCAAAAAAAAGGAUGAUCAAACAGCAGGUUAGCAACCAUGGCGUCAAUAAUUAACUUUCAUAGGUAAAACUGGACUGAAAUCCGCAACCAACGGCAAAACAAUAGAAGAAUCAUAUACCCAGGCAGAAAAACUUGAUGGACAGUUUAUCAACACUGUAGCGUGAAAGCAUUAUUAUUAGUAACGUAUCAUCAAAUGGGGGAUCUCGACUGCGAAACCUAGCCGCCGAUCACAGCGGACGAUGAGAUAAUGGCUACUACUUACUAGCAAUACCGACAGCAAUCGAGGGAAAGCUACUACUAGGUAGGGCGCACGGGGAAACCCUACCUAGGUCAGGGGAUGGCGUGCGGGGGUGAGGGAAAGGAGAGGAGGGUGCUUACGAUUGCUAGCGCCGAACAUGGCUGGUUGAUGGUGGUGGUGGCCGCGGAGGAGACGGUGGAUCACCGGGCCGUCGGCGGCUGCGGCUGCGGCGGCGGCGGCGGCAGCCGGGUGGAGGUGGGGGUCGCUGUCGAUCGAUGUGGUGUUGGUGUUGGUUUAGGAGGAGACGAAAAGAUAAUCGAAAAGUGGAGGAGGGGGAUCUGGAUCUGAGGCUGGAGGGUGGGGCCCCGGCGUCUGUCUCUUUGGCCUCUUGGGACCGUGCCGCGGCUCUAUAUAGCGGGGCAGGAUAGCUUAGGAACAACGCCACAGCCCACAGAGGGCUGGGCGUUCGGUUCCCCCGAACCAUUCGAGUCGGUUCUUCGGUAUAUUUAAAAUUUUGUUUUGUCAAAAUACUGACCGAUCGGUCAAGAAAAGAUUAGCUAACCGAAGUUUAUGUGUACCGAAAUUUCAGUUUGGUCGUCGGUUCCACCGAACAGCACCGAAAUGUACUGGAAUCGCUACAUUUUACCUGUAUUAGCAGCAGUCGCUACUUUAUUUUGAAUGUACAGUGCAUGUAGCUCAUGCCUACUAGCUAGAGGCUAGUCUCCUUGGCUACUCCGUCUUAUUAUUCCGAGUGAAACUUUAUUACUCUGUACAAUUAGCGCUAGCAGCUAACUACUCCAUGCACAAAAAAUUAAGCAGAGGUAGUACCGGUACUUCUCUUUUUUACACAAAAUUAAGCGGCAGCAGCGGUUCACCGUGUUAUGUCCGUGCCUUCUCCAUGCGGCUGUGGGUCUCACGCACUUGUCAGAUAGGGGAUAGAAAAUAGAGUCCAUGUUCACAUGAGAGUAGUAUAACAGGCGCACAGGUCGCACCUCUAUUUAGUUGGUUUUCGGUCCGCUCAGGUACCCGAGGGAUAAACCCGAAUUCACCGAACUUAGUUCGGUUUUCAGCGUAUGCAAACCGAACUUAUCACCAAAGUACUCAGUUUCGGUGUAUCCGGCUUCGGUGCUAGCUAAUUCGGUUCGAGACAUCGGUUUUCGGGUUAUAUGCCCAGCCCUACCCACAGGACAGACACCAGCGGCCAACUGACGCUAUUCUCUACCGCGCCGCGUAGCUUACUUUCAACGCCAACAAAGACCACGAAAGGGUUUGCUGGGCCCUCAGGGCUUCAGGCCCAUGUACACGUGAAGUUCCUCAAAUGCAUGCCAUGGAUGGAGCUUGGCUCGUGAAAGCAUGGGUUUGUCUAAAAAAAUGAAAGCACGGGUGGACACCGUUAUAAACAUGGUUCAGUCAUUUGCCGUCAAAGAAAAAAACAUGGUUCAGUCAUUUUUAGUUUCCAGUUUUUCUUAAUGGUGAAAAACUUGAAGAAUUUAAACUCACUCGUGGUAUUCGGCCCUGAUCUCUCCUUACUUUUUCUUGAUUACAGUGGAGGGGCUUUCGUGUCUUUUAAAAUUCAGUUCUUAGUCAUCAGUGCUCGAAGGAAUUAAGGUGGCACCCACGGCUCCGGCCGUCAACCACCUUUUGCUCGCAAAUGAUAUGAUGCUGCUUUAAAAGUCAAGUGUGGAGCAGGCGAAUGCAGCGUCAAACCUACUGGAUACAUACUCCAAGGCUUAUGGCCAGAGGAUCAAUAAGGAAAAUACCUUGAUUCUUUUCAGUAAGGGAUGCCCGCACUCAAUGUGAGAAGUGGCCAAAAACUCCCUAAACAUUUAGAACGAAUCAUUGAGUAGCAUGUACUUCGGUAUGUCUGCUGAUGUGGGCCAGUCAAGAAUGGGCACAUUUAAAUACUUGAGGGACCGUGCCUGGGAGAAGGUUCGAGGAUGGAUGGAGAAACUUCAAUCUGCAGCAAGGAAGGAGGUCUUAAUUAAAGCUGUGGCGCGAGCUAUACCGGUUUAUUCUAUGGCAUGUUUCAAAUUGCCAAGGGUUUUAUGUUAAAACAUUACCACCAUUUACUUGCCGGCUCUGGUGGGGUAGCAAACAGGGGAAGCGGAAAACCUUGUUGGGUAUCAUGGGACAUCUUGACACAACCAAAGCAUCCAGGUGGAUUGGGCUUCCUUGAUCUUGAGAUAUUUAGAUGGGCACUCUUAGCCAAACAGGCACAGAGGGUUAUACAUGAUCCCACUUCUCUCAGUGGUAGGAUACUCAAAGCAGUGCACUUCCCUAACCGUUUACUUUUGGAGGCUGAGUUGGGAGGGCAUCCAUCACAGUUUUGGUGAGUAAGCCUAGAUGGGAGAGAUAUAUUAAAGCAGAAAUUAAUUCGCAUGAUUGGUAAUGGAAACACAAUGGAAGUUUGGACCCAAAACUGAAUUGAAAGAGAAUACAUGAAGAGGCCAGUGCAUCAUUGGUUCCCUAGCCACCACGCCUAGUUUCUGAACAAAUUGAUCCAACGCUCACUAGCUAGGUGAGAAGCUUGUCCGCGAGACAUUCUCGCUGAUGGAUGUUGAAACUAUCCUUGCCAUUUCAUUAUGCACCAUAAAUAUUGAUUUUUGGGCCUGGAUCAGGGUAAGUUCAUGGUCAAGUCAGACUAUCGGAUGAUCAUAAACACGAAAUUACAGAGGGAGAAUUGGAUUGAUGGCAGUGCAUGCAACUUAGAUGUCAAGACAACGAGUAAUGCAUGGAUGGAGAUGUGGAAGGUUCAGGUUCCUUCUAAGUUGAAGGUCUUCUAGUGGCAGUUUGCCCAACUUUCAGUUCCAACAGCGGACGUUCUUCGCCAUAGGAACAUGUCCACGACUUCUACUUGUGUCCUGUAUGGGACAGAGGACUUAUGGAGACAUGAUUUGAUCAAUUGUUCUAUGGCUUGGAGCGUUUGGGUCUUUGGAGCGUUUGGGUCUUUCAGAUGAGGUGUUGGUGGAACAGAUGUGUGAGAACCAUCAUGGCAAUGCAAGAAACUUCUUGUUCGCUAUGUAAGAAACUAUUUCUCAAGAAGAAUUUAUCUGUUUGGUGGUGACUCUCUGGACAAUGUGGGGAACAAGGAGAAAAGCUAUCUACGAGGAUAUUUUUCAAAGUGCAAUGUCAACUCACCUUUUUAUCACGUCUUUAUUGUCAGAGCUACAACAACUAAAGGAGCCAAGUGUAGUAAACACUACUUUCACAACAACCAGACCAGUAAAGUGGAUCGCUCUGCCAUGGGACUAGCCAAACUUAAUGUUGAUGUUGUGGUCUCAAAGAACUUGGGUGUUGGAACAGUGACAUCAGUAAGUCCAUAUCAUAAUGGUGCUUACUUGGGAGCUUUAGCGAUUAUCUUCAGGGGGAAUACAGGCCCUACAACCCUCCAAGUGCUUGGAGUCAGGGAAGCUCUUGCACUUGCUGAGGAUCUAAACUCUAGCGGGAUACAUGUCACUUCAGACUACAAAGCGGUGGUGGAAGACAUCAAGAAAUGCAGUUCGUCGAGCUAUGGCGCGAUCAUACAUGAAUCAUAGAACACUCUGUACUUUUGUGUAAUUUAUCUCGUAUUUCGAGGAUCACAAUCUGGCGAUAUUUAGGCGUUGGUCGCCAUGUCUGGUUAGGUUGACCUACGACAGCUUGGUAAGCCACCAACAAAAAAUUACAAUCAUGAUAAAAACAUUGUGACAACAUAAUAAAUCGCUUGAUUGUCAUAGAAAAACACCAACAAUGGUUGUGUUUAAAAAAAAACAGCAAUGGUGGUCUUCAGUUAGAGCAUCUUCAAUAGAAGAUGCAAAUUUGGAGAUGUAAAAUAGAUGUAAAAAUUUACAUCUCUAAAAGGUGUUUUUUAUCUCCAAAAAAGAGCCAACUCCAACAAUAGAUGAUGCAAAACGGAGAUGUAAAAGUGCAACCCCAAUAGGUGAUGUAAACCGGAGAUGUAAAAAAUUAGAAACUUCAAAUACUACUUCAUUUCAAACAUAAGUCAAACAUAGUUUGUUCAACUACUACUUUAUUUCAAACAUAAUAAACAUAGUUCUAAUUUAAACAUAAUUAAACAUAAUUCUAAUUUGAAGGACUACUACUAGUUCAAACUACUACAUCCAUCACACUACUACUCCAACGACUACUACUAGUUCACACUACUACAACUCGAAGAUGAACCUACAAUCCUCGUCGGAGCUCCUGAACUGCUCCCAGAACUCGUCCUUGUCCAGGUCGUCCUACCCUCAUCCUCCUCCUCCGUGUCACCCCAGUCCGACGAGUCAUACUCGUCGGGGAUAACUGUCGAGGGGUCGGCCUCGCCCUCCUCAUUCUUCCUCUUCUGCUCCACAUCGUGCUUCGACCAGAACUCCUGCUCGGCCUGCACACACUCCAGAUGCUCAUGUCGGAACCUCGCCAUCGCCGCCUCGUCACUGUCGUCGGGACUAACGAUAAUGGCAGGCCUCUUCUUCGCCUUCUUCGUCGUGAUCUCCUCCAUGUGAAUGCCCCUCGACAUGAGCAACUCCGCAUUCGCCUGGGUCUCGAUCUCCGGUAAGUUGAGGUCCUUCCUCGACCUCUCGGCAAGCCACAUCGCCAUGUCGUAGGCACGCGCGGCCUCAUGGACGAUGGGGUAGGUGCUGAGCCAAAAGCGGCAGCCGGCGUUGCUGAACUCCACCUCGAAGUUGCCGGAGGGCUUCGCCCUCACACCAAAGAACCCCUUCUUGCUCUUCGGGAUCUUCUUCGGCGGCAUGGCGACGACGGGAUGGGGCGGCCAAAAUGCGGUGGUCGAAUUGGGCCGAUGACAACGGCGACUGGAGGGAUGGUGGCUGAAGGCAGUGGCGGUGUUCGUGGGGCUGGGCGGUGCUGUCUAGUGGCCAAAUCGGGCGGCGGUGGCGGUGUGGUGGGUAGGCGGACGGCCAAAUCGGGCGGCGGUGUGGCGGGGAGAGGGGGAGAAUGUAGCCGAUUCACGAUGUGUGGGGCGGAGCGGCGGUGUGUUGAUGGCUGGGCGGAGGCUUGGUGGCCGGGUGGUGGCUGCGGCAACGGCGGACACGGCGGCAGAGACGAAUCGGGAGGCGGCGGCGGUGGCGGCCGAAACGCGCCGGUACCAGCGGCGGGGGUGGUGGAGAGGCCGGAUCUGGCAUGGGGCGAGAGUGGCGCAGUCCGGCGAGCGGGUGGGUGGGCAGUGGCGGCAAUGCGGCUGAGCGACAGCAAGAAGGCGAGGUGGGUGGGGAAAGGAAGUGAAACAACGGUUGGCGGCUGGCACGCGACCAACCGUUUUACAUCUCUUGCAGAUGGAGAUGUAAAUUUGUACCGCAAGGUGUUGUAGUUUACAUCACAUCUACAUUAUCUGUUGAAGAGGUGUUUUUGGUCCUCGAAGAUGCAAAAGUUACGUAUUUUUUGCAUCUACAUCUUCUUCUAUGGAGAUGUUCUUACCUACAUGAGUAAUUUGAUGAAAUGCCACACCUUUUCUGAGACUUUGCUCCUAUAGCACAUCUUUCUAUUUAUUGGACUAAAUAGCACAUUUUUCAUUGGUAACUGGAUAAAACACCACAAGUUGAGUUUUUCCUUACUUUUCCAUGCCUAAGCCGAGACGUCAUACUUUUAGGACGGAUUUGCCCUCGGUUCGUUUCACCUCGUUUUUGUUCGAUCAAAUAACGUGCUCUUAUGAACGUACAGCAGACAGAGAAACAAAGCAGUGCGCCGUCGACUCGCCGUGCCUUCUCCCUGACGCCGCUGCCUCACCUUGCCUUCUCCCAGACGUUGCCGCCUCGCCGCACCUCCUCUCCGGCAAGCCGCCGCAUCCCCAUGCCUAGCCUCCCGUUCCUAUGCAGGAAACCGCGCCAUUGGCCGCGCUCCAGCCCCUCCCUUGUCUUUGGCAGAGAAGAGACUGCGCCAGCCCUUUAAGUGCCCCUGCAGCGUGUCCCCCGUCCAUGUGUACCUCCUCGUUGUUCUGCUGGCUGACUAGCUGAAGUGGUCGAUGUACAUGUUGGUGGACUUUUGAAGUGGUCACUGUACAUUCUGGCUGGAGCUUGCUAUAGCUGCUCGUUGCUCAUGAUGUUAGCAUACGGCUCAAAUACUAGUGGCACACACUAACAGCUUUGUUACGUGUUGAUGGAUUAUCUGCAGGCACUAGGAAAGCUUCUUCAUAUGGAUGUAAUCAAACUUCAAACCCGAUAUAACAUGUUUUGAAGUAUAACUUAGUUGAUAUGGAUAUAAUCAAAAAUUUGACAACAUUUUCACCUAAAAUUAGACGCAGGACGAGGCAGCGGCGGGAGAACUGGUGGACGCGAGAGUCAUACCGAGGCAGUUGCGCACAGGGGCCGCGAGGUGGCGGCGCGCCAGGGAGGAUGCACAGGGAGGCGGCGCCGUAGGGCAUGGUGUGACGCCUCGAGUCCGUUGCGUCAGGUGUCUUCCUAUUUUUCGCUGUCUUUGCCAUGUCAUUUGCUUGCGUGUUGCAUCUUGCUAUGUUAUCAUGUGCAUUGCAUCAUCAUGUUUUCAAAACUUGCAUCCGUCCGGGUUCUCCCAAUUCUUUCCGUUGUCCGUUCUGAGCCCGUCCACUCUCGCACGCGCCUGUGGCACGUCCGAAAUAUUAUUUUAUAAGUGGCCGAAAAAUGUUCUCGGAAUGUGAUGAAAGUUGGCGUGAGGUGUUGUUAUGUUGUUAGUAGGUCGUCUGCCAAGUUUCAUCGUAUUCGGGGUCCGUUUGACGCCCCAACGGUUAACUAUAGCGGCAUUAUAGUCGGUCUAACGUCGGACGUUUUUGGUUUCCGGAAACGGUUGCCGGGUUGCAUUCCUCCUCUCUCUUCUCAGCCCAACCACACAAUUGACCUCAUUCGCCUAACCCCUCUUUGCAUAGCGCAUCGACCCCUCACGCGUGUCCGAAACUUCACCGAACCCGACCACUUAGUUGUCACCGUUGGGUCCGAUCAUCCCCAAACAUCUAUAAAACAUCACCGUUUUCUUAUUUGGACUUCCCAACCUAGUUAUCUUGGACCACCCGAUUUCGAUCGGAGGGUACGAAUCUACCCUAAACUCCCCCCUCUUUCCUUAUAUAAAAAACUCCUAGUCUAAAUCUGGACAACAGCCUAAAACCUAGGGACUUGUCCCUGCCGCCGCCGCCACACUCAUCUCCCACAUCCCCUUUGUCAAACCAAAUCCCCCUAGGGAUCCAUCCCUCCCCAACCAUCGCUCGCCACAUACAGCCUCCAGAUCCACCUCCCUCCUCGUUUUCCUCUUGCCGCCGGUGCUGCUCCAUCCGCGGCCCAAACCUGCCCAACCACCAGGGCGGAUUCCCCGAUGCUCUCUCUCCCUCUCUCUGUACUAUCCCUCCUGCCUCAAUUCUCUCUCACAGGACCACGCCGGCGACCAGGCUAGCCGCUCUCGUCUCUGGACCCACGCCCGAGUUGUGCCUCGUUCCCCAGCCGUCGCCUGCUUCGUCGAUGCUCCUAACCCGUUGCCGCCCCGUCCUUCUGCAAGCCGUGCACGUGCUGUCGCAGCAGUGCUGCCAUGGACGCCACAAGCAGAGGCUCGCCUUGCCGCGCUAGCAACCAUGGCCUCGCCUUUGCUCCUCCAAUGAUCGUCCUCGUCGUCGCCAGCAACCCCAGGUAGCAACCCUACGGCCCCCUCUGCCGCGCCUCUCCUUCCUCCUUCCCUUCCUUCUCCUCCGCGAUGCCUUCCCCUUCCUUGACCUCUAUAUUUCUCUCUUUCACAGGAGGUUGCACACGCAAUGGCACUGCCCCUGUGCUCCCGUCGAACCCCGACGCCACCUCAUCCUGCUGCCGCCGGCGACCAGCAGGAGCACCAGCCGGUGCCACCAUCAUCGGAGAUGGGGUCCCGCAGCUCAGAUUCGCGCCUUGAUCCGCUUGUUCCCGCCGAUUCCCACCGACCCCGUCGCAUGGACCCCAUGUCAUCAUCUCCUGCAUCGCGCUGGGCGUGCUGGUGUUUUUUGUUCUUCAGAAACGAGCAGCAGCUCGCCCGCUCAUCCCCGUUGACCGUGCACGUCGCCCGCUUGGGCCAGAUCCGCGUCAAGGCCCAGCCAGCAUCGCCUGCUGGCACGGGGUGAGCAGUGUUGGAAAUAUGCCCUAGAGGCAAUAAUAAAAUGGUUAUUAUUGUAUUUCCUUGUUCAUGAUAAUUGUCUAUUGUUCAUGCUAUAAUUGUAUUAACUGGAAACCGUAAUACAUGUGUGAAUAUAUAGACCACAACAUGUCCCUAGUAAGCCUCUAGUUGACUAGCUCGUUGAUCAAUAGAUGGUUAUGGUUUCCUGACCAUGGACAUUGGAUGUCGUUGAUAACGGGAUCAAAUCAUUAGGAGAAUGAUGUGAUGGACAAGACCCAAUCCUAAGCAUAGCACAAGAUCGUAUAGUUCAUCUGCUAAAGCUUUUCUAAUGUCAAGUAUCAUUUCCUUAGACCAUGAGAUUGUGGAACUCCCGGAUACCGUAGGAAUGCUUUGGGUGUGCCAAACAUCGCAACGUAACUGGGUGGCUAUAAAGGCACACUAUGGGUAUCUCCGAAAGUGUCUGUUGAGUUGGCACGAAUCAAGGCUGGGAUUUGUCACUCCGUGUGACAGAGAGAUAUCUCUGGGCCCACUUGGUAAUGCAUCAUCAUAAUGAGCUCAAUGUGACUAAUGAGUUAGCCACAGGAUCAUGUGUUACGGAACGAGUAAAGAGACUUGCCGGUAACGAGAUUGAAUGAGGUAUGGGGAUACCGACGAUCAAAUCUCGGGCAAGUAACAUACCGAUACACAAAGGGAAUUGUAUACGGGAUUGAUUGAAUCUCCGACAUCGUGGUUCAUCCGAUGAGAUCAUCGUGGAACAUGUGGGAGCCAAUAUGGGUAUCCAGAUCCCGCUAUUGGUUAUUGGCCGGAAAGAUGUCUCGGUCAUGUCUGCAUGGUUCCCUAACCCGUAGGGUCUACACACUUAAGGUUCAGUGACGCUAGAGUUGUUAUGGGAAAUAGUAUGUGGUUACCGAAGGUUGUUCGGAGUCCCGGAUGAGAUCCCGGACGUGACAAGGAGUUCCGGAAUGGUCCGGAGGUGAAGAUCGAUAUAUUGGAUGAAGGGUGUUGGAGUCCGGAAUUGUUCCGGGGGUACCGGGUGACGACCAGCGUGUCCGAAAGGGGUUUCGGAGGCCCCGGCAAGCGUUGGGGGGCCUUAUGGGCCAAGGGGAGGGGGCACAUCAGCCCACUAAGGGGCUGAGCGCCCCUCCCACCCCAUCUCACGUAACUUGGAGAGGUGGGGGUGCCUUCCCUAGGGCAGCCACCCCUCCCGGCUUGGGGGGCAAGUUUCCUAGGGGUGGGGGCGCCCAAACCCAUCUAGGGUUUUCCCUGUGGCCGCCGCCCCUCCCCUAGGGAACCCUAGGGCGCCUCCUCCACCCCCUUCCCCCUAUAUAUAGUGAGGGAGAGAGAGGGCAGCCGCACCCCUUCCCUGGCGCAGCCCCUCCCUCCUCCAACUCUUCCUUCUCCUUCGUAGAGCUUGGCGAAGCCCUGCAGGAAUACCACAAACUCCACCAACCGCGUUCUUGUAACGCUUCCUCUUAGCAAUCUUCAAGGGUAUGGCGAUGCACUCCCUCUCUCUCGUUGAUAGCAUCUCCUAGAUUGAUCUUGGUGACACGUAGGAAAAUUUUGAAUUAUUGCUACGUUCUCCAACAGUGGUAUCAGAGCUAGGUCUAUGCAUAGAUUCUAUGUACGAGUAGAACACAAAGCAGUUGUGGGCGAUGAUUUGUUCAAUUUGCUUACCGUUACUAGUCUUAUCUUGAUCCUACGGCAUUAUGGGAUGAAGCGGCCCGGACCGACUUUACACGCACGCUUACGUGAGACUGGUUUCACCGAUUGACAUGCACUUGAUGCAUAAGGUGUCUGGCAGGUGUCUGUCUCUCCCACUUUAGUCGGAUCGGAUUCAAUGAAAAGGGUCCUUAUGAAGGGUAAAUAGCAAUUGGCAUAUCACCGUUGUGGUUUUGCAUAGGUAAGAAACGUUCUUGCUAGAAACCCAUAGCAGCCAUGUAAAACAUGCAACAACAAUUAGAGGACGUCUAACUUGUUUUCGCAGGGUAUGCUAUGUGAUGUGAUAUGGCCAAAAGGAUGUGAUGAAUGAGACUGAUCAUGUUCUUGUAAUAGGAAUCACGACUUGCAUGUCGAUGAGUAUGACAGCCGGCAGGAGCCAUAGGAGUUGUCUUAAUUUAUUUAAGACCUGCGUGUCAAUGAAAAUGCCAUGUAAUUAUUUUACUUUAUUGCUAACCGUUAGCCAUAGUAGUAGAAGUAAUAGUUGGCGAGGCAACUUCAUGAAGACACGAUUAUGGAGAUCAUGAUGAUGGAGAUCAUGGUGUCAUGCCCGUGACGAUGGUGUUCAUGCCGCGCCUCGAAGAUGGAGAUCAAAGGCGCAAGAUGAUAUUGGCCAUAUCAUGUCACUUUAUGAUUUGCAUGUGAUGUUUGUCAUGUUUACAUCUUAUUUGCUUAAAAUGACGGUAGCAUAAAUAAGAUGAUCCCUCACUAAAAUUUCAAGAAAGUGUUCCCCCUAAUUAUGCACCAUCGCGAAGGUUCGUUGUUUCGAAGCACCACGUGAUGAUCGGGUGUGAUAGGUUCUAACAUUCGCAUACAACGGUGUAAGCCAGAUUUACACAUGCGAAACACUUAGGUUGACUUGACGAGCCUAGCAUGUACAGACAUGGCCUCGGAACACAAGAGACCGAAAGGUACAUGAGUCGUAUAGUAGAUAUGAUCAACAUGAAGAUGUUCACCGAUGAUUACUAGUCCGUCUCACGUGAUGAUCGGACACGGCCUAGUUGACUCGGAUCAUGUAUCACUUAGAUGACUAGAGGGAUGUCUAUCUAAGUGGGAGUUUAUUAAAUAAUCAGAUGAACUUAAUUAUCAUGAACAUAGUCAAAAGGUCUUUGCAAAUUAUGUUGUAGCUUACACUUUAGUUCUACUGUUUAAGAUAUGUUCGUAGAGAAAAUUUAGUUGAAAGUUGAUAGUAGAAAUUUGAAGGAAAUACGCCCUAGAGGCAAUAAUAAAGUUAUUAUUUAUUUCCUUAUAUCAUGAUAAAUGUUUAUUAUUCAUGCUAGAAUUGUAUUAACCGGAAACAUAAUACAUGUGUGAAUACAUAGACAAACAGAGUGUCACUAGUAUGCCUCUACUUGACGAGCUCAUUGAUCAAAGAUGGUUAUGUUUCCUAACCAUAGACAUGAGUUGUCAUUUGAUUAACGGGAUCACAUCAUUAGGAGAAUGAUGUGAUUUACUUGACCCAUUCCGUUAGAUUAGCACUUGAUCGUUUAGUUUGUUGCUAUUGCUUUCUUCAUGACUUAUACAUGUUCCUAUGACUAUGAGAUUAUGCAACUCCCGUUUACCGGAGGAACACUUUGUGUGCCACCAAAUGUCACAGCGUAACUCGGUGAUUAUAAAGGUGCUCUAUAGGUGUCUCCGAAGGUACUUGUUGGGUUGGCGUAUUUCAAGAUUAGGAUUUGUCACUCCGAUUGUCGGAGAGGUAUUUCUGGGCCCACUCGGUAAUGCACAUCACUAUAAGCCUUGCAAGCAUUACAACUAAUGAGUUAGUUGCAGGAUGAUGUAUCACGGAACGAGUAAAGAGACUUGCCGGUAACGAGAUUGAACUAGGUAUUGAGAUACCGACGAUCGAAUCUCGGACAAGUAACAUACGAUGACAAAGGGAACAACGUAUGUUGUUAUGCGGUCUGACCGAUAAUGAUCUUCGUAGAAUAUGUAGGAGCCAAUAUGGGCAUCCAGGUCCCGCUAUUGGUUAUUGACCAAAGAGGUGUCUCGGUCAUGUCUACAUAGUUCUCGAACCCGUAGGGUCCGCACGCUUAACAUUCGUUGACGAUAUAGUACUAUAUGAGUUAUGUAUGUUGGUGACCGAAUGUUGUUCGGAGUCCGGGAUGAGAUCAUGGACACGACGAGGAACUCCGGAAUGGUCCGAAGAUAUAGUUUGAUAUAUGGGAUAAUAGUGUUUGGUCACUGGAAGGGUUCCGGAAUUCACCGGAAGGGGUUCUGGAUGUUUCCCGAAAUGUUUGGGUACGAGAACACUUUAUUUGGGCCAAAGGGGAAAGCCCACAAGGUUUUUGGAAAGCACAAAAGGAAGUUUUGCGGAGUCCAGGGGCUAGACGCCGGUGUCCCUGGCGUCUGGACCCUGGCAUCUGGGUCCAGAUGGCGGGAACCCUGGUGUCUGGCCCUAGAGUCCGAGAAGGACUCUUGCCUUUCUGGUGAAACCGACUUUGUGGAGGCUUUUACUCCAAGUUUCGACCCUAAGGCUCAACAUAUAAAUAGAGGGGUAGGGCUAGCACCCAAGACACAUCAAGAAACACCAAGCCGUGUGCCGGCAACCCCGUCCCCUCUAGUUUAUCCUCCGUCCUAGUUUUCGUAGUGCUUAGGCGAAGCCCUGCGGAGAUUGUUCUUCACCAACACCGUCACCACGCCGUCGUGCUGCCGGAAGUCAUCUACUACUUCGCCCCUCUUGCUGGAUCGAGAAGGCGAGGACGUCACCGAGCCGAACGUGUGCAGAACUCGGAGGUGCCGUGCUUUCGGUACUUGGAUCGGUCGGAUCAUGAAGACGUACGACUACAUCAACCGCGUCGCUUCCGCUUUCGGUCUACGAGGGUACGUGGACAACACUCUCCCCUCUCAUUGCUAUGCAUCACCAUGAUCUUGCGUGUGCGUAGGAAAAUUUUGAAAUUACUACGUUCCCAACAGUGGUAUCAGAGCCUGGUUUUAUGCGUAGAUGUCAUAUGCACGAGUAGAACACAAGUGAGUUGUGGGCGAUAUAAGUCAUACUUCUUACCAGCAUGUCAUACUUUGGUUCAGCGGUAUUGUUGGAUGAAGCGGCCCGGACCGACAUUACGCGUACGCUUACGCGAGACUGGUUCUACCGACGUGCUUUGCACACAGGUGGCUGGCGAGUGUCAGUUUCUCCAACUUUAGUUGAACCAAGUGUGGCUACGCCCGGUCCUUGCGAAGGUUAAAACAUCACCAACUUGACAAACUAUCAUUGUGGUUUUGAUGCACAGGUAAGAACGGUUCUUGCUCAGCCCGUAGCAGCCACGUAAAACUUGCAACAACAAAGUAGAGAACGUCUAACUUGUUUUUGCAGGGCAUGUUGUGAUGUGAUAUGGUCAAGACGUGAUGAGAUAUAAGUUGUUGUAUGAGAUGAUCAUGUUUUGUUGAAGUUAUCGGCAAAUGGCAAAAGCCUUAUGGUUGUCUCUCUAUUGCAUAAGAUGCAAGCGCUAAAUAAUUGCUUUACUUUAUCGCUAUGCGAUAGCAAUAGUUGCAAGAGCAAUAGUUGGCGAGAUGACCAUGUGACGACACAUUGAUAUAUAUCAAGAUGAUGGAGAUCAUGGUGUCAUGCCGGUGACGAUGGAGAUCACGACGAUGCUUUGGAGAUGGAGAUCAAAGGCACAAGAUGAUGAUGGCCAUAUCAUGUCACAUAUUAUGAUUGCAUAUGAUGUUUAUCUUUUAUACAUCUUAUUUUGCUUAGUUCGGCGGUAGCUUUAUAAGAUGAUCUCUCACUAAAUUAUCAAGGUAUAAGUGUUCUCCCUGAGUAUGCACCGUUGCGAAAGUUCUUCCUGCUGAGACACCAUGUGAUGAUCGGGUGUGAUAGGCUCUACGUUCAAAUACAAUGGGUGCAAAACAGUUGCACACGCGGAAUACUCAGGUUAAACUUGACGAGCCUAGCAUAUAACAGAUAUGGCCUCGGAACACGGAGACCGAAAGGUCGAGCGUGAAUCAUAUAGUAGAUAUGAUCAACAUAGUGAUGUUCACCAUUGAAACUACUCCAUCUCACAUGAUGAUCGGACAUGGUUUAGUUGAUAUGGAUCACGUGAUCACUUAGAUGAUUAGAGGGAUGUCUAUCUAAGUGGGAGUUCUUAAGUAAUAUGAUUAAUUGAACUUUAAUUUAUCAUGAACUUAGUCCUGAUAGUACUUGCAUAUCUAUGUUGUAGAUCAAUAGCUCGCGUUAUUGCUUCCCUGUGUUUUAUAUGUGUUCCUAGAGAAAACUAAGUUGAAAGAUGAUAGUAGCAAUGCGGACUGGGUCCGUGAUCUGAGGUUUAUCCUCAUUGCUGCACAGAAGAAUUAUGUCCUUGAUGCACCGCUAGGUGACUGACCUAUUGCAGGAGCAGAUGCAGAUGUUAUGAACGUUUGGCUAGCUCAAUAUGAUGACUACUUGAUAGUUUAGUGCACCAUGCUUAACAAUUUAGAAUUGGGACUUCAAAGACGUUUUGAACGUCAUGGACCAUAUGAGAUGUUCCAGGAGUUGAAGUUAAUAUUUCAAGCAAAUACCCGAGUUGAGAGAUAUGAAGUCUCCAACAAGUUCUAUAGCUAAAAGAUGGAGGAGAAUAGCUCAAGCAGUGAGCAUGUGCUCAGAUUGUCUGGGGUACUACAAUCGCUUGAAUCAAGUGGGAGUUAAUCUUCCAGAUAAAAUGGUGAUUGACAGAAUUCUCUAGUCACCAUCACCAAGUUAGUAGAACUUUGUGAUGAACUAUAAUAUGCAAGGGAUGAUGAAAGUAACUCCCAAGCUCUUCGUGAUGCUGAAAUUGACGAAGGUAGAAAUCAAGAAAAACAUCAAGUGUUGAUGGUUAACAAGACCACUAGUUUCAAGAAAAGGGCAAAGGGAAUAAGGGGAACUUCAAGAAGAACGACAAGCAAGUUGCUGCUCAAGUGAAAAAACCCAAGUCUGGACCUAAGCCUAAGACUAAGUGCUUCUACUGCAAAGGGACUGGUCACUGGAAGCGGGACUACCCCAAGUAAUUGGCGGAUAAGAAAGAUGGCAGAGUGAACAUAGGUAUAUUUGAUAUACAUGUAAUUGAUGUGUACUUUACUAGUGUUUAUAGCAACCCCUUAGUAUUUGAUACUAGUUCAGUUGCUAAGAAUAGUAACUCGAAACAGGAGUUGCAGAAUGAACAGAGACUAGUUAAGGGUGAAGUGACAAUGUGUAUUGGAAAUGGUUCCAAGAUUGAUAUUAUCAUCAUCGCACACUCCCUAUACUUUCAGGAUUAGUGUUAAACCUAAAAUAAAUGUUAUUUAGUGUUUGCAUUGAGCAUGAAUAUGAUUGGAUCAUGUUUAUUGCAAUACAAUUAUUCAUGUAAGUUAGAGAAUAAUUGUUGUUUUGUUUACAUGAAUAAAACCUUCUAGGGUCAUACACCCAAUGAAAAUGGUUUGUUGGAUCUCGGUCGUGGUGAUACACAUUUUCAUAAUAUUGAAGCCAAAAGAUGCAAAGUUAAUAAUGAUAGUGCAACUUAUUUGUGGCACUGCCGUUUAGGUUAUAUUGGUGUAAAGCGCAUGAAGAAAAUCCAUGCUGAUGGGCUUUUGGAAUCACUUGAUUAUGAAUCAGUUGAUGCUUGCGAACCAUGCCUCAUGGGCAAGAUGACUAAGACUCUGUUCUCCGGAACAAUGGAGCAAGCAAGAGAUUUGUGGUAAAUCAUACAUACUAAUGUAUGUGGUCCGAUGAAUAUUGAGGCUCGCGACAUGUAUCAUUAUUUUCUGAUCUGCACAGAUGAUUUGAGCAGAUAUGAGUAUAUCUACUUGAUGAAACACAAGUCUAAAACAUUUGAAAAGUUCAAAGAAAUUCAGAGUGAAGUGGAGAAUCAUCAUAACAAAAAUAAAAGUUUCUAAGAUAUGAUCGCAGAAGUAAAAUAUUUGAGUUACGAGUUUGGCCUUCAGUUAAAACAAUGUGAAAUAGUUUCACUACUCACGCCACCUGGAACACCACAGUGUAAUGGUGUGUCCGAAUGUCGUAAUCGUACUUUAUUAGAUAUGGUGCGAUCUAUGAUGUUUCUUACCAAUUUACCACUAUCGUUUUGGGGUUAUGCAUUAGAGACAGCUACAUUCACGUUAAAUAGGGCACCAUCUAAAUCCGUUGAGAUGACACCGUAUGAACUAUGGUUUGGCAAGAAACCUAAGCUGUCGUUUCUUAAAGUUUGAGGUUGCAAUGCUUAUGUGAAAAAGUUUCAACCUGAUAAGCUCAAACCCAAAUCGGAGAAGUGCGUCUUCAUAGGAUACCCAAAAGAAAAUGUUGGGUACACCUUCUAUCACAGAUCCGAAGGCAAGAUAUUCAUUGUUGAGAAUGGAUCCUUUCUAGAGAAGGAAUUUCUCUCGAAAGAAGUGAGUGGGAGGAAAGUAGAACUUGAUGAGGUAACUGUACCUGCUCCCUUAUUGGAAAGUAGUUUAUCACAGAAAUCUGUUCCUGUGACUACUACACCAAUUAGUGAGGAAGCUAAUGAUGAUGAUCAUGUAACUUCAGAUCAAGUUACUACCGAACCUCGUAGGUAAACCAGAGUGAGAUCCGCACUAGAGUGGUACGGUAAUCCUAUUUUGGAGGUCAUGUUACUUGACCAUGACGAACCUAUGAACUAUGAGGAAGCGAAGAUGAGCCCGGAUUCCGCGAAAUGGCUUGAGGCCAUGAAAUCUGAGAUGAGAUCCAUGUAUAAGAACAAAGUAUGGACUUUGAUUGACUUGCCCAAAGAUCGGCGAGCCAUUGAGAUUAAAUGGAUCUUCAAGAGGAAGACGGACGCUGAUAGUAGUGUUACUAUCUACAAAGCUAGAAUUGUCGCAAAAAGGUUUUCGACAAGUUCAAGGUGUUGACUACGAUGAGAGUUUCUCACUCGUAUCUAUGCUUAAGAGGUCCGAAUCAUGUUAGCAAUUGCCGCAUUUUAUGAAAUCUGGCAAAUGGAUAAACAAAACUGCAUUCCUUAAUGGAUUUAUUAAAGAAGAGUUGUAUAUGAUGCAACCAGAAGGUUUUGUCAAUCCUAAAGGUACUAACAAAAUAUGUAAGCUCCAGCGAUCCAUCUGUGGACUGGUGCAAGCAUCUCGGAGUUGGAAUAUACGCUUUGAUAAGUUGAUCAAAUCAUAUAGUUUUAUAUAGACUUGCGGUGAAGCCUGUAUUUACAAGAAAGUGAGUGGAGCACUACAACAUUUCUGAUAAGUAUACGUGAAUGACAUAUUGUUGAUCGGAGAUAAUGUAGAAUUAUUCUGCAAAGCAUAAAGGAGUGUUUAAGAGGAGUUUUUCAAAGAAAGACCUCGGUGAAGCUGCUUACAUAUUAAGCAUCAAGAUCUAUAGAGAUAGAUCAAGACGCUUGAUAAAGUUUUUUAAUGAGUACAUACCUUGACAAGAUUUUGAAGUAGUUCAAAAUGGAACAGUCAAAGAAAGAGUUCUUGCCUGUGUUACAAGGUGUGAAGUUGAGUAAGACUCAAAACCCGACCACGGCAGAAGAUAGAGAGAGAAUGAAAGUCAUUCUCUAUGCCUCAGCCAUAGGUUCUAUAAAGUAUGCCAUGCUGUGUACUAGAUCUAUUGUAUACCCUGCCCUGAGUUUGGCAAGGGAGUACAAUAGUGAUCUAGGAGUAGAUCACUGGACAUUGGUCAAAAUUAUCCUUAGUGGAAUAAGGAUAUGUUUCUCGAUUAUGGAGAUGACAAAAGGUUCGUCGUAAAGGGUUACGUCGAUGCAAGUUUUGACACUGAUCUAGAUGACUCAAAGUCUCAAUCUGGAUACAUAUUGAAAGUGGGAGCAAUUAGCUAGAAUAGCCCCGUAUAGAGCAUUGUUGACAUAGAAAUUUGCAAAAUACAUACAGAUCUGAAUGUGGCAGACUCAUUGACUAAACUUCCCUCACAAGCAAAACAUGAUCACACCUUAGUACUCUUUGGGUAUUAAUCACAUAGCGAUGUGAACUAGAUUAUUGACUCUAGUAAACCCUUUGGGUGUUGGUCACAUGACGAUGUGAACUAUGGGUGUUAAUCACAUGGUGAUGUGAACUAUUGAUGUUAAAUCACAUGGCGAUGUGAACUAGAUUAUUGACUCUAGUGCAAGUGGGAGACUGAAGGAAAUAUGCCCUAGAGGCAAUAAUAAAGUUAUUAUUUAUUUCCUUAUAUCAUGAUAAAUUCUUAUUAUUCAUGCUAGAAUUGUAUUAACCGGAAACAUAAUACAUGUGUGAAUACAUAGACAAACAGAGUGUCACUAGUAUGCCUCUACUUGACUAUCUCGUUGAUCAAAGAUGGUUAUGUUUCCUAACCAUAGACAUGAGUUGUCAUUUGAUUAAUGGGAUCACAUCAUUAGGAGAAUGAUGUGAUUGACUUGACCCAUUCCGUUAGCUUAGCACUUGAUCGUUUAGUUUGUUGCUAUUGCUUUCUUCAUGACUUAUACAUGUUCCUAUGUCUAUGAGAUUAUGCAACUCCCGUUUACCGGAGAAACACUUUGUGUGCCACCAAACGUCACAAUGUAACUGGGUGAUUAUAAAGGUGCUCUACAGGUGUCUCCGAAGGUACUUGUUGGGUUGGCGUAUUUCGAGAUUAGGAUUUGUCACUCCGAUUGUCAGAGAGGUAUCUCUGGGCCCACUCGGUAAUGCACAUCACUAUAAGCCUUGCAAGCAUUGCAACUAAUGAGUUAGUUGCGGGAUGAUGUAUCAUGGAACGAGUAAACAGACUUGCCAGUAACGAGAUUGAACUAGGUAUUGAGAUACCGACGAUCGAAUCUCGGACAAGUAACAUACCGAGGACAAAGGGAACAACGUAUGUUGUUAUGCGGUAUGACCGAUAAUGAUCUUCGUAGAAUAUGUAGGAGCCAAUAUGGGCAUCCAGGUCCCGCUAUUGGUUAUUGACCAGAGAGGUGUCUUGGUCAUGUCUACAUAGUUCUUGAACCCAUAGGGUCUGCACGCUUAACGUUCGUUGACGAUAUAGUACUAUAUGAGUUAUGUAUGUUGGUGACCGAAUGUUGUUCGGAGUCCGGGAUGAGAUCAGAGACAUGACGAGGAACUCCAGAAUGGUCCGGAGAUAAAGUUUGAUAUAUGGGAUAAUAGUGUUUGGUCACCAAAAGGGUUCCGGAAUUCACCGGAAGGGGUUCCGGAUGUUUCCCGAAAUGUUUGGGUACAAGAACACUUUAUUUGGGCCAAAGAGGAAAGCCCAUAAGGUUUUUGGAAAGCGCAAAAGGAAGUUUUGCGGAGUCCAGGGGCCAGACGCCAGGGUCCCUGGCGUUUGGGUCCAGACGCCGGGAACCCUGGCGUCUGGCCCUGGAGUCCGAGAAGGACUCUUGCCUUUCGGGUGAAACCGACUUUGUGGAGGCUUUUACUCCAAGUUUCGACCCCAAGGAUCAACAUAUAAACAGAAGGGUAGGACUAGCACCCAAGACACAUCAAGAAACACCAAGCCGUGUGCCGGCAACCCUGCCCCCUCUAGUUUAUCCUCCGUCCUAGUUUUCGUAGUGCUUAGGCGAAGCCCUGCGGAGAUUGUUCUUCACCAAUACCGUCACCACGCCGUCGUGCUUCCGGAACUCAUCUACUACUUCGCCCCUCUUGCUGGAUUGAGAAGGCGAGGACGUCACCGAGCCGAACGUGUGCAGAACUCGGAGGUGCCGUGCUUUCGGUACUUGGAUCGGUCGGAUCAUGAAGACGUACGACUACAUCAACCGCGUUGAUAUAACGCUUCCGCUUUCGAUCUACGAGGGUACGUGGACAACACUCUCCCCUCUUGUUGCUAUGAAUCACCAUGAUCUUGCGUGUGCGUAGGAAAUUUUUUGAAAUUACUAUGUUCCCCAACAAAAUUAUGCGGACUGGGUCCGUCAACUGAGGAUUAUCCUCAUUGCUGCGCAGAAGGCUUAUGUCCUGAAUGCACCGCUCGGUGUGCUGAACCUCGAGCGUCGUCUGUAGAUGUUGGGAAACAUCUGACAUACGCAUUUUGAUGACUACAUGAUAGUUCAGUGCGUAAUGCUAACGGUUUAGAAUUGUGGCAUCAAAGACGUUUUUGAAACAUUGCAGAACAUAUGAGAUGUUCCAAAGACUUAAAUUGGGAUUUCAGACUAGUGCCCACGUCAAGAGGUAUGAGACCUCUGACAAGUUUCUUAAGCCUGUAAACUAAGGGAGAAAACAUCAAUCGUUGAGCAUGUGCUCAGAUUGUCUGAGUACUACAAUCGCUUGAAUCGAGUGGGAGUUAAUCUUCCAGAUGAGAUAGUGAUGGUUCUCCAUAGUCACUGCCACCAAACUAUUAGAGCUUCGUGAUGAACUAUAACAUAUCAGGGAUAGACAUGAUGAUCCUUGAGCAACUCGCGAUGUUUGACACCGCCAAAGUAGAAAUCAAGUAGGAGGAUCAAUUGUUGAUGGUUAAACCACUAGUUUCAAGAAUGGCAAGGGAAAGAAGGGAUACUUCAUGAAACGGCAAAUCAGUUGCUGCUCUAGUGAAGAAACCCAAGGUUGAACCCAAACCCGAGACUAAGUGUUUCUGUAAUGAGGGGAACGGUCACUGAAGCAGAACUACCCUAGAUACUUGGUAGAUGAGAAGGCUGGCAAGGUCGACAGAGGUAUUUUGAAUAUACGUUAUAUUAUUGUGUACUUUACUAGUACUCCUAGUAGCACCAGGGAAAAAAAUACCGGUUCGAUUGCUAAGUGUUAGUAACUCGAAAUAAAAGGUUGCGGAGACUAGCUAAAGGUGAGAUGAGGAUAUGUGUUGGAAGUGUUUCCAAGGUUGAUGUGAUCAAACAUCGCACGCUCCCUCUACCAUCGGGAUUGGUGUUAAACCUAAAUAAUUGUUAUUUGGUGUUUGCGUUGAGCAUAGAUAUUAUUGGAUUAUGUUUAUCGCAAGACGGUUAUUCAUUUAAGGAGAAUAAUGGUUACUCUGUUUAUUUGAAUAAUACCUUCAAUGGUCUUGCACCUAAAAUGAAUGGUUUAUUGAAUCUCGGUUGUAGUGAUACACAUGUUCAUGCCAAAAGAUAUAAGAUAGUAAUGAUAGUACCACAUACUUGUGGCACUGCCAUUUGAGUCAUGUUGGUAUAAAACGCAUGAAGAAGCUCCAUGUUGAUGGAUCUUUGGACUCACUCGUUUUUGAAAAGAUUGAGACAUUUGAACCAUGUCUAUUGGUAGAUAUGCAUGAAGAAACUCCAUACAGAUGGAUCAUUUGGACUCACUUGAUUUUGAAUCACUUAAGACAUGCAAAUCAUACCACACGGGCAAGAUGACUGAAAGGCCUCGUUUUCAGUAAGAUGGAACAAGAAAGCAACUUGUUGGAAGUAAUACAUUUUGAUGUGUGCAGUCCAAUGAGUGCUGAGGCACGCAGUGGAUAUUGUUAUGUUCUUACUUCACAGAUGAUUUGAGUAGAUGCUGAGUAUAUUUACUUGAUGAAACACAAGUCUGAAUUAUUGAAAGGUUUAAGUAAUUUCAUAAUGAAGCUGAAGAUCGUCGUGACAAGAUGAUAAAAUGUCUAUGAUAUGAUCAUAGAGAUGAAUAUCUGAGUUACGAGUUUGGCACACAAUUAAGACAUUGUGGAAAUUGUUUCACAACUAAUACCGCCUGGACAACCAUAGUGUGAUGGUGCGUCCGAACAUCAUAACUGCACCCUAUUGGAUAUGGUGCAUACCAUGAUGUCUCUUUUCGAAUUACCACUAUCGUUUAUGGGUUAGGCAUUAGAGACAACCACAUUCACUUUAAAUAGGGCACCACACAAUUCCGUUGAGACGACACCAUAUGAACUAUGGUUUAGAAAAAUCUAAGCUGUCAUUUCUUAAAAGUUUGGGGCUGCGACGCUUAUGUGAAAAAGUUUCAGGCUGAUAAGCUCGAACCCAAAGCGGAUAAAUGCAUCUUCAUAGAAUACCCAAAACAGUUGGGUAUACCUCCUAUUUCAGAUCCGAAAGCAAAAGUGAUUGUUUCUAGAAACGGGUCCUUUCCCGAGGAAAAGUUUCUCUCGAAAGAAUUGAGUGGGGGGAUGAUGGAGACUUGAUGAGGUUAUUGAACCGUCACUUCAACUAGUGUGUAGCAGGGCACAUGAAGUUGUUCCUGUGGCACCUACACCAAUUGAAGUGGAAGCUUAUGAUAGUGAUCAUGAAACUUCGUAUCAAGUCACUACCAAACCUCAUAGGUCAACAAGGAUGUGUACUACUUUAGAGUGGUACAUAAUCCUGUCUUGGAAGUCAUGUUGCUAGACAACAAUGAACCUACGAGCUAUGGAGAAGCGAUGGUGGGCCCGGAUUCCAACGAAUGGCUCGAGGCCAUAAAAUCCGAGAGAGGAUCCAUGUAUAAAAACAAAGUAUAGACUUUGGAAGAACUACUUUAUGGUUGUAAGGCUGUUGGGUGCAGAUGGAUUUUAAAAGGAAGACGGACAAUGAUGGUAAGUGUCACCAUUAAGAAAGCUCGACUUGUCGUUAAGAUGUUUUCCGACAAGUUCAAGGAGUUGACUACAAUGAGACUUUCUCACUUGUAGAGAUGCUAAGAGUCUAUUGGAAUUAUGUUAGCAGUUACUGCAUUAUUUAUGAAAUCUUGCAGAUAGGAUGUCAAAACAUUGUUUCCUCGACGAUUUUCUUGAGGAAAGGUUGUAUGUGAUACAACCAGAAGGUUUUGUCAAUCCCGAAAGAUGCUAACAAGUAUGCAAAGCUCCAGCAAUCCUUCUAAGGACUGGAGUAAGCAUCUCGGAGUUGGAAUGUACACUUUGAUGAGAUGAUCAAAGAUUUUGGGUUUAUACAAAGUUUAUGAGAAACUUGUAUUUCCAAAGAAGUGAGUGGGAGCACUAUAGAAUUUUUGAUGAGUAUAUGUUGUUAACAUAUUGUUGAUCAGAAAUGAUGUAGAAUUUCGGUAAAGCAUACAGGGUUAUUUGAAAAGUGUUUUUCAAUGGAAAACCUGGAUUAAGCUACUUGAACAUUGAGCAUCAAGAUCUAUAAGGAUAGAUCAAAAAUGCUUAAUAGUACUUUCAAAUGAAUACAUACCGUGACAAGAUUUUGAAGGAGUUCAAAAUAGAUCGGCAAAGAAGGAGUUCUUGGCUGUGUUACAAGCUGUGAGUAUUGAGUAAGACUCAAGACCUGACCACGGUAGAAGAGAGAGAAAGGAGGAAGGUCGUCCCCUAUGCUUUAGACGUAGGCUCUACAGUAUGCUAUGUUGUGUACCGCACCUGAAGUGUGCCUUGCCAUGAGUCAGUCAAGGGGUACAAGAGUGAUCCAGGAAUGGAUCACAUGACAGCGGUCGAACUUAUCCUUAGUAACUAGUGGACUAAGGAAUUUUCUCGAUAUGGAGGUGGUAAAAGAGUUCGUCGUAAAGGGUUACGUCGAUGCAAACUUUGACACUAAUCCGGAUGACUCUGAGUAGUAAACCAGAUUCAUAUAGUAGAGCGGUUAUUUGGAAUAGCUCCAAGUAGCGCAUGGUAGCUGCAUCUACAAUAUGACAUAGAGAUUUGUAAAGCACACAUGGAUCUGAAAGGUUCAGACCCAUUGACUAAUAAACCUCUUUCGCAAGCAAGAUAUGAACAAACCCCAUGGGUGUUGGAUUCAUUACAAUCACAUAAUGAUGUGAACUAGAUUAUUGACUCUAGUGCAAGUGGGAGACUGUUGGAAAUAUGCCCUAGAGGCAAUAAUAAAAUGGUUAUUAUUCUAUUUCCUUGUUCAUGAUAAUUGUCUAUUGUUCAUGCUAUAAUUGUAUUAACUAGAAACCGUAAUACAUGUGUGAAUACAUAGACCACAACAUGUCCCUAGUAAGCCUCUAGUUGACUAGCUCGUUGAUCAAUAGAUGGUUACGGUUUCCUAACCAUGGACAUUGGAUGUCGUUGAUAACGGGAUCACAUCAUUAGGAGAAUGAUGUAAUGGACAAGACCCAAUCCGAAGCAUAGCACAAGAUCGUAUAGUUCGUAUGCUAAAGCUUUUCUAAUGUCAAGUAUCAUUUCCUUAGACCAUGAGAUUGUGGAACUCCCGAAUACCAUAGGAAUGCUUUGGGUGUGCCAAACAUCGCAACGUAACUGGGUGGCUAUAAAGGCACACUAUGGGUAUCUCUGAAAGUGUCUGUUGGGGCUGCACGAAUCGAGACUGGGAUUUGUCACUCCGUGUGACGGAGAGAUAUCUCUGGGCCCACUCGGUAAUGCAUCAUCAUAAUGAGCUCAAUGUGACUAAUGAGUUAGCCACAGGAUCAUGCGUUAUGGAACGAGUAAAGAGACUUGUCGGUAACGAGAUUGAACGAGGUAUGGGGAUACCGACGAUCGAAUCUCAGGCAAGUAACAUAUCGAUAGACAAAGGGAAUUGUAUACGGGAUUGAUUGAAUCCCCGACAUCGUGGUUCAUCCGAUGAGAUCAUCAUGGAACAUGUGGGAGCCAAUAUGGGUAUCCAGAUCCCGAUAUUGGUUAUUGGCUGGAGAGAUGUCUCGGUCAUGUCUGCAUGGUUCCCGAAGCCGUAGGGUCUACACACUUAAGGUCCGGUGACGCUAGAGUUGUUAUGGGAAAUAUUAUGUGGUUACCAAAGGUUGUUCGGAGUCCCGGAUGAGAUCCCGGACGUGACGAGGAGUUCCGGAAUGGUCCGGAGAUGAAGAUCGAUAUAUUGGAUGAAGGGUAUUGAAGUCCGGAAUUGCUCCGGGGGUACCGGGUGACGACCAGCGUGUCCGAAAGGGGUUUCGGAGGCCCCGACAAGCGUUGGGGGGCCUUAUGGGCCAAGGGGAGGGGGCACAUCAGCCCGCUAAGGGGCUGAGCACCCCUCCCACCACAUCUCACGUAACUUGGAGAGGUGGGGGCGCCUCCCCUAGGGCAGCCACCCCUCCCGGCUUGGGGGGCAGGUUUCCUAGAGGUGGGGGCGCCCAAACCCAUCUAGGGUUUUCCCUGUGGCCGCCGCCCCUCCCCUAGGGAACCCUAGGGCGCCUCCUCCACCCCCUUCCCCCUAUAUAUAGUGAGGGAGAGAGAGGGCAGCCGCACCCCUUCCCUGGCGCAGCCCCUCCCUCCUCCAACUCUUCCUUCUCCUGCGUAGAGCUUGGCGAAGCCCUGCAGGAAUACCACAAACUCCACCACCACGCCGUCGUGCUGCCGGAGUUCUCCCUCAACUUCUCCUCUCCUAUUGCUGGAUUAAGAAGGAGGAGACGUCCCCGGGCUGUACGUGUGUUAAACACGGAGGCGCCGUCCGUUCGGCGCUAGAUCGGAUCUUCCGCGAUUUGAAUCGCCGCGAGUACGACUCCAUCAACCGUGUUCUUGCAACGCUUCCGCUUAGCGAUCUUCAAGGGUAUGAAGAUGCACUCCCUCUCUCUCGUUGCUAGCAUCUCCUAGAUCGAUCUUGGUGACACGUAGGAAAAUUUUGAAUUAUUUCUACGUUCCCCAACAAGCAGCCCCCUGGCUUUGCUACCUCUUGAGCUUGCGUUGGAUUUCCCCGAAGAGGAAAGGAUGAUGCAGCAGAGUAGCGUAAGUAUUUCCCUCAGUUUUUGAGAACCAAGGUAUCAAUCCAGUAGGAGGCCACGCUCAAGUCCCUCAUACCUGAACAAAACGAUAGCUACUCGCAACCAACGCGAUUAGAGGUUGUCAAUCCCUUCACGGUCACUUACGAGAGUGAGAUCUGAUAGAUAUAAUAUUUUUGGUAUUUUUGGUAUAGAGAUGCAAGGUGAAAAGUAAAAGGCAAAGUAAAAAAGCAAAGCAAGAUUAAAGUGAUGGAGAUUGAUAUGAUCAGAAUAGACCCGGAGGCCAUAGGUUUCACUAGUGGCUUCUCUCAACAACAUAAGUAUUCUACGGUAGGUGAACAAAUUAAUGUUGAGAAAUUGACAAAAUUGAGCAUAGCUAUGAGAAUAUCUAGGCAUGAUCAUGUAUAUAGGCUGUAACACCCCGGAUGUAACUUUCCCAAUUUGUACUCCAACUCUUGCCGUUUCUGGCGUUAAGUUAUUUUAUUUUUCUCGGGUUCAGGUCUUUGUCUUCGUGUGUUGUUAUCGUUGUCAUGCAUCUCAUAUCAUGCCAUCAUGUGCAUUGCAUUUGCAUACGUGUUCGUCUCUUGCAUUCGAGCAUUUUCCCCGUUGUCCGUUUUGCAUUCCGGCGCUUCGUUCUCCUCCGGUGUUCAUUUCUAGCUUUCUUUCAUGUGUGGGGAUUAAACAUUUCCGGAUUGGACCAAGACUUUCCAAGCGGCCUUGGUUUACUACCGGUAGACCGCCUGUCAAGUUUCGUAUCAUUUGGACUUCGUUUGAUACUCCAACGGUUAACCGAGGGACCGAAAAGGCCUCGUGUGUGUUGCAGCCCAACACCCCUCCAAUUUGGCUCAAAACCCACCUACCUCUGCUCCAUCAUCUAGAGCGUUCGAUCACGAUCGCAUGGCCGAAAACCGCACCUCAUUUGGACUCCCCUAGCUCCCUCUACCUCUAUUUAAAGAACCCCUCCAUUUUCGGAUCUCCUUCUCCUCCGAAACCCUAAAAAAAUCGCCCCGCCGCGCCGGACAUGUCCGCCCCUGAUCGGACUCUUCGUGCCGCCGCGCCCGGCCAGUGAAACGCUGCAACGUGGCCUCCCUGCGCCGCCUCCUUCGCCGGCCCGCCGCGCCGCCUNNNNNNNNNNNNNNNNNNNNNNNNNNNNNNNNNNNNNNNNNNNNNNNNNNNNNNNNNNNNNNNNNNNNNNNNNNNNNNNNNNNNNNNNNNNNNNNNNNNNNNNNNNNNNNNNNNNNNNNNNNNNNNNNNNNNNNNNNNNNNNNNNNNNNNNNNNNNNNNNNNNNNNNNNNNNNNNNNNNNNNNNNNNNNNNNNNNNNNNNNNNNNNNNNNNNNNNNNNNNNNNNNNNNNNNNNNNNNNNNNNNNNNNNNNNNNNNNNNNNNNNNNNNNNNNNNNNNNNNNNNNNNNNNNNNNNNNNNNNNNNNNNNNNNNNNNNNNNNNNNNNNNNNNNNNNNNNNNNNNNNNNNNNNNNNNNNNNNNNNNNNNNNNNNNNNNNNNNNNNNNNNNNNNNNNNNNNNNNNNNNNNNNNNNNNNNNNNNNNNNNNNNNNNNNNNNNNNNNNNNNNNNNNNNNNNNNNNNNNNNNNNNNNNNNNNNNNNNNNNNNNNNNNNNNNNNNNNNNNNNNNNNNNNNNNNNNNNNNNNNNNNNNNNNNNCGCCCGGCCGUCGCGUUCGCUCCCCCUCCGGCCUCCUCCUCCCUCAUCCCCGCCGGCUUCGGUGAGCGCCAUCCCCGCCGGUGAACAGUGCGCGCCGCCGCCUCGAUCUGCGUGCCGGGUCAACCCUAGAUCCGGUGAUUUUUUCGUCUAAGUCCUCGAAAUUUUCAGUCCAAGUGCUCAUGUUCGUGACCCUGUAACUUUGCAUCCGUAGCUCCGAUUCAUGCAUAUAGCAUAUCAAAAUGUUCACCUCAGAGAGUACAUCAUUUCAUUCCAUUGCAUCAUUUUCAUUUGAGUUCAUCUUGAUGCCCGAAAUGCGGUUAGAAGAGGGCUACUUGAGAUAAUUGUCAGAUCUGCUACUCCGUUUAGCUUUUUGUCAUUUUUGUCAUGAUUAAUGUGUGCAUGAUAUGACCUGAUGCUCUACAUGUGUUUUGUUAAGGGUUUUGUCAUCUUUCGAGAGGUGCAACCCAUGUAUUUUUGUGAUGUGUGUGGUGACUUGUGCAAGCUUGCAAAGUGGUGCACUUAGUAAUUCUGAUUUCAGGGACUUAGUAAUUUCAAGUCCUGGAGCUGUUUAUCUCAUGAUGCCAUAUGUUCAUGUUGUUUCCUAGUGAUCCGUGCCUCUUUUGAGGAUGAUCAGUAAGGAUGUUUUGUUAAUAUUGUAGUGCUCUAUCCAUCCAUGUCUUUGUUUGCAAUUAUGGAGCACCCUAGCUUGAGUUAAUCGAGCUCUACUUUUGCUACUUUGUGAAUCUGGGAAGAUUGUCAACUUGUUUGCAAUUUUGCCGAUGAUGUUGUAGUUGAUCCGUGCAUGCUAUGUUAUUAUUCUUGCCAUGUCUAGCUUGCAUUUUGUGCCUUAUUAAUGGGUGUAUGCUUGCCUUGCCAUGACUUACACCGUAGUGAGUGCAUCGAGCUCGUGAACAUGCCUACUUGAGUUAUAUUUCAGCAUGUGUCAGUUUUUCACUAAGUCUGAAAACUGAUUAUGUUUUUGCUAUGUUCGCGUGCUUGCAAUUGUAUUUUGUGAUCUCUUUUGGCUCAAGGUCACCAAGGGACUUUUGUUAAGCUAUUUGAGUAGCUCCAUGCCAUGCUUUACUUUGUCAUGUUCAGAUCCUGUAGCAUGUAGUUUUGUUGCUCCGAAGAGGGCUACCUGAUCUGAAAUUCCAGACAAGUGUUAAUUUCACUAAGUCUGAGAUAUGUUUACCAUAUGCAUUUUUGCCAUGCUUGUUUGAACCAGUUAAUGGAUGAUUUGGCCAUAGCUCAGUGCUAAACUGUUGUUAAGCAUCUUGAAUGAAUCCCUGCCAUGUAUUUUUUUGUCAUGUUUGGUUGCUGUAGCAUGUUCAUUUUGUUGCAUUUAGAUGCCUACUUGCUGUAAAUCGCAGACCGGUGUCAUUUUUGAAUCGCUUGCCAUUUCCAAACCGUAACUCCGAUUCCGGCGUUCUUUAUAUCAUUUUCAAGCGAUUUCGUCUCAUAUUUCCAGUGGCACACUUGGAUUUCCAAGUUGAGGCCAGGUUCAUGCGUUUCCUGUCAUAUCUUGCAUUUUGCAUCCCGCAUCGCAUCCCGCAUAGCAUAUCAUAUUUGCAUUGUGUUGUUUGAGUUUGCACAUGGUUGAUUGUGUCCUUGUUGCUUGUUUGUCUUGUUUGGGUAGAGCCGGGAGACGAGUUCGCUAACGAGGAGCCCAUUGAGUUUGCUUUCGAGGAUCCAGUCAACUCUGACAACUGUGCAGGCAAGAUGAUCAUACCCUCGAAAUCACUACUAUCUUUGCUAUGUUAGUUUGCUCGCUCUUUUGCUAUGCCAAUGCUACGAUGCCUACCACUUGCUUUCAAGCCUCUCAAAUUUCCAUGUCCAACCUCUAACCCACCAUGUCCUAGCAAACCGUUGAUUGGCUAUGUUACCGCUUUGCUCAGCCCCUCUUAUAGCGUUGCUAGUUGCAGGUGAAGAUUGAAGGCCGUUCCUUGUUGGAAUCUUUAUUUACUUGUUGGGAUAUCAUUAUAUUAUCUUGUUAUCUUAAUGCAUCUAUAUACUUGGUAAAGGGUGGAAGGCUUGGCCUCUCACCUAGUGUUUUGUUCUACUCUUCCCGCCCUAGUUUUCGUCAUAUCAGUGUUAUGUUCCCGGAUUUUGCGUUCGUUACGCGGUUGGGUUAUAAUGGGAACCCCUUGAUAGUUCGCCUUGAUUAAAGCUUUUCCAGCAAUGCCCAACAUUGGUUUUACCAUUCGCCACCUAGCCUUUUCUUUCCCUUGGGUUCUGCAGACUCAAGGGUCAUCAUUAUUUUAACCCCCCCGGGCCAGUGCUCCUCUGAGUGUUGGUCCACCUGUCAGCUACCGGUGGCCACCAGGGGCAACUUUGGGCUGGCCUACCCAUACCUAAGACAAUCUGAGUGUGCCCUGAGAAAGAGAUAUGUGCAGCUCCUAUCGGGAUUUGUCGGCACAUUCGGGCGGUGUUGCUGGUCUUGUUUUAACCUGUCGAAGUGUCUUGAGUAACCGAGAUACCGAGUCUGAUCGGAACGUCUUGGGAGGAGGUCUAUUCCUUCGUUGACCGUGAGAGCUUGUCAUGAGCUAAGUUGGGACUCCCCUGCAGGGAUUUGAACUUUCGAAAGCCGUGCCCGCGGUUAUGGGCAGAUGGGAAUUUGUUAAUGUCCGGUUGUAGAUAACUUGAACCUUAACUUAAUUAAAAUGAAUCAACUGAGUGUUACCGUGAUGGCCUCUUCUCGGCGGAGUCCGGGAAGUGGACACGGUGUUGGAGUAAUGUUUGCGCAGGUUGUUCUCUAGUUUCUCGCUCGCACUUUGCCUUCUCUUCUCGCUCUCUUUUGCGAAUAAGUUAGCCACCAUAUUUUGCUAGUCGCUUGCUGCAGCUCCACAUAUAUUUGUACCUUGCCUUACCUAUAAGCUUAAAUAGUCUUGAUCGCGAGGGUGCAAGAUUGCUGAGUCCCUGUGGCUCACAGAUUACUAUUACACCAGAUGCAGGGCCUGAUGAUUCCGCUCCAGGAGACACACUUGAGCUCAAGUGGGAGUUUGACGAAGACUCUCAACGUUACUAUGUUUCUUUUCCCAAUGAUCAGUAGUGGUGCCCAGUUGGGGGUGAACGGGACCGUUGUCGCAUGUUGGGUUCUCUUUUAUUUUGGCGCCGUAGUCGGGCCAUGAGUGUUUGGAUGAUGUAAUGUUAUUUAUGUACUUGAUUGACGUGGCGAGUGUAAGCCAACUAUGUUAUCUCCCCUUUGUUAUUCAUAUUACAUGGGAUGUUGUGAAGAUUGCCUAACUUGCGACAUAUGCCUUCAAUGCGAUUAUGCCUCUAAGUCAUGCCUCGACACGUGGGAGAUAUAGUCACAUCGAGGGUGUUACAAGUUGGUAAUCAGAGCCUUCCUCGACCUUAGGAGCCCCAUUGCUUGAUCGUUAUUAGCGGCCGAGUUGUGUCUAGAAAAAUGUUUUGAGUCAUUUAGGAAUUAUAUAUCGGAGAGCUUAGGAAUUCUUUUUUCUUCCCAGUCUCCUCAUCACUCUGGUAAGGCAUCCUGACGUAGAGUUUUGACUCUUCUCUUCUCAAAUUUCACUAAAAAAAAAUUUAGGAUCACGCGAGUAUCUUGGAAUCGUUCCGAUGGUUUUAUGAUGAGAACAUUGUCUUGGUGCCUCUUGUCAGGGGUUUAGUGGAAGUGUCCCGGGGAGUUGAGCUCUGAGGUGUUGUCAUCAUAAUUUUAUCGUUGCAAUUCUGGAAUACCUGAGUUUAGUACGCCGACAUCGAAAAUCUCUUUUAUGCAGUUCAUUGGUGAGAUAACCUCGACGCCACCCAGUACUGGGGCGGGAGUUAGGGAGUAUCGCCAUAUCUUGUAUAACAGAUGCUUUUCGAAGGUUGAGGUAGAUGGUUUCCGAAGGUUUCUUGGUUAUGUGUUGAAGGAUGGAUACAGCUGGAUGUAGGAUUUGCUAGUUUGGGUGAGAUAUUAUGCUUCCCCUGUAUCCCCAACACCCGAUUGCAUAAUCGGAAAGGUUCGGGAGUUUCAUAGGUGGGAAUUCUUGUAGCUCUAGUUCUUCUUCCAUGGAUAUUGGUUUGAGAUUGGGAUUUCUUACCGAUUAUUCGUUCUUGAUCCGUACCUUGUUGAUUUAUUUCUCUACCUUAAUUCUACGUGGCUUCUCAAUUUAUGGAUCUGUGACCAUUUCAAGAGGAAUGCAUUCGUUCAUUUUGUUCGGAUGUGAAGACUAUAUGUUGCAAUUUUCAUUCCGUUGGAUUCAGCUUCAAUAAUUGUCUAUCAAUGUGCUAAUGGUGGUCAACCUCUUUAGGAUGGCUCCUCCAACGCGCACGACUCCGAAUCCUGAUCCGCCACCACCUCCACCUCCUCCAGAGGCAUGGCAAGCUGUGAUGGCCGCAACCAAUGCAAACAGAAAGUUGAUCAUGCAAAUUCUUCAAGAGCGCAAUCAAGGCAACCAAGGGAAUCAAGGCAGCAAUCAGAAUCACUUUGCUACACUCAACCAGUUCCUUGCUAACGGGCCAAAGACUUUCAGCAAUUGUGUUGAGGCAACCGAUGCUGACGAUUGGCUUGUGGAUCUGUGCAAGCAUUUCGAGUGCAGUAACGUCAGGCCUGAGGACUUUGUUAAGUUCGCUUCCUUCCAACUCAAAGAUCAAGCUGCAGAAUGGUUCCAGCAGUACAAGGACUCCAGAGGUGGACGUGUUAUCACUUGGGAUGAUUUCCGUCGAGAUUUCCGAGCUCAUCAUAUUCCCCAGAGCGUGGUUGAAAGCAAGCAUGAGGAAUUCCGCAACCUGAAGCAAGGCUCUUCAUCUGUCUAUGACUACAACAAGUUGUUCCAGAAGCUCGCCCGCUUUGCCAAGCAGGAUGUCCCUGAUGAGAAGAGCAUGAUAUAUCAGUUCAGGGGUGGUCUCAGAGAAGAAAUUCAGCUAGCUCUUGUUCUCUUUGAGCCCUUGAGAUACGAUGAGUUCUACAACAUGGCACUGAAGCAAGAGGCUGCUUAGUUGAGGUGUGAUGCUUCCAAGAAGCGAGUCAGAGAUGUUACUCCUUCUUCCUCUACUCAAGUGGCCAAGCAGCAGAAGUAUUGGCUUCCUCCUCCUCCGUUCCGGCAGUCGUAUCAACAGAAGAGCAAAGGUGGCAGUGGUUCUUCCCACCCACCCAACCCUGGCUUUCAGAACAAGGCUUCCUCUCAAGCUCCAAGAUCGAGUGCUCCGUAUCACCGUCCGCUUUCAGAGGUCACGUGCAACAAGUGCCAAUAGAAGGGUCACUAUGCCAACAAGUGUUUCAACCAGAGGCGUCUUCCUCCUCCUCCCCCUGUCAGAUCGGCAAGUACAGCUGUGGUCAAGCAUAACCCCAAGCACGCCAAGGUCAACUUGAUGAAUGCAGCUCAGGCAGAGGACUCAUCAGAUGUGAUCAUGGGUAACCUUCCUGUUAAUGAUAUACCUGCAAAAGUUCUUUUUGACACUGGUGCAUCGCAUUGCUUCAUCUCGAGACCGUUUACAAAUAGGCAUGAUUUGGUUUCGCAAGUUUUUCCUAGUCCUUUAGCAGUUGUCUCUCCCGGUAAGCGCAUGCAGGUUAACUCCAUAGUUCCGGAUGUUACUAUCACUUUGGGUGACUACAAGUUUCUAGCUUCCCCAACGGUUCUCAGUGACUCGGAUAUUGAUCUUAUUCUCGGAAUGGAUUGGCUUUCUAAGCACAAGGCGCAUCUUGAUUGUGCAGCCAGACAGAUUCAAUUGACUCAUUCAUCUGAGGAUGUAAUUGUCUUUGCCGCUCGUGAUAAUACCAUCCGUCUGUUUUCUCUCAAUGAGAAGGGUGAAUUGGAUGCUAUCUCUCAAAUUCCAGUCAUUUGCGAAUAUCAAUACGUCUUUCCAGAAGAGCUCCCAGGAAUGCCUCCGCACCGGCCAGUCGAAUUCGUUAUUGAUCUUGAGCCUGACACGGAACCUGUGUGCAAGCGUCCUUACAAGCUCGGACCUGAAGAAUUGAAGGAGCUGAAGAAGCAACUCGAUAUUCAAGAGAAAAUGGGUCUUAUCCAGCCUAAUUCUUCUCCGUGGGGUUGUGGUGUUCUUUUUGUGAAGAAGAAGGAUGGAACGGACUGACUUUGUGUUGAUUACCGUCCAUUGAACAAGAAGACCAUCAAGAACAAAUACCCACUUCCCAACAUCAAUGAGCUGUUCGAACAACUCAAAGGUGCCCAAGUAUUCUCCAAGCUUGAUCUCCGUAUGGGUUAUCAUCAGAUUCGAAUCCGUGAGCAAGAUAUUCCCAAUACGGCUUUCAGGACAAGCUUUGGUUCUUAUGAAUACACUGUCAUGUCUUUUGGACUCGUCAACGCUCCUCCGACUUUCUCUCGCAUGAUGAACUUCAUCUUCAACGCCUACACCAAUGACUUCAUUUUGGUCUAUCUCGAUGACAUUCUGGUUUUCUCCAAGAACAAGGAAGAUCAUGCCAAGCACUUGCGUUUGGUUCUUGAUAAGCUAAGGGAACAUCAGUUCUAUGCCAAGUUCUCCAAGUGUGAAUUUUGGCUCGAUGAAGUGCUUUAUCUUGGUCAUAUCAUAUCUGCCAAGGGCAUUGCCGUGAAUCCUGAGAAGGUGUCUGCAAUUGUGAAUUGAGAACCUCCUCAGAACGUGAAGCAACUCCAUAGCUUCCUCGGUCUCGCAAGCUAUUGCCAAAGAUUCAUUGAAAACUUUUCUAAGAUCGCGAAGCCUCUCUCAAAUCUUCUCUAGAAGCACGUCAAGUACGUUUGGUCUCCGGAGUGUGAUAUUGCUUUCAACACUUUGAAAGAGAAAUUGAUCACUGCUCCAGUUCUGACUCCGCCUGAUGAAUCCAAGCCGUACGAGGUCUUUUGUGAUGCCUCUUUCCAAGGUCUUGGCGCAGUAUUGAUGCAAGAGAAGAAAGUUGUUGCUUAUACAUCUCGCCAGUUGAAGCCUAAUGAGAAGAACUACCCCACUCAUGAUCUCGAGUUGGCGGCAAUUGUGCAUGCUCUUUUGACCUGGAGACAUCUUCUAUUGGGAAGAAAAGUGGACAUUUUCACUAAUCACAAGAGUCUCAAGUACAUCUUCACUCAGCCUAAUCUCAACCUUAGACAAACUCGAUGGGUCGAAAUGAUUCAAGAGUAUAAUCCGAGUAUCGAGUAUAAUCCAGGCAAGGCCAAUGUGAUUGCUGACGCAUUGAGCAGGAAAGCUUACUGCAAUAGUCUGAUUCUCAAGCCUUAUCAACCCGAGCUUUGUGAAGCUUUCCGCAAACUUAAUCUGCAAGUUGUUCCUCAAGGUUUCCUCGCCAACCUUCAAGUCUCUCCUACCUUGGAAGACCAGAUUCGCCAAGCCCAGCUUCUUGAUGCUAUGGUGAAAAAGGUGAAGAUUGGGAUUGCCAAGAGCCAGUCCAAGUACAAGUGCUACCGCCUUGAUGACAAGGAUACUCUCUUCUUCGAGGAUCGUAUUGUUGUACCCAAAGGUGACCUCCGUAAAGUGAUCAUGAACGAGGCUCACAAUUCUCUCCUCUCCAUCCACCCUGGGAGCACGAAGAUGUAUCGGGACCUCAGGCAAGCUUAUUGGUGGACUCGAAUGAAGCGCGAGAUUGCUCAAUUCGUGAAUGAAUGUGAUGUCUGCAGAAGAGUGAAGGCAGAACACCAAAGGCCAGCGGGUUUCCUGCAACCUCUUGCCAUUCUAGAAUGGAAGUUUGACCACAUUGAAAUGGACUUCGUGAAUGGUUUUCCAAAGUCCAAGCGUGGCAAUGAUGCUAUAUUCAUUGUCAUCGACAAACUCACCAAAGUGGCUCACUUUCUGCCUAUUAAAGAGUCGAUCACUGCAGCUCAAUUGGCGGGACUCUAUACCUCUCGUAUUGUCUCUCUGCACGGUAUUCCACAAGUGAUCUCUUCAGACCGUGGCAGCAUCUUUACCUCGAAGUUUUGGGAUUCUUUUCAGAAGGCCAUGGGCAUGAACAUCCGCUUCAGCACAGCUUUCCAUCCUCAAACUAGCGGUCAAGUCGAGCGUGUCAACUAGAUUCUUGAAGAUAUGCUCAGGGCUUGUGUGAUCUCCUUCGGCAUGAAGUGGGAGGAUUGUCUUCCUUAUGCUGAAUUCUCCUACAACAACAGUUUUCAAGCAAGUUCGGGCAAGGCACCAUUUGAAAUUCUGUAUGGCAGGAAGUGCCGUACCCCUCUCAACUGGUCUGAAACUGGUGAACGUCAGCUUUUGGGUAAUGACUUAAUCACAGAGGCAGAAGAAAUGUGCAAAGUCAUUCGAGAUAACCUCAAAGCAGCCCAAUCCCGCCAGAAGAGCUACAAUGAUAGUAAGCACCGUGAUUUGGCUUUCGAGAUUGGAGAUCAUGUUUACCUCCGUGUCUCUCCUAUGAAAGGUACUCGUCGCUUUGGUAUCAAAGGGAAGCUUUCCCCCAGAUACGUGGGACCUUUCAAGAUUGUCAGCAAGAGAGGCGACCUCGCCUAUCAACUCGAGCUUCCUUCAAACUUUGCAAAUUUUCAUGACGUGUUCCAUGUCUCUCAGCUUCGAAAGUGCUUCAAGACUCCUGACCGCACCAUCAACUUCGAGGACAUUGAGCUCCAAGAAGAUCUCUCUUAUCGUGAGCACCCAGUUGCUAUUCUUGAAGAGACUGAACGCAAGACUCGCAACAAGUCAAUCAAAUUUCUCAAAGUCAAGUGGUCACACCAUUCCGACCGUGAAGCUACCUGGGAACGUGAGGAUCACCUCCGUUCUGAGUACCCGGCGUUCUUUCAGUCCUAGAUCUCGGGACGAGAUCCUUUCGUAGUGGUGGAGUGUUGUAACACCCCGGAUGUAACUUUUCCAAUUUGUACUCCAACUCUUGCCGUUUCCGGCGUUAAGUUAUUUUAUUUUUCUCGGGUUCGGGUCUUUGUCUUCGUGUGUUGUUAUCAUUGUCAUGCAUCUCAUAUCAUGUCAUCAUGUGCAUUGCAUUUGCAUACGUGUUCGUCUCUUGCAUUCGAGCAUUUUCCCCGUUGUCCGUUUUGCAUUCCGACGCUUCGUUCUCCUCCGGUGUUCAUUUCUAGCUUUCUUUCGUGUGUGGGGAUUAAACAUUUCCGGAUUGGACCGAGACUUCCCAAGCAGCCUUGGUUUACUACCGGUAGACCGCCUGUCAAGUUUCGUAUCAUUUGGACUUCGUUUGAUACUCCAACGGUUAACCGAGGGACCGAAAAGGCCUCGUGUGUGUUGCAGCCCAACACCCCUCCAAUUUGGCCCAAAACCCACCUAACUCUGCUUCAUCAUCUAGAGCGUUCGAUCACGAUCGCGUGGCCGAAAACCGCACCUCAUUUGGACUCUCCUAGCUCCCUCUACCUCUAUUUAAAGAACCCCUCCAUUUUCGGAUCUCCUUCUCCCCCGAAACCCUAAAAAAAUCGCCCCGCCGCGCCGGACAUGUCCGCCCCUGGCCGGACUCUUCGUGCCGCCGCGCCCGGCCAGUGAAACGCUGCAAUGUGGCCUCCCCGNNNNNNNNNNNNNNNNNNNNNNNNNNNNNNNNNNNNNNNNNNNNNNNNNNNNNNNNNNNNNNNNNNNNNNNNNNNNNNNNNNNNNNNNNNNNNNNNNNNNNNNNNNNNNNNNNNNNNNNNNNNNNNNNNNNNNNNNNNNNNNNNNNNNNNNNNNNNNNNNNNNNNNNNNNNNNNNNNNNNNNNNNNNNNNNNNNNNNNNNNNNNNNNNNNNNNNNNNNNNNNNNNNNNNNNNNNNNNNNNNNNNNNNNNNNNNNNNNNNNNNNNNNNNNNNNNNNNNNNNNNNNNNNNNNNNNNNNNNNNNNNNNNNNNNNNNNNNNNNNNNNNNNNNNNNNNNNNNNNNNNNNNNNNNNNNNNNNNNNNNNNNNNNNNNNNNNNNNNNNNNNNNNNNNCUCGACGCCGGCCCGGCCCCGCGCCGCCGAGCCGCCGCCCGGCCGUCGCGUCCGCUCCCCCUCCGGCCACCUCCUCCCUCAUCCCCGCCGGCUCCGGUGAGCGCCAUCCCCGCCGGUGAACAGUGCAUGCCGCCACCUCGAUCUGCGUGCCGGGUCAACCCUAGAUCCGGUGAUUUUUUCGUCUAAGUCCUCGGAAUUUUCAGUCCAAGUGCUCAUGUUCGUGACCCUGUAACUUUGCAUCCGUAGCUCCGAUUCAUGCAUAUAGCAUAUCAAAAUGUUCACCUCAGAGAGUACAUCAUUUCGUUCCAUUGCAUCAUUUUCAUUUGAGUUCAUAUUGAUGCCCGAAAUGCGGUUAGAAGAGGGCUACUUGAGAUAAUUGUCAGAUCUGCUACUCCAUUUAGCUUUUUGUCAUUUUUGCCAUGAUUAAUGUGUACAUGAUAUGACCUGAUGCUCUACAUGUGUUUUGUUAAGGGUUUUGUCAUCUUUCCAGAGGUGCAACCCAUGUAUUUUUGUGAUGUGUGUGGUGACUUGUGCAAGCUUGCAAAGUGGUGCACUUAGUAAUUCUGAUUUCAGGGACUUAGUAAUUUCAAGUCCUGGAGCUGUUUAUCUCAUGAUGCCAUAUGUUCAUGUUGUUUCCUAAUGAUCCGUGCCUCUUUUGAGGAUGAUCAGUAAGGAUGUUUUGUUAAUAUUGUAGUGCUCUAUCCAUCCAUGUCUUUGUUUGCAAUUAUGGAGCACCCUAGCUUGAGUCAAUCGAGCUCUACUUUUGCUACUUUGUGAAUCUGGGAAGAUUGUCAACUUGUUUGCAAUUUUGCCGAUGAUGUUGUAGUUGAUCCGUGCAUGCUAUGUUAUUAUUCUUGCCAUGUCUAGCUUGCAUUUUGUGCCUUAUUAAUGGGUGUAUGCUUGCCUUGCCAUGACUUACACCGUAGUGAGUGCAUCGAGCUCGUGAACAUGCCUACUUGAGUUAUAUUUCAGCAUGUGUCAGUUUUUCACUAAGUCUGAAAACUGAUUAUGUUUUUGCUAUGUUCGCGUGCUUGCAAUUGUAUUUUGUGAUCUCUUUUGGCUCAAGGUCACCAAGGGACUUUUGUUAAGAUAUUUGAGUAGCUCCAUGCCAUGCUUUACUUUGUCAUGUUCAGAUCCUGUAGCAUGUAGUUUUGUUGCUCCGAAGAGGGCUACCUGAUCUGAAAUUCCAGACAAGUGUUAAUUUCACUAAGUCUGAGAUAUGUUUGCCAUAUGCAUUUUUGCCAUGCUUGUUUGAACCAGUUAAUGGAUGAUUUGGCCAUAGCUCAGUGCUAGACUUUUGUUAAGCAUCUUGAAUGCAUCCCUGCCAUGUAUUUUUUUGUCAUGUUUGGUUGCUGUAGCAUGUUCAUUUUGUUGCAUUUAGAUGCCUACUUGCUGUAAAUCGCAGACCGGUGUCAUUUUUGAAUCGCUUGCCAUUUCCAAACCGUAACUCCGAUUCCGGCGUUCUUUAUAUCGUUUUCAAGCGAUUUCGUCUCAUAUUUCCAGUGGCACACUUGGAUUUCCAAGUUGAGGCCAGGUUCAUGCGUUUCCUGUCAUAUCUUGCAUUUUGCAUCCCGCAUCGCAUCCCGCAUAGCAUAUCAUAUUUGCAUUGUGUUGUUUGAGUUUGCACAUGGUUGAUUGUGUCCUUGUUGCUUGUUUGUCUUGUUUGGGUAGAGCCGGGAGACGAGUUCGCUAACGAGGAGCCCAUUGAGUUUGCUUUCGAGGAUCCAGUCAACUCUGACAACUGUGCAGGCAAGAUGAUCAUACCCUCGAAAUCACUACUAUCUUUGCUAUGCUAGUUUGCUCGCUCUUUUGCUAUGCCAAUGCUACGAUGCCUACCACUUGCUUUCAAGCCUCUCAAAUUUCCAUGUCCAACCUCUAACCCACCAUGUCCUAGCAAACCGUUGAUUGGCUAUGUUACCGCUUUGCUCAGCCCCUCUUAUAGCGUUGCUAGUUGCAGGUGAAGAUUGAAGGCCGUUCCUUGUUGGAAUCUUUAUUUACUUGUUGGGAUAUCAUUAUAUUAUCUUGUUAUCUUAAUGCAUCUAUAUACUUGGUAAAGGGUGGAAGGCUCGGCCUCUCACCUAGUGUUUUGUUCUACUCUUCCCGCCCUAGUUUUCGUCAUAUCGGUGUUAUGUUCCCGGAUUUUGCGUUCGUUACGCGGUUGGGUUAUAAUGGGAACCCCUUGAUAGUUCGCCUUGAUUAAAGCUUUUCCAGCAAUGCCCAACAUUGGUUUUACCAUUCGCCACCUAGCCUUUUCUUUCCCUUGGGUUCUGCAGACUCAAGGGUCAUCAUUAUUUUAACCCCCCCGGGCCAGUGCUCCUCUGAGUGUUGGUCCACCUGUCAGCUACCGGUGGCCACCAGGGGCAACUUUGGGCUGGCCUACCCAUACCUAAGACAAUCUGAGUGUGCCCUGAGAAAGAGAUAUGUGCAGCUCCUAUCGGGAUUUGUCGGCACAUUCGGGCGGUGUUGCUGGUCUUGUUUUAACCUGUCGAAGUGUCUUGAGUAACCGAGAUACCGAGUCUGAUCGGAACGUCUUGGGAGGAGGUCUAUUCCUUCGUUGACCGUGAGAGCUUGUCAUGAGCUAAGUUGGGACUCCCCUGCAGGGAUUUGAACUUUCGAAAGCCGUGCCCGCGGUUAUGGGCAGAUGGGAAUUUGUUAAUGUCCAGUUGUAGAUAACUUGAACCUUAACUUAAUUAAAAUGAAUCAACUGAGUGUGUUACCGUGAUGGCCUCUUCUCGGCGGAGUCCGGGAAGUGGACACGGUGUUGGAGUAAUGUUUGCGCAGGUUGUUCUCUAGUUUCUCGCUCGCACUUUGCCUUCUCUUCUCGCUCUCUUUUGCGAAUAAGUUAGCCACCAUAUUUUGCUAGUCGCUUGCUGCAGCUCCACAUAUAUUUGUACCUUGCCUUACCUAUAAGCUUAAAUAGUCUUGAUCGCGAGGGUGCGAGAUUGCUGAGUCCCUGUGGCUCACAGAUUACUAUUACACCAGAUGCAGGGCCUGAUGAUUCCGCUCCAGGAGACACACUUGAGCUCAAGUGGGAGUUCGACGAAGACUCUCAACGUUACUAUGUUUCUUUUCCCGAUGAUCAGUAGUGGUGCCCAGUUGGGGGUGAACGGGACCAUUAUCGCAUGUUGGGUUAAAUUUUAUUUUGGCGCCAUAGUCGGGCCAUGAGUGUUUGGAUGAUGUAAUGUUAUUUAUGUACUUGAUUGACGUGGCGAGUGUAAGCCAACUAUGUUAUCUCCCCUUUGUUAUUCAUAUUACAUGGGAUGUUGUGAAGAUUGCCUAACUUGCGACAUAUGCCUUCAAUGCGAUUAUGCCUCUAAGUCAUGCCUCGACACAUGGGAGAUAUAGUCGCAUCAAGGGUGUUACAUAGGCAUCACGUCCGUGACAAGUAGACCGAAACGAUUCUGCAUCUACUACUAUUACUCCACUCAUCGACCGCUAUCCAGCAUGCAUCUCGAGUAUUAAGUUAAAAACAGAGUAACACCUUAAGCAAGAUGACAUGAUGUAGAGGGAUAGUUUCAUGCAAUAUGAUAAAACCCCAUCUUGUUAUCCUCGAUGGCAACAAUACAAUACGUGCCUUGCUGCCCUUUCUGUCACUGGGAAAGGACACCGCAAGAUCGAACCCAAAGCUAAGCACUUCUCCCAUGGCAAGAACAACCAAUCUAGUAGGCCAAACCAAACUAACAAUUCGAAGAAACUUGCAAAGAUAACCAAUUAUACAUAAAAGAAUUCAGAGAAGAUUCAAAUAUUAUUCAUAGAUAGACUGGAUCAUAAACCCACAAUUCAUCAGUCUCAACAAACACACCGCAAAAAGAAGAUUACAUCAAAUAGAUCUCCACAAGAGAGGGGGAGAACAUUGUAUUGAGAUCCAAAAAGAGAGAAGAAGCCAUCUAGCUACUAACUAUGGACCCGUAUGUUUGAAGUAAACUACUCACACUUCAUCGGAGGGGCUUGGAUGAUGAUGUAGAAGCCCUCCGUGAUCGAUGCCCCCUCCGGCGAAGCUCCGGAACAGGCCCCAAGAUGGGAUCUCGUGGAUACAGAAAGUUGCGGCGGUGGAAUUAGAUUUUUGGCUCCGUAUCUGAUCGUGUGGGGGUACGUAGGUAUAUAUAGGAGGAAGGAGUACGUCGGUAGAGCUUCGAGGGGCCCACGACACAGGGGGUGCACCCUAGGGGGGGCCUCCACCCUCGUGACCGCCUCGUGGCUUUCUUGAUGGAGGGUCCAAGUCUCCUGGGUCUUAUCUGAUGAGAAAAUCGCGUUCCCGAAGGUUUCAUUCCGUUUGGACUCCGUUUGAUAUUCUGUUUCUCCGAAACACUCAAAUAGGCAAAAAACAAAAAUUCUGGGUUGGGCCUCCGGUUAAUAGGUUAGUCCCAAAAAUAAUAUAAAAGUGGAAAAUAAAGCCCAAUAUAGUCCAAAACAGUAGAUAAUAUAGCAUGGAGCAAUCAAAAAUUAUAGAUACGUUGGAGACGUAUCAGGCAUCCCCAAGCUUAAUUCCUGCUCGUCCUCGAGUAGGUAAAUGAUAAAAAGAGAAUUUUUGAUGUGGAGUGCUAUUUGGCAUAAUUUCAAAGAAAAUCUUCUUAAUUGUGAUAUGAAUAUUCAGAUUCGAAAGAUUCAAGACAAAAGUAUAUAUCGACAUAAAAAUAAUAAUACUUCAAACAUACUAACAAAGCAAUUAUGUAUUCUCAAAAUAACAUGGCCAAGGAAAGUUAUCGCUACAAAAUCAUAUAGUUUGGCUAUGCUCUAUCUUCACCACACAAAGUAUUUAAAUCAUGCACAACCCUGAUAACAAGCCAGGCAAUUGUUUCAUACUCUAACUUUUUCAAAACUUUUUCAAUCUUCACGCAAUACAUGAGCGUGAGCCAUGGAUAUAACACUAUAUGUGGAAUAGAAUGGUGGUUGUGGAGAAGACAAAAAUAGGGGAAGAUAGUCUCACAUCAACUAGGCGUAUCAAUGGGCUAUGGAGAUGCCCAUCAAUAGAUAUCAAUGUGAGUGGGUAGGGAUUGCCAUGCAACAGAUGCACUAGAGCUAUAAGUAUAUGAAAGCUCAUCAAAAGAAACUAAGUGGGUGUGCAUCCAACUUGCUUGCUCACGAAGACCUAGGGCAUUUUGAGGAAGCCCAUCAUUGGAAUAUACAAGCCAAGUUCUAUAAUGAAAAAUUCCCACUAGUAUAUGAAAGUGACAUAAUGAGAGACUCUCUAUCAUGAAGAUCAUGGUGCUACUUUGAAGCACAACUGUGGUAGAAGGAUAGUAACAUUGUCCCUUAUCUCUUUUUCUCUCAUUUUUUUAUUUGGGCCUUUUCUCUUUUUUUUUAUGGCCUCUUUUUUUUCUUCCGGAAUCUCAUCCCGACUUAUGGGGGAAUCAUAGUCUUCAUCAUUCUUUCCUCACUUGGGACAAUGCUCUAAAAAUGAUGAUCAUCAUACUUUUAUUUUUCUUACAACUCAACAAUUACAACUCGGUACUUAGAACAAAAUAUGACUCUAUAUGAAUGCCUCCGGCGGUGUACCGGGAUAUGCAAUGAAUCAAGAGUGACAUGUAUGAAAGAAUUAUGAAUGGUGGCUUUGCCACAAAUAUGAUGUCAACUACAUGAUCAUGCUAGCAAUAUGACAAUGAUGGAGCGUGCCAUAAUAAACGUAACGGUGGAAAGUUGCAUGGCAAUAUAUCUCGGAAUGGCUAUGGAAAUGCCAUGAUAGGUAGGUAUGGUGGCCGUUUUGAGGAAGGUAUAUGGUGGGUGUAUGAUACCGGCGAAAAGUGUGCGGUAUUAGAGAGGCUAGCAAUGAUGGAAGGAUGGGAAAAAGUGCAUAUAUCCAUGAACUCAACAUUAGUCAUAAAGAACUCAUAUACUUAUUGCAAAAAUCUAGAAGUUAUCAAAGCAAAGUAUUACGCGCAUGCUCCUAGGGGGAUAGAUUGGUAGGAAAAGACCAUCGCUCGUCCCCGACCGCCACUCGUAAGGAAGACAAUCAAUAAAUAAAUCAUGCUUCGACUUCAUCACAUAACGGUUCACCAUACGUGCAUGCUACGGGAAUCACAAACUUUAACACAAGUAUCCUUUAAAUUCACAACCACUCAACUAGCAUGACUCUAAUAUUAUCACCUCCAUAUCUCAAAACAAUUAUCAUGCAUCCAACUUUUCUUAGUAUUCAACACACUCAAAAGAAAGUUUCACAAAUCUUGAAUACCAAGCAUGUUAUUACUAAGCAAAUUACCAUGCUAUUAAGACUCUCAAAAUAAUUUAAGUGAAGCAUGAGAGAUCAAUAGUUUCUUUAAAACAAAUCCACCACCGUGCUCUUAAAAGAUCUAAUGAAGCACAUAGGGCAAAAUUACAUAGCUCAAAAGAUAUAAGUGAAGCACAUAGAGCAAAAUUAUAACGCUCAAAAGAUAUAAGUGAAGCACAUAGAGCAAAACUACAUAGCUCAAAAGAUAUAAGUGAAGCACAUAGAGUAUUCUAUCAAAUUUUAAUACAUGUAUGGCUCUCUCAAAAGGUGUGUACAGCAAGGAUGAUUGUGGCACACUAAAACACAAAGACACAAAUAAUACAAGACGCUCCAAGCAAAACACAUAUCAUGUUGGUGAAUAAAAAUAUAGCUCCAAGUAAAUUACCGAUGGAAGUGGACGAAAGAGGGGAUGCCUUCCAGGGCAUCCCAAGCUUUGACUUUUUGGUGUCCUUGUAUUAUCUUGGGGUGCCAUGGAAAUCCACAAUAUUAGGCUCUUGCCACUCCUUGUUCCAUAAUCCAUCACAAGAAUUCACCCAAAACUUGAAAACUUCACAACACAAAACUCAAAUAGAAAUCUCGUGAGCUCCGUUAGAGAAAACAAAAUGAAAGACCACUUCAAGGUACUAUAAUGAACUCAUUCUUUAUUUAUAUUGGUGUUAAACCUACUGUAUUCCAACUUCUCUAUGGAUUAUAAAUUAUUUUACUAACCAUAGAUUCAUCAAAAUAAGCAAACAACACACAAAAAACAGAAUCUGUCAAAAACAGAACAGUCUGUAGUAAUCUGUAACUAGCGCAAGAUCUGGAGCCCCAAAAAUUCUAAAAUAAAUUGUUGGACGUGAGGAAUUUAUCUAUUAAUCAUCUGCAAAAAGAAUUAACUAAAUAGCACUAUCCAAAUAAAAAUAACAGCAGUUCUUGUGAGCGCUAAAGUUUCUGUUUUUUUACAGCAAGUUCAACAAGACUUUCCCCAAGUCUUCCCAACGGUUCUACUUGGCACAAACACUAAUUAAACACAAAAAACACAACCAAAACACAGGCUAAAUAAUUUAUUUAUUACUAAACAGGAGCAAAAAUCAAGGAAUAAAAAUAAAAUUGGGUUGCCUCCCAACAAGCGCUAUCGUUUAACGCCCCUAGCUAGGCAUAAAAGCGAGGAUAGCUCUAGGUAUUGCCAUCUUUGGUAGGCAAUCCAUAAGUGGCUCUCAUGAUAGUUUCAUAUGGCAAUUUUAUUUUCUUUCUUGGAAAGUGUUCAAUUCCCUUUUUAAUGGAAAUUGAAAUCUAAUAUUCCCUUCCUUCAUAUCAAUAAUCGCACCAACCGUUCUAAGGAAAGGUCUACAAAGAAUAAUAGGGCAAGAAGGAUUGCAAUCUAUAUCAAGAACAAUGAAAUAUACAGGCACAUAAUUCCUAUUUGCAACAAUAAGAACAUCAUUAAUCCUUCCCAUAGGUUUCUUAAUAGUAGAAUCCGCAAGAUGCAAGUUUAGAGAGCAAUCAUCAAAAUUGCGGAAAUCUAGCAAAUCACACAAAAGUUUUGGGGAUAGUGGAGACACUAGCACCCAAAUCACACAAAGCAUAAAACUCAUGAUCUUUAAUUUUAAUUUUAAUAGUUGGUUCCCACUCAUCAUAGAGUUUUCUAGGGAUAGAAACUUUCAACUCAAGUUUUUCUUCAUAAGAUUGCAUCAAGGCAUCAACAAUAUGUUCGGUGAAGGCUUUCUUUUGACUAUAAGCAUGUGGAGAGUUUAGCACGGAUUGCAACAAGGAAAUACAAUCAAUUAAAGAGCAACUUUCAUAAUUAAAUUCCUUGAAAUCCAAUAUAGUGGGUUUAGCAACAUAUAGAUUUUUAUUUCUUUCAAUCCCACUUUCAUCAAUUUCAUCAUAAAGAUCUAAAUACUUCGAAUUUUUAGAACACCUUCUAGGUAAAGGAAGAUCAUAUUCAGUUUUAUCAAGAUUCAUAUUGAAAAACAAAGAUUUGAUAGGAGACACAUCAAUAAUUUUAGAUCUUCAUCUUGAUUUUCAUAGGAAUUGAAAGAACACGCUUUAAUAAAGGCAUCUUUGGAAGCACGCAUCCUAGCGGUUCUUUCCUUGCAUUCAUCAAUGGAAAUUCUCAUGGCUUUGAGAGACUCAUUGAUAUCAUGCUUAGGAGGAAUAGAUCUAAGCUUUAAAGAAUCAACCUCAAGAGAAAUUCUAUCAACGUUCCUAGCCAAAUCAUUAACUUUAAACAAUUUCUCUUCAAGCAAAGCAUUAAAAUUCUUUUGUGAAUUCAUAAAAUGUUUAACACUAUUCUCAAAUUCAGAGGGCAUCUUAUUAUAAUUUCCAUAAGAGUUGUUGUAGGAAUUCCCAUAAUUAUUAGAAGGAUUACUAGGAUCUAGCCUAGGAUUAAAAUUCCCUCUAUAAGCGUUGCUACCAAAAUUAUUCCUACCAACAAAAUUUACAUCCAUAGAUUCAUUGUUAUUCUCAAUCAAAAUAGACAAAGGCAUAUCAUUAGGAUCAGAAGAAACACUCUUAGUAGCAAAUAAUUUCAUAAGUUCAUCCAUCUUUCCACUCAACACAUUGAUUUCUUCUAUCGCAUGCACUUUUUUAUUAGAAGAUCUUUCAGUAUGCCAUUGAGAAUAAUUAACCAUAAUAUUAUCUAGGAGUUUAGUAGCAUCUCCUAAAGUGAUUUCCAUAAAAGUGCCUCCCGCGGCCGAAUCUAAAAGAUUUCUAGAAGCAAAAUUCAAUCCGGCAUAAAUUUUUUGUAUAAUCAUCCACAAAUUUAAACCAUGAGUAGGGCAAUUACGUAUCAUUAAUUUCAUUCUCUCCCAAGCUUGUGCAACAUGUUCAUGAUCAAGUUGCUUAAAGUUCAUAAUAUCGUUUCUAAAUAGAGAUGAUCUUAGCGGGAGGGAAAUACUUAGAGAUAAAAGCAUCUUUGCACUUGUUCCAAGAAUCAAUACUAUUUUUAGGCAAAGACGAAAACCAAGCUUUAGCAUGAUCUCUAAGCGAAAAAGGAAAUAGCUUCAAUUUAAUGACAUCAUUAUCGACAUCUUUUUCUUUUGCAUAUCACAUAAAUCAACGAAGCUAUUCAGAUGAGUAGCGGCAUCUUCACUAGGAAGGCCGGCAAAUUGAUCUUUCAUAACAAGAUUCAACAAAGCAGUAUUGAUUUCACAAAAAUUAGUAUUGGCAAGAGGAGCAAUCGGAGUGCUAAGGAAAUCAUUAUUAUUGGUAUUGGUGAAGUCACACAAUUUGGUAGUAUCUUGAGCUAUCGUGACAAACAAGCAAUCCAACACACGAGCAAACAAAAAGGCAAGCGAGAAAAAGGCAAACAGAAAAGAGAGGGAGAAGG
rnacentral:lncRNA from 1 species